UUUUUUUUUUUUUUUUUUUUGUCAACACAGGGGUGUCCGGGUCAAGACCCGAAGGCGGCCCGACUAAUCCCCUGCGCCUGGAGUACAGCGCCACCCCAACCGCACCCAGGCGUUAGGUGAGAUUCGAUCCCACGACCUUUGUCAGGAACACAAUAAUUUCCCCAAUUGAAGCCAAAACGUUGUCGUUGCAUUUAUUUGAGCAAAUUAGGUUUGAUUGUACUAAAAUAAGUGUAACGGCGUCGUAUAGACUAGAACGUAUGGAAACGACGUCGCGGCUCUAUAACAGAAUUAGUUACACAGUUCAGUGAGUUGGUUGUCCAGCUUAUUUGUACGCGUUUGAUUGGCAAAAGAAGGAGCUGAGAAAUAACAGAAAUUCAACACUUUCCCUCUCACUUUCUCUCUCUAUUUUUCCCUCUCUCCGAAACCUUCUUCUCUUCCCUCCUCUCUGCUCAAUUCUUCCCCAAAUCCUCAAUCAAUCCUCGAUCAAGCUUAGCCAUGGAGACAGUAGCCUGACAAGUGGUAUCAGAGCUGGCUGAAUCCUUGGAAUAACAUCUAAAUCAAUGGCAGAAAGUACCAGAUUCAAAACCUUGGAGGAACAGAUCAAGAAGCAGGAGAUCAGACUCCAGGAGGUGAUGGAAGAUCUACAAUCUUCACAGUUACGACAACAGCAAAUGCAGGAGGAAAUUCGCUCGGAACUGGAAGAAAACAGCAAGAAAGUAGAGAAUCUGGUAGCAGAAAUGAAGCAGGAAUUCAGCGCCUUCAUGAGGGCAAUGAUAGGCAAGGAGCGCGCUGUUCCAGAGGAUGAUCGACAGAGAAUGGAACAAGCACCACUCUUACCAACUCCUCCAAUAAGCCAGAGACUACAGAUUGGAACAGACAGCAACAGAUCAGCAAGGAAAGAAACAAGUAAGCUUCUGGUACCAAAUCCUCCCAGAAUUGAUUUGCCUAUGUUUACUGGUGAGAAUCCGAGGGAAUGGAUUCGAAAAUGCAAUAAGUAUUGCCUAAAUUACCAAAUUCCUGAAGACCAAAAAGUUGAUGUUAUAGAAAUGUAUUUGGAAGGGAAGGCAGAUAACUGGUUCCAGGGGGUUAAGAUAGAAAAAUCAGGAAUGACUUGGAAACUAUUUGAGGAAUUGCUAUAUAAGAGGUUUGACAAUAGAAACGGGAGAGAUGUGGUAGAGGAAUUCAACAAGUUGAGACAGUCGGGUAAGGUGGAGGAAUACCAGGAAAGGUUUGAGGAACUUAAAACCUUGAUGAUGAUUAGGAAUCCGCACCUGGAUGAAAAGUAUUAUGUAUCUAGUUUUGUCAGUGGACUUAAGGACGAAAUCAGAACUAUGAUCAAAAUGUUAAAGCCUAUAGGUCUAUCAGAAGCAUUUGAACUAGCCGUGCUACAGGAGGAGGCCUUGAGACUUCAGACUAGGACAGGCAAAGAGGGAGGAAAAACUGUGUUUGAAGAUAGGUUUGGAAUUUCCAGGAACUCUUCACCACACCAGAUCCAAGGUUCGCAGUAUAGGGUGCCUCCUACCAGCACCUUUAGGAACACUCCUUUCAAGGGGAAAACGCUGGCCACAUCCGGAUCUGAACCUAGGAGGCUCUCAGCAGAGGAGUUGCAAUACAGAAGGAGUAAUGGACUUUGUUUCAAGUGUGGAGAGAAGUUUGGGCAGGGACAUCAGUGCAAACCUGGCCACCUAAAUCUCUUAGUUACUGAGGAAGAAGAAGAAGGGGAGUUUGAAGAUGCUGUUGGGGAGCAGGAUGAGUCCACAGGGAAUCCAGGUCAAGUCAUGAAAAUGUCUUUGUAUGCUCUUUCAGAGGCCAUGCAGAGAAAAACAAUCACACUGGUAGGGAAGUGGGAUGGGGAAGAGAUGCUUAUCCUAGUGGAUACAGGAAGUUCAGACAGUUAUAUCAGUAGUGAGAAGGUGAUUGCCUAUGAUAUUCCCUACCAACUAGUAGAACCAUUCUCUGUGAUAGUGGGAAAUGGAGCUUGCGUGUCCAGUAAAGCCAUCUGUCCUAAGGUAACCUGGGGAAUCAAUCAGCAUCAGUUCUGCUUUGAUCUCAAGGUGAUGGAUUUAAGUGGUUGGGAUUUGGUGCUAGGAGUGGACUGGAUGACUCACUUCAGUCCCAUUACGUUCGACUUCCAUCAGUUGACUAUAUCCCUACACAAUCAAGGGGAAAUAGUGCAACUCAGGGGGCAAGCAGAGGACUGUGAUUUGGAUCUGAUCAGAGGGGGUGACUUGAGAAAUUUCAUUGAAUAUAAAAGGCAAAUGUGUCUAGCUAUGAGGAUGAGCCAAGAUCAACUGACAGAAGAAUCUAAGGUGCCUGUUGAAGUUCAGCAGGUCAUUGAAGACUUUAAUGAUGUGUUUCAGACCCCUACUGAGUUACCACCUACCAGGCAGAUAGACCAUGAGAUCCCCCUAAAGCAAGGGUCCCAGGCUUUCAAAAUGAAGCCAUAUAGAUAUCCUCACUCCCAGAAGGGUGAAAUUGAAAAGCAGGUAAAGGAAAUGUUGCAGCAUGGGAUAAUUAUCAACAGUAAUAGUCCCUUUGCCUCCCCAGUAUUGUUGGUCAAAAAAAAAGAGGGAACAUGGCGCUUUUGUGUGGAUUACAGGCGUUUGAAUGAAAUGACUGUUAAAGACAGGUAUCCCAUCCCAAAUGUUGAUGAACUGAUCAAUGAAUUAGCAGGAUCCAAAUACAAGACCAAAUUAGACCUGACAUCUGGCUAUCAUCAGAUCAGAGUUAAGCCUAAAGACACUCACAAGACUGCCUUUCAGACUCACUGUGGCCACUAUGAAUUUCUGGUCAUGCCAUUUGGGCUGACCAAUGCACCAGCAACCUUUCAAUCCCUUAUGAAUCAGAUUUUCCAGCCAUAUCUCAGGAAGUUUGUUCUGGUCUUUUUUGAUGACAUCUUGAUUUACAGUGCCACACUUGAGUUACAUUUGGAACAUCUGAAAUUAGUAUUGGCUGUCCUGCGAGAGCACAGUUUGUUUGCAAAGAAAUCCAAAUGCUCUUUUGCUCAGCAGAAGGUGGAUUAUCUGGGCCACACUAUAACUGCAGAUGAAGUGUCCAUGGAUCAGUCGAAAAUAGACAGCAUUAUGAACUGGCCUACUCCCAAAACCUUAAAAGAGUUGAGAGGAUUUUUGGGACUAACUGGAUAUUACAGGAGGUUCAUCAGACACUAUGGGAUCAUCUGCAAGCCACUAACAGACUUACUCAAGAAAGACAGCUUCCAUUGGAAUGAGGGAGCACAGAAGGCCCUGGAUUCACUGAAACACAUUAUGUGCAAGGCUCCUGUACUUAGCCUGCCAGAUUUCCAGAAGACUUUCAUUAUAGAAACUGAUGCUAGUGGAGGGGGAAUAGGAGCAGUGUUAAUGCAGGAGGGUCACCCUAUAGCCUUCCUCAGCAAGGCUUUGUCACCUAGGAAUCUGGGGUUGUCAGCAUAUGAGAAGGAGCUUUUGGCACUCGUAAUGGCAGUAACCAAGUGGAGACAUUUUCUGCUGGGUUAUCACUUCAUUAUCAGGACAGAUCACCAGUCCUUGAAGUACCUGCUAGACCAAAAACUGACCACUGCUCUGCAACACAAAUGGUUGGCUAAGCUACUUGGUAUGGAUUAUGAAAUCCAGUACAAGAAGGGAUCAACAAAUAAGGUUGCUGAUGCCCUGUCUAGGUUGUAUGACAGGAACACUGCUGAGAUUCCCCCACAAGGGUCUUGCCUAGCUAUCACCUCUGUUACCCCCUUGUGGAUACAAGAACUUCAAAGAAGUUAUGAGACUGACCCUCAAUUUCAGAAUAUUAUCUCCCAAUUGUUACUAGACUCUAAUGCUCAACCCCAGUAUGAGUGGAAACAGGGAUUGUUGAAACACAGGGGCAAGCUUUAUGUGGGCGCUGCCUGUGGGUUAAGAGAAAAGCUGAUUCAGGCUCUCCAUGCAUCUGCUAUUGGGGGACAUUCUGAACAAAGAGGGUGUUGGCAAAGGAUGAGAGCUCUAUUUUUUUGGCCUAACAUGAAGCAGGAUGUCAUCAGAUACGUCCAAGCUUGUGAUACCUGCCAAAGGUUUAAACCUGAACAUGUUCCAUAUCCUGGUUUACUGCAACCUCUGCCUGUACCCCACCUAGCCUGGACUCAUCUUACUAUGGAUUUUAUAGAAAGUCUACCAGAAUCUCAGGGAUACAAUACAGUGUUGGUUAUCAUCGACAGGCUCACCAAGGUAGGACAUUUUCUUGCUUUGGCUCAUCCUUUCACAGCCAAACAGGUGGCUCAGCUGUUCCUUGACAACAUUUUUAGAUUGCAUGGCAUCCCAGAGUCCCUGGUGAUUGACAGGGAUAGGAUUUUUACUAGUGCUUUCUGGCAAGAACUUUUCAGAUUGGCAGGCACGGAACUAAGGUACAGCUCUGCUUAUCAUCCCCAAUCAGAUGGUCAGAGCGAAAGGCUUAAUCAGUGUGUGGAAACUUACCUCAGAUGUAUGACUGGGGAGUUUCCUCACAAUUGGAGCAGGUGGCUCCCUUUAGCAGAAUGGUGGUACAAUUCUUCCUAUCAUUCUAGCCUGCAACUCACUCCUUUCGAAGCACUGUAUGGGUACAAACCUCCCCCUUUGCCUUUAGGGCCUCACCUGGAGACCAUCAUACCAGCAGCUUCUCACCUUCUCCAGGAAAGGUUAAGGAUUUCCAGUAGCAUCAAAGACCACCUUGCGAAAGCACAGCAGCGAAUGAAGCAUUUUGCUGAUCAGAAGCGCACUGAGAGGGAGUUUGAGGUGGGUGAUUGGGUUUUCCUGAAAUUGCAGCCUUACAGGCAGCAAUCAGUUGCCAUCAGGAAAUGUCUCAAGCUGUCUGCCAGAUUCUAUGGUCCUUUUCAGGUUGAGGCCAAGGUGGGUUCAGUUGCUUAUCGCCUCAAGUUACCUGCGGGGGCACGUAUCCACCCUGUUUUUCAUGUGUCACUGCUCAAAAAGAAGUUGGGGCCACUGCAGCCAGUUGCAGCUACUCUGCCUGAACCUGAUGACAAUGAUCAAUGUCCCCUGCUUCCUGAACAGAUUCUGCGCAGGAGAGUGAUCAUGCGGAAUGGGCAGACUGUUAUCCAAUAUCUGAUCAAAUGGUGUCAGCUCGGUGAAGAGGAAGCUUCUUGGGAAGAUCAGAAUUUCAUUCACACUCAGUUUCCACAGUUUCAGUCUUGAGGACAAGACUGUUAAAGGGAGAGGCAAUGUCAGGAACACAAUAAUUUCCCCAAUUGAAGCCAAAACGUUGUCGUUGCAUUUAUUUGAGCAAAUUAGGUUUGAUUGUACUAAAAUAAGUGUAACGGCGUCGUAUAGACUAGAACGUAUGGAAACGAUGUCGCGGCUCUAUAACAGAAUUAGUUACACAGUUCAGUGAGUUGGUUGUCCAGCUUAUUUGUACGCGUUUGAUUGGCAAAAGAAGGAGCUGAGAAAUAACAGAAAUUCAACACUUUCCCUCUCACUUUCUCUCUCUAUUUUUCCCUCUCUCCGAAACCUUCUUCUCUUCCCUCCUCUCUGCUCAAUUCUUCCCCAAAUCCUCAAUCAAUCCUCGAUCAAGCUUAGCCAUGGAGACAGUAGCCUGACAACCUUGCGAGUGGUUUUCCAGCCGCAGACCGGGUGAUCUAACCCCGGGGGGCAAAUAACGGUUAGUCAUGAAGUGUUAUAUUACAUGUAAUAAAUUUUUUAUGUUUUGAAAGAUUUGAAUGUUUCGAAUCAUAAAUCGAUAUAGUGAUGAACAUACACACAUACAUUUAUAAAUAUUAAGAAUUUAAACUUGAUGUAACGUUGUAGGUGAAGUGUCUCAUAUAAGCACAUAUUUUCUGAAAAAAAUAAAAAGAGUAAGUAAAAAAAAAAUGGAUAAAAACAAUAAUUAUACAAAGGAAAAGCUCAGUAUUUACUUUUGUUUCGUGUGGAAUAGAAAUUUCGGAAUCCAAAAGCCCAAAACGUGGCCCAUCUCUGCCUCUGUCCCCUAUAAAUGCUAGUUUCCCCCCAAUUUCCUUGUUUUCCUCCAAAAUGCCAAAAAUAGAAGGGAGAAGAAGAAAGACUUAUUUGAAGACCAAAAAGGUUCGAUUGAGCAGCCAGGAUAUUCAGGUAUUAUCUCGAUAUUAUUUCUUCAUAUUUUUUUCUUCUUUCAUUCAUAUUCUAAUUUUCAUUUCUGCAAAUUAUAAUUUAUCAGAAAAAUCUGCUUCUUCUUCUUCUUCCUUGGUUAUAUCUGUCCGCUAAUAUUUAGCUCCAAAAGAUAAAUUUGAAUUCUCGAAAAGAAGCUCGUAUACGUUUUUAAUCAAAUUUAUAUGUACUAUCGAGUCGGCAAUGGCUGCCUAGAGUCGAGAUGCUUCAAGUUUUUGAGUUCAAUGGAUUUUUAUUUGCUACAUCCGAGGCAGCAGCAGAACUGGAAAAUGUAUACACGAGUAUACUUGUAAUUCUUAUAUAUUAGCAGCAAUUUUGUGCUAAAUUCCUGCUUUUUUCCCGCUCUUUCGGUGCAAUAUCACGUGUUUGAGGAUGAGUCUAUAUCAGCAAUUUUUUAUUAGCAUUAUAUAAUUUCUAUAGUUAAAUGCUGUACUAGAUUAACAGCAAAAUGUAUUACCUCAUAUUGAAUUUGCAACUUUAUUAGCAAAGUUGUACUACCAUUAUUUGCUUUUUUUUUAAAAAAAAAAAAAUUUUGGUGUGUAACAUUGCAACGUUCCUACAUUUUAAUACUUGCUGAUAGUUGCGUUUGGAUGUGAUGAUUGGACUAUAUUGAAUGUUGAUAUAUUAAAUUCAAUUUUACACUUGAGACAAUUGAGUUGGUGUUUGAAGGAUUUGAAUCGAGUUUAGGGUGUAUUUGAACAUGGAAUUUUAAUUUGAGGCACUUAGUCAGUGAGUGUUUUGUGUGAUGUUUCAGUUGACGAUCUUUAAUUUUUAAGUAAUCUUGAUUACUAUUUGCCUAACUCGUUUGCCUUGUUAUUGUGCUUCUGAAAAUGAUAUGCAACUUUUUUAUAUCUGAGCUUAUAGCUUAAAUUGUUGUUUUUAUUCCACAAGUGAAGGUGAUGGGAUUCAGAAAUAAUCUAAAUCAUCGUAAACUGCUAUUUUCUUUCCGAAUUAUAUUGGUGAAGUGUUUGUCUUCCUUCUCCAGUUAAGCAUGAAACAGUAGCUUGUUGGUUCCAAUUGUUCUUUUUCCCCCUCUGAUGGAAGCUUACAAGAGGUGGGUCAGGGCAAAUAAAGACUACGUGCAUUCACUGGAGUCUCUUGCCAAUGUAUGCUUUCUUUUAUGUCAUAUGUUUUUGUAUUUGGUUAUCAUCUAUAUUAGAGCUAUUAUAAGCACUUUACAAUGGUUUUCCUUGCUUCUUGUUUUAGUGAAAAAAGGAUCAUGAUAAGAGUUGUCCAUGUUAUUAUUUUAACUUCCGCUGCCAUAGUUUGCCUAGCAGUUGCAACUGUAGAUGCAAUACAUCAAAAUUUGGGACCGAAAUUAAAAGCAGUAACAACACAGAAUACUUUUGUUUUUCUUAUACUUGUUUGAGGUACUUCAAAUUGCUGUUUCUUUCAGUGUCCUCCAAACCAUAAUUAAGCUGCUAAGGUGUACUGCAUCCUUUGAGUCGGAGUGAACAUCCGGUGCAGAUUGCAUUUAAUGCAUAGUUUCGGGAUGUUCAUGUUUAGGUUUAAUUUAAUUUUAAUGCUUGCAAGUGAUGAAUGUUUGCAUGAAAGAAUACAUAACUAAAAAGAUCUAUAAUAAGUUUGUCAGAAUAGGCUGGGUUUUCAGUUAGAAUCUGAAACCUAAAAAAUGGACUAAUUGUUCUUGUUUGAAAUGUAGAUUUCCAUAUUAUAUUUAGAGGGAGUAGGUGUCGAUGCAAGCUAAAAUAAGCAUAUUCUUUGUAAUUUGAAUCUAGAUAACACUUAAUUGAUUUUGCAGAUUAUUUGUUCUUAACACACUCAUUCAACUGAUGCUUCACCUCAUGAUUUUUGGGUGAUUCUGAUUUGACAUUCCAAGCAUUUAGUCUAAUACAAAUUAUAAUAUAUUUAGAUAACCAGUAAAUUUUGCUGUAUCAUGUAAGAUGUUUAAUUCGACAUUUGCAGAAUUUCUAAAUCUCUUGUUAUAGAUCAUCUUCUUUUUUUAAAAAAAAAAUUAAUUUUAUAAAUACCAGUUUUUUCUUCUUCAUGAAGGGCAGAGCUGUUUCAUUAUUGUGCUUUUUUCAUGUCCUUAAUAUUAUAGUUAAUCUUAAUCCAUUUUCAGAUUGAUUUCCAUUGUUGUCUGAUAAGUGUUUGUUCAUACACUUGCAUGAAUUUUACGCUCAGGGCUUGACAUGGCUUCUUCCAGAACGGUUUUCAGAGUCAGAAAUUGGACCAGAAGCAGGUUUUGUGAAAUUUUGGUAACAUUGGCUCUUAUUAUAUAACAAGUUUACAAGUUUUAAAGCUUAUUUCUAUCUUCCAAUGCUUUUAUACCUUAUCAUGAAAAUGUAGGUGAAUGUGGAUUAUUAGAAUCUUGUUGUCCACUUGGUUGUUUUGAUUUGGAGAGCUGUAAACUGUAUUUGGUCAUAUUAAGUCUGUAAUGUUCUUAAACUAUUUUCUUCCGCUAUUCCCCCUUAUCCCGAGCUUCACUAUUUUCUUUUCUUUCUUUGCGUUGGUGGUUUUGGUUAAUAGGAAUGGGGUAAUCUAGUUGAACUGUCAAAUAGAUAUAAUAAAUGUCUACUUGCAGUAACUUCAUUUUUGGGCAUAAUCACUGCUGUACAUGAACACAUCAUCGAGACAACUCCAACUCAAAGAAACACUGGGCAGGUUGAGUCCUCUUCCUUCCCAUACUCACUAUGCAUAACUUUGCUUAAGGACUUGGAAACAUUGGUUGAAGUUGCAGCUCAACAAAUUUUUGGUGAUGAUAGAAAAUGGAACUUCAUUGCUGCCACAGAGGCUACCAAGUAAGGGGAAUGUAUAAUUGGCUUUCCUUCAACACCUAUAACUUAGAUUUGUUACUGUUCAUAGUGACACCAUUACUUGGUUGUCCAAAAUGUUACAGGGUGUUAGUUAGGCUAGCUAUAUUUUGGAACAGUGGGUACAAAAUGGUCUUGCACGGUGGAGAGUCUGUAAAUAUUGAGAAGGGACGAGAUGCUUAUAACUCCCAACAGAGGCAAGGGCACUUUGCCAAUCCUGGAAACCUUAAUGGGACUUAUUAUUAUGGUCAGGCCCCAUGGAAUCUUGAAGGAAGGGCACUGUCGGCUUUGAGUAGGUUUGGAGCGAAUGCCAGGAUGUUAUCUGAGCCGACAUGGUUGCUUAGGGUUCAACACCAGCAAGCAAUCAUGGAGCCUCCAAGUAAUUGUAUUUUUAUCAAUUUUAAGUAGACAAUGUUAUUAGAACAUGAAUAUUCAGUCGAUCCUUUUCUUUCUUUAUGUCAUCACAGUUAAGACAGCUGAGAAACCUAGCCUUUCCAGCAUCUUGUCAGAAAAAGGUGUUUAUGGGGGCUUGUUUCUGAUGGGGGAAGUAAUGUUUAUUGUAAGGCCUCUUGUUUAUGUGUUACUGAUAAGAAAGAAUGGCACUCAGUCUUGGUUUCCAUGGUUUACGUCGCUGGCCAUAGACCUAAUUGCAAAUGGUGUUCUUUCAUAUGUGACUGCAUUGAGGACUAUCAGGAAAGACCCCCUUUUUGAUCUUUCCAACCAAGAGAGGGAUGAGGUUAGUCACAUUAAUAGGUUGUCAAUUUAUCUCGAGUCAAUUUCUGUUGCUUUUAUGGCAUGACUGCUUGAAAUCUAUUGUGGAUCUUUCACCUUAGCCAUAAAAUGGGGGCCUUUUUUGCUUUCUCUAUAUGUUGCCUCUGCAAGAUAUUGCCAACUACAAAGGAUGAAUGGAAUGGUUACUCAGGGUGUAGCGCUUAGCCCAUUCUGAGAGAUAUUCAUUCUGUAAACAUUUUGGAUUUAGGAGUUUGACCUUCUUGCAUGCCUGCAUGUCCUCACUGUUUGUGUCGUUUUUGGUAUAAACAAGACAAUUUCAUUCUCCAAGUAUUUCACUGCAGUUUGCAUUUGGACCUUUAGCGUCUGAAAGUGAUUUGUGCUAUUUUUCUAAAUUCAUUUUCUUGAUAUGGUUAUGAGACAGCUAAGGAGGAGGAAGCUUAUGUGGGCUCUUUACCUUAUGAGAGAUCCUUUCUUUAUGAAGUACACACGGUAAAUAUCUGCUACAUCUAUUCAUGCUUGUUUACUUCUGCAUUGAAGGGUUUAGGGCUUUUUUUUUGGGGGGGGGGGGGGGGGGGGGUUGGGUUGGGGUGGGGGAGUAUGAAUUGCUGAUGGUUGGUGAAUUUUUCAGGAAAAGACUUGACCAUACCCAAAAGCUACUAGAGCCUGUACCUGUCAUAGGGUUUUUUGCAGGUAUUGUAGAUGCCUUUUCACAAUUGGCUUUUCUUAUUAUUUAGUAUUUUUAGUUAUAUGGCAGUAGACAUAUUUCCCAUGCAAAAUUUUCUCUUGAUAUGCAGAAAAACUUAUUGAACUUAGUAUUGGAGCACAGACACGCUACACCUACAUGUCAGGUUCAUGAUGAAAUUUAUUUCUUCUGCAUGAUUUAGAGGUGAAGUAUUCCCAAAUCAGGGAGCAAUAUUUGGAGUUUUUACCAGGAGUAAUACUUCUAGUGCAAAUUGUUGUAUCAAAUGUUGGUUUCCUCGGUAAAACGUACACAAGGUCAAUGUUGUAGUCCCUUGCAUCAACCAAGCACACCACAGUUCUAAUAAACAGUAACUUGUAAUAGUUAAACAGUUUCACAAACAAUUACUUAUAAUACUUCCAUCAAUUAGAAACUGUGGCACAACAAAUUAGUACUUGCUUUGUUAUUUGCUUUUGCUGUGCCUGUUGAAUUUUUAAAUACAUAUGGAAGGCCUGUAUUUACUCUUUUCUAGUCCCUCCCCUUUCCUCCAAUUAGGUAGAAAAUGAAAAACAGACAAUGAAAGGCCGUGCUUUUCCUCUUCUGAUGGUAAGCUCCAUUUUUUCUUCUCCUCGGAAUUUACGGAAGAUUUGAAAAUGUGUGCCUCGUGUAAUUGUAUGCCAGCAUUAGUUAUAACUCUUUUGAGUAAUUAUUAAUCAGACAGUGUGACACGUGCUGCCAAGUUGAUUUGCAUUCUAUGUUUUACUAUAGAUGCAUUGAAUUUCCUCCUUACUACUUAAAGGUGACAAAUAAAAUAUUGCUGGAUUUACAAUUCCAUUUCUACAUUACCUUGCGCCUGUAUGAAUGUGUAACGGCUUUCUUCUUUUCAACUGCGAUUUGGUGCGAGUAUAGGUUGAAUUUGCUGAUUUUCUCGUACUAAAUUUGAAUGAUUUUCAGUUUUUUUCAUUUUUCCUUUCUUUCUUCCCUUUAUAUUCUUCCUUUAUGUUCAAAUUCCAACCUUUCAUCGUGGGGUGUGCGUGUGAGAGAGAGAGAGAGAGUUCUGAAAGCAGCAGAGUUUAGAAACAUCUUGAUGAUUAUAUCAUCAGGCAGUUCCAUUUUUCAUGAAUACACAGAACCUGCUCUGAGCAACAAAUUCCACUUGAGAAUGUGAGAUCAAUAAUGCUCUAUGCCUAUCAAGUUUCUUUGGAAUUGAAGAUAAUGUCGUUUACAACCUUAAUUUCACGUGGGCGAAAACCUACAAGAAUUGAUUUACAACCACUACCUUCAGAGACAGAUAUACUCUAUAAAUUCCGGUGCACCUAGGCCUUCACAGAAAAUCUGAAAUAAGUAAAUGCCAUAUAAUAGUAACAAGUAACAAAAAUGAGGUGUUCGGCAUCACUUUUCUGAUGUCUUGCUGAGCUCCUCCCAAUUAAUUUCCCGUGCACAUUCUCCACAGACAGUGCUGCAACCCAUUUUUGUGCCCUGACUUCGAAGUGUCAGCAGAUGGGAGAGAUUUGUACAUUUUCUCGUAAUCAUCCGGUUUCUUGCGCGUGAAGUUGUGGAUUCAAGAUUGAUUUCAGGAGCAGAGGGAACUGUGUUUCUGCGAGCUGGUUUUUCAUCAAAUGAAGUUUCCUCGAGAGGUACUGUCUGCUGCUCAUGUGCAAAUUUGUUAUUCUUCCCCUGCUGAUCAAAUGUAGAUGCAUCAGGUGAAACUCGUUGCACUUCCUCCCAUUCAAAAGUUCUCCUGUAUACUUCCCAAGCCAUCUCUUGUUCCUCUUUUGACAGCUUUUCCUCUUCAUUCUCUUGCAAGAGAGUUUCAUGUUCAUGAUAAUGUGCAAUCCAUCUAUAUGUGUAGCACAACUUUAUUAGUGAAUAUGCAUAAGACUGCAUUAGACAUACAGCCAAGUUUACCAUACAAGCUGAAGGUCCAAAAAGAAAUGCAGCACAAGCUCGACUAUUAAUCUCUUGGUGGACACAAGCAACUGAUCGUCACAAAAACAAAAUUGUUUUCCAUAUUGGUAGUGAACUUGUAACCUACCUAAGAUAAUGCAGUAUUAAGUUCUCAUGAAAUAAUCUCAUAGACACUCGAAACGAAAACAAUUGGAGACCUAGAUCAGUCAUUGAAGGAUACAAGAAGAAAGCCUCCCAACUAAUCAGAAACAAGUCAAUAAAUAUUCUAGUAGUUUGAAGAAACACUACUGUCUUUCCAUAAACAGUAGGAAAAUAGACAAUCUAAAAGUCUAAAGAUACUUACCAACUACCAUUUACAAACAAGCUCACACCAAAGGUAAAAAAAAAACGAAAACAACAUAGGUUAGGACCAACAGAAAUGGAAGCGGGAAAGACUCUCAAGGCAGACAUGGCUUGCAGAAUGUCAGGAGUGAAUCGAGAACAAAAAGUGCACACAGAAUGUCAGAUAUUUGCCCAAACUUUGUAAUUUCCAAGUUUGAUACCUUAAUAUUUAUUUGCUUUUUAUACCUGCCAGGGUUGAAGUAGACUGAAGAAAUAUCUAAGGUAUUAAAUAAGAAUUAAUCUUUCAUACACUGACAAUGUAUAUACUGUUAGUAUUGGAUGAAUGACAACUAUGCAAAAUUUGAAUUUCGCAAAAUUUGAAUUUGAAAUUCAACUUUUGCACACAUGUCAUGAAUCUAACGAUGAUAGUGUAUACACUAUCAGUGUAUAUAAGAUUUAGUCAUUAAAUAAUGUCAACACUGUCACCAAAAGACAUUUGAUUUUCACAAUAUUGAUCAACUAAUUAGUCAUCUACUUUUAACUAGGUUGAGAUAAGUGUUGCAAGUUGAAGCUGGCUAAUUUCUUGACAUUUGAUCACGCCAGGCAGGAAAUAGAUUUCUGUGUAUUACGUCUUUGAAUCAUUCUAGAGCCUUGAUAAAGAAGGGCUGAGAAUAUGUAAUGUAAACACAUAGCAUUAAGACUUUCUGGGAUUAUGAGAAAGAUACCGUUACUGGCAAACUACCUAAAGCACUACGAAAAGCUCUAUCAUCAAGAUAGCAAAAGCACCAAAUGUCAGGUAGGCAUAGCGAGAAAGAUACUGUUACUGGCUAACCACCUAAAGCACUACGAAAAGCUCUAUCAUCAUGAUAGCAAAAGCACCAGAUGUCAGGUAGCCAUAGCAAAUAAACACAUCUCACUCACUCGUCCGGAAGAGUGAAACUCCAUAUAGGGUGUCGUGAUCCGACUGUAGUUUGACACAAAACUUGCAAUAACCACACACUGACAAUGCCUUGCCAAUCACCUUUGACAAAUUCUCAUGCCACUAUUGAAUGAUAAACUAGAAGACAGACAUAUUAACUUCUUUUAUAUAGAGGCAAAACCUCCCGGAAAUGAAAAUUACAAUUCAUUGUCUGCUUUUCUUGAUCCUAAUAUCUUCAAGGAAAAAAAAAGGUAUUUAUUGGUAGUUAAAACACCUAUUUAUUAUCUCAAUCUUUUUCUACAGAAUCUUACAAAUUCUGAAAAUUUUAUGCAGGAAGGUGCAAGCAGGAAAAGCAAAAUUGCUUAACUUCAUUCCCAUGCAUAUACACAAGAAACCAACAUUCCCACACUUCUAAUUAAACACAAACAAAAGCAAUGGUGCAGGUUAGAGAUUUGCACAUGAUAGAAGUCAGAAUGUAAGCUCUCAUUAACUUCACACCCAAAAAAUAUCUUGAGCAUGUUAACAAAGCCUACCUUGGUUGAUGCCUGGCAAUCAAGCUCUGCAUCAAUUUAUCUGAGGAUGUGCCUCCAGAAGUUAAAGGGACUUUCUGCUUUAAAACUGCUCCAAUAUUACUGCUUACAUGAAAAUCAGCUGCAUCUAUUUUCUCUUGUCCUGACUCAUGCAGCGGAUCAGGAUUUUCAUCAUCACCAAAGUCAAAAAGAUGCAACAUUUCUUCCUUUGAUAUAGUUCUAUGUACUUGCUGCCGGUCAACCACCCUUGCAGCAAGUCCUUCCUUGGUCACCUGUUAACAUCGUCCUUGCUUGUUUUGGUCACACGCAAGUUAAAGAGAACAUGAAAUAGGACUUUGAUCAAAUAUUACCUGACGCUUGUAGAUUUUCUCCUCCAUUGUUCCAUGACCCAGCAAUCGAUAAGCAAAGACUGGCUUCGUCUGCCCAUACCUGCAACAAUAGGUAAUACUAUGUUAAAAUUAAAAUUUUAUCAUCUCAUAUCUUGCUCAACAUUCAUACCUGCUCAAAACCCAAAACACACCUCCAAACCCGAAAUAUAGCCUGAAGAUCAUAGGUUGGAUUCCAUGAGCCAUCAACUAUAAUUACACGAUUAGCAGCAUGAAGAUUGAUACCCAACGAUCCAGCUCUAGUUGAUAUCAAAGUGCACUUAACCCUUCUGUUCGUCGGCUCAUUAAACCUCUCCACCAGUUUCUGCCUUUCAGAGCCCGCUGUUCUUCCAUCUAGCCUGUAAUGACGCAAUGAUCUUAUAAAGCAGACCACUCUUUUCUAUCGAAGUCAAUAAUAGUUAAGGAACUUUAACAAGGGGGUAAUCACAUUUGAGUGAUGUAAAAACUCGACCCAACUAGAAGAUCAUCAUUAAAGGGAGUACCAAACUCUAUGGCCCAAAUGAGUUAGGAGCUGCGAAAGCCAGUGAGAUAGCCUUAAUUAUCUACUCCACUCUCUAGUGCUGAUUCUUUUUCACGUUUUGAACAAAACCAUUAACUUUUCCAAUUGAAAAAUCACAAACAUGAUGGUAACAAAAGAACCCAUCCACAAGUAAAAAGAAUAAACCAGCAGGGACAUCUUCAUUCGAGAAAAUUGAGAAAAGCAAGUGACAAAAUAGCAGCAGAACUAAAGGUGAUGACCUCGUGUUAUGCUUAAGAAAUCUACUAAUGAAUACUACUGUAUGAAGUACUAUAUUGGCUUUUCUAGAAAGCAAGCAUCUUUAAACAGGCCUCAAAAUCCCUAGUUGUGGCGCCCAAUAUAGAGAAUCGUCUCACCAAGCAGCACCAAAACCACCGCAACUUAGGGGUGAGUAAACCACAGUUCAAUAAUAUAAGGACAUUUUUGUCAGCAGCUCUACGGAAGUAACUACACUAAAUGUCAAAAGUCUCAUGAAGCGUUACAACUGCACUAAAGUGCUCCUCAUUACCCCUCAAAGGCUUAAUGUUUUCUGCAUUCUUGCUAGUAUACAUGUCAAGAUCAUAAAUGUCAAUAGAAAAACAGUAGAGGUUCGAGGAGCCAAAGAACAGCAUACACGUCCAAUUUCAUAAGGGAAAUUUGCAACACUCUAAUCAUGGACACUCAAAGGAAACAUCAACAAGAUAUUUGCGCAACAUCAAGUCAAAAGCUUCCCAAUUCUCAAUAACAGCAGCAUCUAGGGUGGAAAGAGAAAAUGAUUUUAGAAGAACGAAGAUGAUCAUAAUAUGAGAAGAAACUGCAAAUCCACAUUAAUUAAUAUGCUUAUGCAUCAAUUUGUUGAGACAGUGUGGACAUACCUGUACCAGUCUUUUCCUCGUUUCCAACAUUUCCCAAGUUUCCCUGGACGAGGUAAUUUUGAAAGAUAAAACUCAAUUAGAUCCAAAGUUGACAAGCUCUGACUAAACACCAAUGCCUUGUCUCCCAUAUUAGAGCACAACGUCAGAACAUCAAGUAGCAGGACCAUUUUCCCACCAUAGUCAACCUCCUUAUAGGUAUUCUCCUGAAGGAGAUCUCUCCACCAAUCCUGGUUAACAUUUGAACGGACGAAACACUGAGUCAAAUGUAAAAACAGAGAAGAAACAAAAAAUGAAACGGCAAGCCAAAAGUUGAAUUCGAAGUAGGAUGGUAAAAACCUGAUGAAGAUAGCCAUUAUCAUUUCUGCCAAGCUUUUCUGAAAAAAAAUUUAAACAUUAUCAUGACAUCAAAGUUUAAUAUAAGGGAAAGAUAGAAUCAGUGACAAUCCUAUACAAUAAAUACAGAAAAAGCACACGGGAUCUGCACUAAGGGGAGACAGCCAAAUGUUUGUAAAAUCUAGGGUUAAUAAAGGUGAAUGGAUGCAAACGAAACUUCCAUCAAGUGGCAGCUCACAAGUCAUCUACAGUUGGGUGUAAAAUUUCUGAAGUUCAAUCUUUGUACAAAUUCUAAUGCACUUUGCAACCAAAAAUACACAAUUAAACCCAAGCAUAUGUAAAAGCAAAUGGAUAAUGCUGAUUUAUGACAAACAGAUAACUAGAACAAGAAGGGUUAACAAUUUAUAUAUGUCUGCUGAAAGUAAUGCACAGUGAUAACACAAUAAAAAAACCAGAGCUUCCUCUAAUUGGAAAGAGAUAUAUUCAAUGUGUUCAACAUAGUCUGUUUGCUUGCCUGCAACAAACACUAUCUCAAAAACUAUUCAGGACAUUGUUCUUCCUUCACUUCAACUAAGUUCAGUAUUUAAUUCAACAUAAAUUACUUCGCCGACAACAGUUGACUCUUAAUGCAUGCAGUACUAUACAGCAACCCAAUUGAAAUACCAUACAGCCUCUAACUUUAGACAGAAUAGUUAGUUAUAGGAGUUUUAAAGCUAGUACUGGAACAAAGCCAACAGUGGUGGUGAUAGUGAGUGAAACAAGAUUAAAAAAAUUCUGAUAAUAUGAUCCAUUGAUAUAGUUCAACAAUACCGAUAUCAAUUAGGCAUAGGCACUGCCACUACCAGGGGGUCUCAUUUUUGACUGUUCAAAUCCCAAAGUAAGAGCUUUGAUUUUCACUUUCAAACCUCUACCAGAACUUUAUUGUAUACAACUAUUACAUCCUAAUGAAUGAAUUAAUUCAUCCAGUAAUACACAAUUAACACAUAGCCCCACUUUGAUCUUGAUAACACAUCUUUCUAUCAUUAAAUGAAAAGAAAUGACAACAGGAUAUAAUUUGUAACAAGGAACUUCUGGCUUCAUUUGAAAUAUCUCCAGCAAAUUAUGCUCUCCUGGUAAUAAAUAAGUAAAAAAACACACAGCAGGUACUAAUUUCAAGUCAAAGAAAUCUAAUCCUCUAGCAUCCAGAAUGAGUUUACAUAUCAAAAUCCCAUCUUUAUGGCUUUUUUGCAACUUAUAUCAAGGGUAUCAUCAAUUAGUUGAUAGAAGUUCUACCUGCCCCAACCAGAAAGUUAUGGAUCAACUAUUUAAUGAUCUUGUAACUAUUCACAUCAUAGAUAUCUAGAGAACAAAAUCCUCAUUCUUAGUCCCCCUAACAAUCUGGACUUGAAAAAAUAGACAUAUCUGCCAGGUAUAAGGGCCUGAGACCUAAAUGUCAAAAAAAAUCAUGUCCGUGUAGUGGAACCACUCUUAUGUAUAAAGAUAGGAUUUUUUAAAAUUGAUUGCCAUGCUUGUCAAUAUAAAAAAAUCAUUUACAAAUAAGGCAAUCAAUAAGAACCAAAAAAUUGCAACAAGUACCAAAGUUGGAUCAGCCACAACUAAAUAAAGUGUACCUCCAGCAAUCAAAUUAUAAUCUACGUUCUCAUCAGAUGAGCUUUCAUCGCCUCCAAAAUUCUCAACAACAUCCUCAUGUCUAACAGUGUCUUUGUCUUCUUUCAUUAAUUGCAAAACUCCAGGAUGGUUCCAUAUCUGUAAGGUUUGGUCCAGUACAUGGGUAUACAAAAGUCAAGAAGAAACAUCAAGUCAAUGCAACUAAGUUUGUUUCUCUAAACCAAAACAGAGGAAUGCUAACUUGCAAUGAUAAUCUUAAAGUGAAAACCAGUCCAUUAAAACCACAGCCAAUCACCCAAAAAAUCAGUUAAACGCUUGCAUAAAAGAUUACAAUUCCAGUGAUAAAAUGAAGUAGCUACUUUAUUUGUCUAUUGGAAAUGAUUCAUAAUCAAGAAAAUUAUUUGUUUUCACUUAGAAGGACUGUCAUUACAAAAGAUAAUCAAACAGCACAAAUACCUUUCAUUUGAAAAUUUUGCUUUUUUAACAAACUAAAGAAAAAGAAAGUGUGUGUGGUGUGCGAGGCACCAUCCAGAUUAAGAGUUAAAGAAAGCCUUGCUUAAUUUCAGAAGGCAAGGAAAAAGGGUAAAGAAAAAACCCACGAUACAUCCCCUUGGAAGUAAUACUUUGUAGCAGUUUGCAUUGCACCAAACAACCAGAAUAUUUUCUAGUGCAAAUAACUUCAUGUUUUCCCCUCUGGCUGCAAGUAUUCACACAUUUGUGUAGUGCAAAUGAUUUCAGCCAGAGUACCUCAGAAAUAACAUCUAGCCACCUGUAACCACUUCCAAAGCUUUUGUUCUAAGAUGUGGUACAAUAAACAUGCUACCAUUACAUUCAAAUUCUUAGACUUUGUUGCAUUAGCCAAAAAGAGUUUGUACCAUCUUUUAAUGAAAAACACCCAGGAUUUAAAGUUAAACUGUUUCAUAAUAUUCAUCCAAACACAGAGAAGUUUCCAUGAGAGGACACUUUCGUAAAGCAUUUGAUGCACAACUAUAAGGGCCCUACAAGGAUAAAAUUUCCCAAGACAUUCUUCCAAGGAGUUGAGUACAAGAACUUUGUCCUCCGCAAGGCCUAAAAAAAAAUCUGUGUAGUGACUGUUCCAUGUUUCAAUAAUUUUAAAAUUGGCAAACAGAAAACAUGGACGUUUAUUCAAGUGACCACGGAAACAACACAGGCAAUGACAACAAGCAUAUCCAAGUCAUCAGGGAAACAACACCACCAACCACAAGAAGUCCAAACUAUAUUACCACAAUAAAGUAGAUCCAAACGCUAGAGCUACUCAAAUUCACUCAUCUUUAUCUAAAAGCAAUCUCGAACCCAGUUAUGAAAACAUUAACCAUAAAUUUCUCCUAUAAAUCUUGAAAAGCAACAGCAAUAUAGGACUCAAAUUUAGGGUGCUCUCUAAAGAGUAUUCUUGUACAGCUUAUAAUUGCAAAUCACCACUCCCUACCAGCUCAUCAGGGAAUCUGGAUCCUUCCACUAAGCUCCAUGUAUUUUACGUAGGACAUGCUCUGAUUCUACAGGAUCAGAGAGCAAUCACAAGGCUUCACAAACCCUUUUGGUGAGAGUUGCUUCAUACUCUGCAACCCUGCACAGCCCACAACCAAAGGGAUGUUCUUGUGACAGGUUACCUGAUCCACACCUCUCAAGCAACUGAAAUGAAUACUGAACCCACUCUAGCAAAAGGACAUGUAUAGGAAAACCAGAUUCUAGCAUUAACCAUUCUGGUGCUCAUACUCCUAAACGACCCAUUAUUCCUUAAAAUGAAUGCUUCCCUAACCUUGCAAACCAUGAAACCAAAUACCGUGCUGAUUCUAAGCAUUUUCCCAAUCCAGGAAUUCUUAGAUCAAAAAACCAGAUGACCAUGAGAACAAAAAAGAGAGGUAACAUCCUAAACACUAUGAGAGCAAAUAAGCUAUCCGCUUAAUGCUUUAAGUUUAUAUUGACAAAAAAUAUAUAUACUGGAAUUCUCACCAAUCUGAUCAUCCUUACCAGGACCAGCCCAUCAUUCAGGGUUAAAACAAUAUGCAGUUACUUUUCGUUUUCUUAACUAUAGCAAGAGAAAACAUCAGGGAAACUACAGACUUACACAAGUUUCAUGUGCAAACUAGUUGUGUACAACAAAUAGUCUGCCUAAGCAUGCAAGUAUGGAUGACAACACCAAUACAAGCAAACCGGUGAUGUACCUGAGCCAAGGCCUGGUACCCGACAAAAAAGCAUCGUUUCCUCAUCUUUUCACCAAGAACCUUGUCUUUUGUGAAACCAUGCACAUCAAGAAAUCUUUUGUACAACUUUUUCUGUAAAGAAGAAAGCUUCACAGCUAUUACGAAAACAGUUUUGGGGGGUAAAUCAUCUUUAACGACAUUCAUGUCCAUUCUCUGAACAAAUCCCUUUAGUUGUUUAUACAGAAUAUGAGAUCUUUGAUUCAUAAUCUUCACAUCUUCAGCUGUAGAAUUGGUAUGUUGGCCAUUUUCUAUGGGAUUUUGGAAGCUGCAAAAAGUAAGGAGAAUGAAAACCUAGCAAAAGUAACACUAACGAAAAAAUCAGUCUGGAAAAAUCCGUUAAGAAGUCUUGCCGAUUUCUGAACUCAUGGCUGCUACCAAGAAAUCCUUCUCUUACAAAAUUAACCAUCUGAACAAGAUAAAACUUUACACAAUCAGAAAAGCAGCAAGGGAAUUGGACUGUUAUGACAACAAGCUACGUCCAAAGGCCUUACACAGUAGUACUCCAUUAAAUUGUUCUGAAGAGGUGAUCCAGUCAAUGCAAUCCUUCUUUGGCAUUUGACUAGCUUCAAGGCUUGAGUCACAUCAGCCCUGGUGUUCUUGAUCAUGUGAGCCUCAUCACAAACAAGUAUAUCCGGUCCAUCCUGAUGCAAAACUCUAGUCUUAUCACGAUAGAGCAUCAAAUACAUCAAAUGCAUAUCACCAUGGUCAGAAUGGAUAAUAGAUAUACAUCAUUCCAAAGUAACCAGCACGAAAACUUCUAUCUGGUUUAAGUUUUCAUAGUGGACUUUCAUGAAAUGAAGGGGACAAAUAAUUAGGUAGUGAAGAAUUACCAUACCAUGUCCUUUCAAUUGAUCCUAUCUACUGUAGUUUGCAUGAUUAGAAUCCUUCAACAUUAAAGGUGAACUUUGACACAGUGGUAAAGUUUCUGUGCCAUGAUCUACAAGAUUAAUGUAUCAAUACACAAAGACGUUCCUAGCUAAUAAGGUAAGCCUGGAUAAAACUAGCCCUUCCUGUACCCCUGUACUACAGAGAUUUUAAGAUUCUGCUAAUGAGUCCGACUGCAAGUCAACAAGAGAAGAAAGCUUUAUAACAUGAAGUCACUCCAUGAUAAAAUAACACAACAAACUUCCAAAGGUUAGGUACUACCCUAAAAACAAGAUUAGAUAAUUUUUACAACUCGUCCACAACAAGCAUCUGCAGUACCACCUUUUCCAGAAUGGUGAAAUUGAAGUGAACAUAUAUUUCUUCAAUUAAUUACAAGUAGCAAGACAAAUUCAAAUAGAAAACAGUAGUAAUCACCUGGAGGGCACAACAAAUAUCCCUUGCUAUAUGUCGAUCUUUGAUAUGCUUCCCAAGAGACAAAUUUCUAAAAGCAGAGUAGCCAAUCAAGAAGACACCACCUUUUCGUCUCCAUUUAGCAAGCAACUCAGCUCUUCGUUCCCUUGUAAAUUGUUUAUUGAAUUAAAACAAAAUAGUUCAGCAAAUUCGUACACAUUAUAGACUGCUAAAAGAUAAAGAAUCAUUUCAUACUGAACAAAGGGUAUGAUAUAAAUCAGAUUGACUAAAACAAAAGUUGGCAUCCAUCAAACUCAAACAAGUUCUGCACCCCUAACUGCAUUAUUACAGGCUCUAUAACCAUAUCUUAACCAAGUAAAGGAUACUCAACAUGCUAACUCCCUCUACAAGGAGUAACAUCCCUGUACAGCUGUUUAAAGACAAGGACAUCAGAUUUUGUUUCCCAAAGAUCUCAAUUGGAAAAAGCAACACAAGUAGAAAGAGGCAAUCUAUUUACAUCAUACAAGGCCUGACAAUCCUAAGCAAUAGGAAAAAGCAAUCACGUGGAUGAUAACAUCCGUGACUGUAGACCAUCAUUUGCAAGUCCUAUUAGGUAAUUGUAAUCCUAACUUGAAAACAGGUCCUGUUUGAACUUUCAACCACAAUCAUCUAACGAACAAGGUGUCAACAAUAUCAGCCAGGACAAAUGGGAGAUCAAAUCAACCAAUACAAAUCUGUGACUCAUAAAUGACACUAACAAAGCAAAGAUCGAUUAUGAACCAUUCUCUCACAGCCAAAAAUCAUAAGAUGAGAAUGUCCCAGCAGCAAGAAGCCCUUGCCGAUAAUUUGGGGCUCAUAUUAGACCUUGUAUAGGAACAAUAAGGUCAAUGACAAUGAGACGCAGCCCAACAAACAGUUAUUACCACUUGCACAUGAAAAAGAAAAUAAGUCAGCCAUCCAAGAAAGUACAUCGUCUGAGCAGAUAGGAACUAGAAUUUGUGCAAUAAAAUUGUCAUAAAAAACAUAAGCAAAAACUAAAAAUGCUCAUUUCAGGAACUAAAACAAGUCAUGGGCGCAAGAACAAGGUAGUUAACAAAUACAACAAUUAUUCGAGUAUAGGGUAUCAAACUAGAUGGUGAAUUGAAGAAGACAAACCUUGGAACAUCUUCCAGCAUGUAGAUUCGGAGAGGCUUCACUUCAGAUGGUUGCCAUUUGUUAAACUCAAUCCGCCAAUUAUGCAGGACACUAACAGGUGUCACAAUGAGCACACAUCUCAAACCCAAAUCCACACUUCGCAUUGCAGCAUAUAAGAAAGCAAUAACCUGCAGAAUCAAAUGCACUAAUCAGGAAAAUCACCCUGUAUGAAUUCCCAUCAAGAAAAGCCAGAAAUAUUGGUCAUGAAUACUAAGGAAAGGCAAAAGGCCAUGUGACAUAUCAUUUGCCAAGCUUCCUGAAUUUAAUUGGUCCUUGUAAUGUUUUCAUCUGCAGAUAAAAUCUUCAGACCAAAGACAAGUAUUUCAUUAACCAAGUUAUUCAUCUAGUGAAAACUGAGCUGAUACCAAAUCACUUUCAGCUUAUGUAUUGUCAUUAAAUAUCAAUUGCCGGUUCUGGCGGGUCUAUAUACUCAAAAUUUUAUGAAACAGUACUUAGUCUGCCAUACUUUUGCUGUUUUGGAAGAAGAAACAAUUAUGUGCACAGGCAAAUACUGGGGCAGGGGGCAAGAAAUCACUUUAAUGACAAAACAUUUAAAAAGAUUUAAAUAUUCCUAUCAUGGGUUUGCUUUGGGUUAGUCCCAGCAGUCAAUUCCCAAUUCUUCUAAUGCUACGUAUGAUAUACUAAAAUGCAUGUAAGGUUCAGGUUCAAUAUCAUUUCAUGAUUACCAUCUUGUUAGUUAACUUAAAACAAGAGUACCGCUGUUUUCAAUCAUCAUUAUAGACAUUAGUCAAGUAUAUCCAUUUCAAGUCAUAACACACAAUUAAACCAGCUCAAAAGACAUCCCACCAUUUUAGAAUUGAAAGCAUACUGUAACCAACCCUUCCCAAUAGUUUCUAUAUAUAUCCACCAGCAACCAUGAGUCCAUAGAACCUUUCUGUGCUUUAAAAUGCACAAAAACCUAUUCCAGAUGUCUAAAUUAGACAGUUAAUCAAUGCUAAUCCAUGAUAGCUGCAAAAAGAUAUAAAAUUUCCUACCUGGAAAGUUUUGCCUAAACCCAUGGUAUGAGCUAGUAUGCAACCAAGGCCCUUAUCACCUGAUUUUACUUUUUUUACUGAUUGAAUGAUGUUCUCCCACAUAAAACGAACUCCCUCAAGCUGCAGAGAGAAACAAAACCAAAAAUUCGCAAAUUAUAAUACCAUCUUCCAAAAAACAAAAGAUACAAAUAAUAUAAUGAUGAAAGAAGCAACCACGUGGAUAUAAACUUCUUGAUUAAAGGUUGAGACAGUACAAGGAAAGUAAGAAAAGAUGUAUAUAUUCUUUGAAGAAAGGGUGUUCAUGAUCUUUUGAAGCCACAGGCAUUAAAGAUGAGUAAGAUUAUAAAAGAAAUACUAAACAUGAACAAAAUUCAGCAAAAGAUGACAAAAACUUAAUGCAAGCACUCAAAAAAUUAAAGCAAAGACAGAAAACAACUGAAACUCAAACAUUCACAGAACUACCAAGAAAGGCCAGCAGUAGGAUAUCCAUGACAAAAUGUGAAAUAAUACACAAGUGGCAAAUGACAGUCCUAUUAGGACACUAACACAUUGCUCGAGAGACAAAAAAAAAAUUAAUUUUUCGAUGGCGAAAAAGCAUUUGCCUAAUUAAGAAACAUUUCAACAUAUAGCAUCCAGAUGUGAAAAUAAGGCAAAAGUAAAAGAAGGAACUUCAUAUACAAAAAGGAAUGUGUAAAUGCACGUAACAAGAGUUCAACCUGGUGCGGUUUCAAUUUUACUGAGAUGCUGGGAGGAAUCCAUAUGGGAUCCUCACCUUCAUCUCUUACAUUAUUAACUAUGUAGCCCCUUAAAGGAUCAUCUAACACUUCAACUGUCCUGCGCUCUGGUGAGUUCCAACUACAGCUUGUAGAUUUUAAUAUGGAAGAUCUCUUCGAGAUUUGUGCCCCCAAUGACUUAAGGCGCUCUUGGCGUUCCUAUAAAUUUCAGAAACAAUGAAGAAUUAUACCACUAUCAUUUUUUUAUAUGCACAAAAGGCAAAGGAAAAUUAUAGUAUCAAUCUGUUCUUGGCAAUUACCUUUUCAAUUGCAAUUUUCCUUUUAGUCUCUUCUCCCAACUCAGCAUCAUCAAGAAUUCUCCGAAUCUUCUUUUGUUGUCUUCUCUUAGUGCUGAUUUAACAGGAGGACAAUAACACUUUAGACACACCAAAAGUUGCCAACAUUUUACAACUUCAAAAACAAAUUCCAUAGCCAAAAGUAAAGCAUCUUCUAAUUCCACUAGGAUUAGCAUGCAUCAUGAUUACGAGAGCAAUAAAAUGUAUAUGGUAUAGCUUGAACCAUCUAUAACGAAAAAAAUACCCAAAACUUUCCACAGGAAAAAGAAACUUAUCUAUCCGAUUAUCAAAACCACUUGUGGUGCCAUAAAAAAGGAGAAAAAUUCAUACACAACAUUCAAUCCUAAAAAUAUAUCCUUUUCAUCAUAAGUUUAUUCAUUGGUUCUUGCACCUCAUAAUAUCACUAGCUUUUGUGCCCUUGCUUUCUUUCUAAAAUGACAUUACUCCUAAUAAUCAGCUAAACAAUUAGAGGAAGAUAGAAAAGCAUUUAAUUAAUCAAGCAUAAUGAGAUAUGAAACAUACCCAAUAACUAUGUCAAUAUUGGCAUCAGAAUCAUCUGAAUCAGUGUCUGAACUAGAAUCCGUCAGACCAUCAGAUUCAACAACCUUUUCCGAUUGUGAGGUCAAAUCCUGCAGCAUACUUGGAAUGCAACAGCAACACUGCCAACCGGUCUUCUGGACUUGUAACAAAAUCUUUUCGCCAAGGUUCCGUUUUAUACAGCCAGCACAGAAAAAAUUUUUGCACGAUCUACAACUUUUUAAGUCACUGUUUUGGCCACACCAUCCGCAAUAGCACUCAGAGCAGUCAAGAUCCUGUCAAAGCCAAUAUUCAAUGUAUAAUACCACACAUUGCAUCUAGGUGCAGUGUUCCUCAUCUCUUGAUACAAAACAAGUGCACUAACUGUGAGGGGUAGUAAUAAAGGCAAUUAAUUAAUACCACACAAAAGAUGGGGAACUUUGGACACCAGUUUAGGCAAAACAUUUACUCAAAUUAUCAAAAAUAACAACACAGAACCAAACCCUACGUAUUCAUCAAAUUCCACAAAACAAUUCAAACUUGAAACUAAAAGCAUUGGAUUAUUGGCUAAAAGUUUGAAACUAAAAGUUUGGAAAAGAAUAUAUGAAGAUAAGUCAUCAAUUGCCCCCUUGUGGUUAAGUGAUCCAACACUUUUAUACCUCAUGUUUUUAAGAAUUUAUGCACUCCCACCAUCCCAAUUUUAAGGACGUUUAUUGGGAGCGCAACUUUUACGUACAGCGAUAGCAUUAUUGACAACCAGGCCUUUGCUUCCAAAUUUACCCCGUUACAAGCACAAUAGUCAGCUGAAAUUUGUGUUUUUCAUGUACUGAUUUUGCUGGUACCAUCUCAACCAAAUGCAUCCCUUCAUAUGUUAAAGACAUGCGCCAUCAUUGGCCUUAUAAAGUGAGCAUUAUUGACAACCAGGCCUUUGCUUCCAAAUUUACCCCGUUACAAGCACAACAGUCAGCUGAAAUUUGUGUUUAUCAUGUAAUGAUUUUGCUGGUCCCAUCUCAACCAAAUGCAUCCCUUCGUAUGUUAAAGACAUGCGCCAUGCCAUCAUUGGCCUUAUAAAGUGAGAGUUGUCACACACUCCUCUAGCUUCUCUAAAUGGAUAAUAAAUAGUGGGUCCUACUAAAUUUCUUUGGACUUUUUAACACAUUCACUACGAGGGUAAGGAGGGAACGAAUGAAAAUACUGUAGCAUGACGCUAAUUUUGGGACAACAAAAAAGGUGAAUCAGGACAUUAACAAUGGGACGGAGGGAGUGGCUUUUAUCCACCUACAGUUCAGAUUAAGGCAAACCAUACACUAAGCCUAUUGUUAAUUGUUUCAACUUUAUUCAAGACAAUUAAACACAAGUGAUAAUUGAUUAAAAUGUACUUUUGCUUCAGAAGUUUUCAAAAGCCUAAAGGUGUACCCAAAGGCGCCUACAGGCAGCUUCUCAAGACGAAACUCUUGCUGAUGUUAAAACGAGCAAAAGGCAAAAGACAAGCCCAACCAGGAUGACCUCAGUAUGUAAUAUAAAAUUACAAUGAGUCUAAGAAACUGGGAACAAGCCCAUUUACAUUAAAACUAACAAUGAGUCAAAGAACUAAAUGCACCUCUAAAUACGUUUGUUUAGUUUCCUUUUCUUGUUCUUUUCCUCUUUCCAUUUUGCUUGUUUAUUUCUCCAUUCACCCAAAUAGAUGGCGUUAUAAUAGGACUGAUUCAGCAAGCUGAGCUGCCACUGACAGCUGAUAACCAUUACAAAACCUAUGUGUCAGAUUCUUUAAUUUUCUUAAACUUGGAUACAGCAACAAUUUGAGAAUAAACAGAAGAGAUGAAACGAUAACCAUUAUAAUACCUAGGUGUCAGAUUCUUUAAUUUUCUAAAACUAGGAUACAGCAACGCCGUCAAAGACACAGACACAGGUAAACGGAUAUAUCCCAUAUCCUCAUUUGUAACAUGGAACCAACUUAAAUUAUCUUCUGGCUCAUGUUUAAAAGAAACGUGUAUGUACCUGUGUUUAAUAGGAAAAAAAACAUAUAGAGAAGGAAAGAAGAAAGACAUAACAAUUAGAAUGAAAACAGUGGAUUCAAACACUAUAUAAAAUUUGCACCCUUCACCCUCUUUCUCUUUUUUUUCUUGUGUUCAUUAACUUGGAGUCUCAGAAACUUCCAAUGAAGUGUCCAACAUAGAUCCCAUGACAAAACUGGUGUGAUAUCAUGUUGGACAUGCAUAUUUAGGGUAGAGAAGAGUCCACGUAACAUGGAAGCUAGGCACUCUGAAGUUCAGUUAGAUAGCAUUUUAUUGGCUUUCCUCAUUCUUCAAGAUUUUGUUUUCCUUAAUCCUAAUAGACCAAGCUUAUAAAUGGUUUCAGGAAAAGUCUGUUUGAUCAAAAUGGUCAAGCAACAUCAACUGAAAUGUGAUAGACAAGCAUCUUUUUUGUAUCAUCGAAGUUUUAUAUAAAUACUAUAUUCAGCUUCUCUAAAUUGCAUUAUAAAUGGCGAAAAACAUAGCAAAAUGAAUAAGGAAGAGACCGUCUAGUAUGGUUCAAGAUUUUCAAUUUCUUUUUUGCCAUAAACAAAGCAAAAUACUUGUUCUACUUUUCAAAGGAAAACAAAACAUAAAUGCAAUUAAUUUGGUUGGACAACAACUUCUGGUGUGUGGAGGGGUGUGGAGUAGAAGAGACUUGGUGGUGAACCCUACAAAAAGGGUGGGAUAGUGAUGAGCAGUGGUAGGUUGUGACAGAGAUGUGCGAGGGGGUUGCAGUGCGGCAGGAGUGGCGGUUCUAGUGCACUGGGGUUUUGAUGAAAGAAGGGGAAGGAAUGAAGUUUAAGGUUGGGUGAGAGGGCAGAGAUCAUGGAUUAAAUGUGGGGUUGGGGAACGAGUUCUGGCUCCAUGUGGUGGGUUUGGCGUGAAGGUGAAGAUUGAAUAGGGGUGAGCAUCAGAGCUAGGGCAGGGAUGAGGGUGGGAUUGGGAUUAUGGUGGGCUACAUAUGCGGUCUGGGUUAGGGAAGGCAGGAUAAGGUGAAGCAGGGGAUGUUGGUUGGUUGAGGGUGAGAAUAAAUAAAGAACAAUCUUGACUUACCAAUGUCGAUUUAACAUGCUUUUACAAUAAAACAAAACAACAUUUUUGGUGUUUAAAACAAAGCCCCAUUUUUAUAAACAUUUCCUUUUUUGGUUAAACACAAACAAUUUUCAUAAACAAAACCAUAAAAACAGAGUACACAAACAUUACCAAAUGCCCCAAACUUAAUGCAAUAAUAGCAAACGACAAUACCUCCUGUAUCUUUGAUUCCAUUAAGUUUUUGCAGUCCAAACAUAUAGAUACUUUCAAAAGAGGAUGUAAGUGUGCUUCCCAAGAAACUUUAUCACAAGCUGUGCAUCGAAAAUGUUUGUUCUCUCUCUCAAGAGGGAAAUUAGAGGAAGUCAUCUUAUCUCCAUUGUUUUUCAAGUCACAUAUAUCCACCAUCCUGCUUGCAUAGCAUCUUGGAGGAGGAGAUCCAUCCAUGUUAGGAUUAUGACUGCCUAAUCCAUCACAGUCAUCUGAACAGUUCAAGUCCUGAGAGUUUACUAAAACACAUGGACCCAACUGAGCAUCCAUCCCUGAAUCCGCAUUAGAUUUUAGGUUCUCAACAUCCACAUUGCUUGAUGAUUCAUGCAUUUGAAAGGCAUCGUCAUGAUUACCAUCAGGGGAAUAGCCAUUCUCAAGAGAACUUUUCUUCAAAGAAUGGAUAGAGCACAGAUUUGAAGGAACUGGACUACCUAAACUUCCAUUUUCUGCGGAAACUUCUUUCCCUAGAACCUCCUGGUAAAAAAAGGAACAAAUCAGCACGUCAAAAAUCCAUUAAGUCCUGGUCAUACACAUCAGGCCGACUACAGAUAGAAACUGGAAAAGGGGACUGAUUAUCCCGCAGAAACUUAAUGGAUGGGAGUGUUUUUCAAAAACUAGUUUUUCAAAUACAAUAAAAAUUUUUAAACAGUACUCUAAAAGGUAAUCUAAAAAUUAGUUUAAAUUUUUUUAAAAUUUUAAAAAAUAUCUCAAAAUAUAUUCUAGAAACUCUUCUACUCUUAAAUAUCUCAAAAUAUUUUCUGAAAAUAUCCCAAAAUAUAAUCUAAAAACUCUGCUACAGCAAAAUUUUUCUAAAACACCUCCAAAAACAGCUAAUCCAAACAGAUAGCAAAUUAUUUGCACAUACACUUUGGUAUUACAUAACAAGCAGAAAUAAAUCAAAAAGCAAGUAACAAAUCAACAUAAUGUCCACUUAAGAAACAGAAAUGCCAAAACGCAUUAACUUCCAAUCCCUGCACAAGUCUAUCAACAGGACAAGACUUUGAUGCCAGCAACUGACAAUGCCUUAUUCAACUUUAAAAAGAAGUAAAGCCACUUAAAAGUACUUUAUUCAGAGUCCUCAGUUAAAAAAAAAAAAAAAAAAAAAAAAGCAGACACACACGCACACAGAAGCACCUAUUAACAUAUGCAAAAACAUCCAUACACCUAUCUUAGACAGAAAAGGGCGUUGAGUGAUUACUCGUGAUAGUUUAGCUGCACAACAUUCAUAAAACAGGUUAAAGUCAUGAAGGAUACAACAAAAAGUCCACAUAACCAAAAUCAAUGCUUACCACUCUAAUCUCAAUCAGAAAGUAAGUAAAAGAAAAAUACUUCUUUCAUACUCUUCUAACUCAUCUAACUCAUAACCUGGUAAUACACAUAUCAGCAAUUAAGUAUAUGUAAACUUAUAAAAAUUAGCUUCAAUAGGAUCUGAUGACAAUGCAUCAAAAACUCAAACUAUUGUAUGUCUAAGAGAAAGAAGGAUUCCCCCUUGAAGAAGGAUAAGAGUGAAUAAGAGAAAGAGCUUAAGUCUGAAGCAUCUACCACAGACUCAUUCCAAUGACUAAGCUACACGAAAGAUUUCAAUACCAUAUACACAAUCUUUCGCUCAUGUACACAAACUAAAGAGAAAAACAGUGUCAAAAAAAACUAUUUCGGUAAAUGAGACUAUUAAGCAGUAUGCAAUGGGAGUUUCUGUUAAAGGAAACAUCACAAGGACACAGAAAAUCAUUUCGUACAACUUUUAAAAAUAGGUCUGCUUCUUAAAUGCAUGUAUAGACCACUAACAGAAGAAACCACAUGUGUAGGCGAUGAUUUCCCAACGACUGUGAAUUGACAGUUAAUGUAUCAUCAAAAUAAUUAUAUUGGACCCUUGGACGACAUUUUUUUGUAAGUUCAAUGAAGUAAAACUGUGCACAUCCCCUUUGAGUGAUUACUAUCCCUCAAGCAAGACAAUUGAACUGAUUAUCAAUUUAACCUCUGGGAAAGAAGGAAAGGGAAGUUUAUUAGGUAUUAAUCCUUUAAAACUCCACCUAAAUCAAUCAUGUCACAUUCUCAAUUAGUUUCCCCUUCUGUUCAUUCAAAGGCAAUAACAUGCUACCAAAAAGGUUGCUACCAACAAUCUACUAAUAGAUUUCCCCAUAAACUAAUAGAAAAGAGAAUUGUAAUCAAAGCAAAGAUAGCAUGCAUGUCAACAUAAUUAACCCUGGUAUGUAUGAAGCUGAACUUCUCAUUAGCGUCAUUGUUUAGGGCUGUUAAAAUCAGUUACUUUAUCCAAGUCAAAAUUUUCUGUUGGUUACAAAAAUCAAAUUUAGGCCCGUGUUGAAGACGUAGUCAAAUAGGAUAAUAAGCUGCUAGAUUUUCUCAAAUUGGGCAGAAAAAUAAAAAUUUGUUAAAUGAAAAGGCCAAGCAUGCCAAGUAAUUAUGUUGAGCAACACAAAAAAAUUUACAUUAAUCUCAAAAAUGUUUAAGAAAAGUUUUGCUGUUUUCAUGUAGGCAUGCACAUAAAUCUAGAUUCUAGGAUAUUUUACAACCUCAAUUCAAUGGAAGCUUAGGAAAAGAAAAUGUACAUUUAAAAGUUAUCAGACCCCAGUAUGGUAUUGACCUGACAUGAGAAUGGCAUUGUAUAUGUACAGCAUCAACAUUGAUGUACAUAAUGCUGCAUUUGCAUUUAGAGUUGUGCAUGUGCAUGGGUUUUGAUUUAAAUAAUCCAUGAAGUGUGAGUCCAUAAAUACAUAGACGUACGCAUAUAAAAGUUCAGUGUUUGUGCAAAUAUAUGCACCUGAAGUAAAUAAGCUAGCUCCGAAUCCUAAAAAUAAGAAAGGAAAAGAAAAAUGCAUUUUUCUUUAUACAUUGACCAUCUUGAAUAGAAAUCACAUAUUAAUUUUCACAUAAAUUACUAGGGAGACUUGCUGUCAUUUAGAAAUAAAAUAUCUAUAUACUUCAAACUUUAUACAUUAAAAUGUUAGAAAUGAUUGAUGAUUUCAUCUCCGCCAGACAUGAAGUAUGCACCCUCACCAUGAUUCAUCCCCAUAUAAAAUUGUUUUAGCUGGGGAGUUUACACAGCAAACUACAACAAGGCCCAAUAGCAAUCAGGCUCUAUUAGACAGCGAAUAUUCCCAAUAGGUGCGGCCCAUCAUAAUCAGGUGAGCAUCUUCAUAAGAUUUAUCAUAAUCAUAAUGUAGCCUAUGGCAUCACUUAGUAGAUGACACUAAUUUCGUAUUGUUGUGAAGCUGCACGUGAAGAAUGUUUCCUCCAUAAUUACAUGAAUCAAGCCAUGCCUAGCAGUCAUUAGCAGAUGCUAGUAAAAUCUGAGACAAAAAUAAAAGUAACAGCUUGGAAACUAUACCUCCUUACAUCUUCUAAUGUUUCUUUUCCGUUUCAAAUGACUCUGAAGCUUCCUGAUAACCUUUGCAUCAUCUUCGUCUUUAACCUGUAAAUUCAACUAGUAAGCAAAACCUGAACAAAGAGCAAUUCUGUAGAAGAACAGUUUGCAUAUCAAAAUUUUAUGUUUUGUCAAGCACCUCACCUCUGCAUCAGAAAAAUGGCGCCACACAUUGAUCAAGAAUAAUGAAUUCUAGGCCUAAUCCAAGAAAUGAAGAAACAUAGAAAGAAAACUGACCAAUUACCAUGAUCAUUUUGCAUACCCCAAAUACUAAUAAUGGUCAUUGAUAUAUUUGACAAACUACUACCCAUACAACUUGUUAGGAUACCUAAAGAAUGAAUUUAAACAUAAACAAACAGUUAUUAACUUUAGAAUAUUAUUCUGGUUUUGAUCAAGUAGGCAAGACAAGGAAAGCUUCAUGGUGCACCAGUUGUCCCAUAAUAUUACUACAAAUUUGCUUAUUAACUAGAUAAUCAAGGACCAUUAGAACUAUCACUGGGCUUGGUAAUAUAGAUUCCAAUUCAUUGCUUUACAUCCCCCAAGGUUGAUGGUUUAUUGCUGCAAAAUUUGUCCAUCAAACCUUCCAUAAUUCCCUUUCCCAACAUCCAUCACAGUCGCAUCAAUACAAGUUAAUUCCACACUGUCAUCACCACACAAGGAUGGUGGUUUUCUGACGCUCAUAACUCACUCAAAUUUACUAGUUCAGAAGAGCAUAUAUUAUCCACACUGGCUUCUUCCAAAUUUUACCUGCAUCAAUUUUAGAAUACUAAAUCCUGACCAUCAUUAUCAACCUGCAUUCCACCAUAACCACCCACCUUCAAACCUUUCUACAAAGUGAGUGUACAUUUAUUUCCUAACUUAAGCUGGUCCUGCUGUCUUUCUUCAUCCACUCCUAAAACUUCAUUCUCUCUGCCUUGACGUAAUCAGUACCAUGAAUACCUCCUCAAUUUCAUACAUAUAACGACAAGCUAACUAAUUACAUCAAACCAAGUGUAUUAGACUCAUCAAGGUGAAGGCAACAACAGAGAGACAUUCCAGGAAGAUUUUUUCCCUAUUUAGAGAAUAUGAACCGCAGGAAAGUGUAGCUAGUAAACCAAACAAUAUUUCAGUUAGGAGUUUUUGAAUCCCCUUUGCUAAAAUAUCUUGAAUCCCCUCUUGUAAAGAUCUCAACUUAACAUCCAAUGUUUCUGUUAGGAAACUCAAGAGUUACUGCUGACAUGAAUAUCCAAUGCUAGAUCAACUUCAACCUUAUAAGUAUAGUAACCAAGGUAUCAUUAUCAGUUAAUACAGCUACUGAGCCAAUAAGCAUCACUUAAUGUGGCAUAACUUUCUUUCAAGAUACAAAUUUAGAGCGUAAGAGAUUGAAUGGCACAAUAAGAGCAAGGGCAAGCACUGGAAAAAGAAUACCCUCCACCCCUUUUUUGUACUCUGCUAGAGUGACAGAAGUAUGUGCCGAGUGUUAUUACAUGGCAUAAAGAAGGGUAAGUGCUGCAAAGAUAAAAGAAGCCGUUACAUACAUGGAACAUCACUUUAACCAAAUCUAACGGGCUAGAGACAUAGGUCCCUGUCCCCAUUAACAAGACUAUUUAAUGAAUUAUUACAAAUACACAUAGCCAUUAUACUAAAAAAUCUUCAUAUUCAACCUAACUGAAUACUUAAUUCCAUUGGUAAUCUAAAUAAAAAAUAGAUUAAUUUACAACUCUAUAGCAGGGUCAAACAAAAACACAGAAUAAAGAAAACUGUCAUGGAAGGAGAAGAUACCUUGGGAUUAAAGCAAUUAACAUCGAACUCUUAAUAAACAGAAAAGGAGAAUGUGGAAGAAAAUACCAUUCACAAACCUUCCUAAAAUUUCUCUUUUGUUCUUCAGUGAGACUUAAAUCUCCUUCAUUAGCAAUGGCAUCUGCAAUAAAUGGAUCAAUUGAAUUGUCCUCAACGUCACUGAUCUCCUCCACCUGAAUUUAGAUGAAGAUUCAGAAAAAAUAAAAUUAGAUGGACACAACACGAGAUGUUAAAUGCUGCCAACUCCAAAUUGAUGAUAUUCAAAAUCUCCAAGGGGGGUGGUCAGAUGGAGGGGUCUCAGUAGAAAGCCUAAGAUCAACCCCCACCCUCUCCUCUGCAAAAAAUGACCCAGGCUUACCACUUUGAUACUCUCAAAAUAUGAUGACAAUGUCAACUCAGCAAAUCACAGAAACAUGGUAAUGUAUUCCAGAAUAAUUAAUGCAGUGAGAAAAAGGCAAUAUAUAAACACACACAUAAGCCUAUAGAAAAAGACAAUAUAUCUGCCAGAAUAAUUAGCGCCAUGCCGUGCAUCAAGUCUUGAAAUGAAAAGGGAGGUAGCCUGCACACUAGCACCUAGUAUAAGCCUAUAGAUUUGGCCACUAAAUGAAACUAGAACGAAUGCAGUAAUAUUGCAGUUGGACAUCAAGAUGCUAAUAAAGGCUUCUAAAAUCUAAGCCAAGAAGUGCAGCAAUCAUACAACAGAUGAUUAAUAUGAACAGACUACAGCAGACUCUCACCUCAUCAACUCCAGGAAAAUUAAGGCCCAAUUCAGCAGCCUGCUGAGGAGUGCUGGCCAAGUAAACAGAAGCCCAUUCCUUGCUGCCAAAUGAUAUGCCAUCCAAAUUUGACUUGUCAGAGCAAAGUUCAGCAAAUUUGUCCCAAUCCGUGUCCAUGUUAUCUCUGGCGACUUCAGAAUCAGCAGUAAUAGCAAGUUUUUUCCCCAGAAAACCGCUGGCACCCUCCUCCAAAGUUUUACCAUGUCGUCUGUCCAAGGUAUAGGAAUCUACAUAUCAGAGUUCAAAACAGCAUCAAAAAUAAUAUCUUGCAAAGGGCAGAAAAACAUGCCUUCUUACAGGUCUGUGGAUUUGGAGAUACUUUUCAGCAGCCGCAACUGAAUCCUUAGCAUCGCUGGUACCCUGAGAUCCAACCCAGUGAGUCCUUGUUUUCCAUGCUUCAGUACAGCAACCAAGGGGAACCUGACUCUCAAUCCAUUUAUACAGACUAGGGAGUUCAAUACCAGCACCAUCAAGUUGUUCCUGUAGUUUGAAUACAUAAAUUAACCAUCCAACUUGGUAUAAACUGGAACUAUAACUUAGACAUAAAAUGCGUGAUGUAAAUUACCUGUGACAGAGCAAUAUUAACAUAGAAGAACUUAUAAGCAGAGACAAAAUUAUGCAGGAAAAUUGUAUUUUAAAAAAAAUUAUGCUGAGACACUAGACUUUCUCUAGAACAUGAGACUCACGCUAUUAACAUUACAGAUCCCAUUCAUUCCUCUAGUUUGAGAUAAUAGUUUCAAAUGACUUAGACAUAAAAUGCAUAAUGUAAAUUACCCAUAACAGAGCAAUAUAUAACAUAGAAGAACUUAUAAGCAGAAAGAAUAAAUUAUGCAGGAAAUCUUAAAAGAAAAAAUAUUAUUCUCAGACACUAGACUUUCUCCAGAACAUAAAAUUCAUGAGCUAUUUGUAGCUUUUCAUUCCUGUAGUUCAAGAUACUAGUUACAAAUGAAUUCAACUGCCAAGAACUAAACAAUAAAUUUAAUCAAACCAUCCAAAAGACUGUACAAAGGACCGAAAGCCAAUUCUCAGUUUACUCAAACCUCAUAGCAAAGUAAUGACAAGGAAGAUCAAGACCUAUGUACGUAAAGGUGAAGAAAUAAGCAACUUCCGCGGUACUUUAUGAACGCAUACCCCAACAGCUUACCCAGUGACUUCAUUUAAAUGAGAGGUGGAAUAAAUACUUUAGACGUCAUUUAACACUCCAAGAUACUCAGUUGGCGAACAGCUAGGUAAGGAAGCUCUUAUUGUUCGAAAUCGAUGUCGAUAGUGAAAAUUAAUUGCAAAGACUUUAAGCAAAGAAUAAUGUAAAGUAGAUUGGUAAGUGCUAGGUAUAAUAAAAUCAGCAUCUUUUAAAUGAAAAGAAACAUACCAAUAAGUUAGCACUCUCCUUCUCAAGCUCAUCAAGAACAUUUUCCCAGUCUUCCUUAAAAAUCUCCAUUUCUUCUGCCGCCACAUUCUCCAACUGUUACCCCAAUCACAAAUAAACCAAAAAUCAACCAAAAAAAGAAGCAACAGAAAUAUUUUAUAUAACAAAAUUAGACAAAUUUCACAAGGAAAUAGUUUUACUUCAUCUCCGGUAAGAGCUUGCCGCAAUUCUUCUCUAACUUCAGCUUCCACUUUUGCCAACGACUCUUCCUCUAGCGCUUCUUGUGCCUCCGCAGCCUUCAAAAUAAUAAAAAUAAUAACAACAACAACAACAAUAAUAAUCAAUUAUGAAUCUCCAAACCAAAACUAAAUACUUGCCAAAAUGGAAAAAAAACUGAAAAACAAAUAAUUCGAAAAAAAACACAACUUUUUUUAUUAUGUAAUAUAUGUGAGAUUAAAAAAAAACACAACUUGCCAGUUUGAAUACCUUGCUCUCAACUUCUAUAAGCUCAUUGAUAAGGUCUUCGAUUUCUUGCUCAGUCAGGGGUUGCUGCUAAGCAAAAUUCCAAAAAAAAAAAAGUUAAGAUUUUUCUAAAUAGAAUGUGGGGAUAUUCGAUUGGAUGAGUAACUCAAUUUAACGUAGUACAUUAGACUUGCCUCAGGAUGUGAAACGUCAUCGUUCAUGUCAUCGGCAUCAUCGAUGAAUGAAUCAGAAGAAGCCGAAACCUCCUCAAUAUCUUCCGCCUGUUCUUCGUCGCGGUUUUCCUUUUCCUCGUCCAUAUUUUAACCAAAACAGAGAAGAAGAAAGUUGAGAAAACUGAAAUUAAGAGAAACAAAGGCGAGAGAGACAGAUGAGAGGAGAGUUUAUGACGAUAGCUUUACGAUUACUCAUGCGAGUGCAUGUUUGGGAGGGAGAACCGAAGAGUGAAGAGGACGUCGAUUGAGGAUUUUCAGCUUAUAUGGGUGAAGAUAACGGCGACGUUUUAUGUUAUGGGGUUGAGUUGUUUCCCUGCUGCAUUGACUAAUUAGAUCUGUUUGAAUUUUAAAAUUCUGGGAAGUCCCAAAUUGCGCUCCAACCGUGGGUUUUUAUUGCAGGCUGGUAAAUUUGUUGUGUUUUUUUUUUUUGUCCCUCUACUUCUUUGAGUGGUAUUAAAUCAUAAAAGAUGCUGUAGUAUUAAAAGCUAAUUGAAAAAAUAAAAAGGUCGAUUGGAGUUAUUAAAAAUAAUAUAAAUUAAAAAAUAUGUUUAUGAUGUAAAUAAAAUAUUAUUUGGAAUAAUUUUUUAAAAAAUUAUAUACCAUAGCACUUUUUUAUGUUAUGUAUGUGAGAUAAAAAGGUGGUUAGAAAAUGUGCUUAUAAUGCAAAUAAAUAAAUUUGUGCAAAUAAUAAACAAUCCAAACAAACUUAAUUUUCAAAUAAUCUCCUAUCCAAAAACACCCCUGUAGCAUUGGAUGAUCGACUUAAUUUGUGUAUAUUAUAUAUGUUUUACACUUUAAAAGAAUAACCAAUUGAAUGCUUAAUUAAAAAGAUAAGUGAGAAAAAAAAAAGGUAAAAUCCAUUAUCAAUUAUUUAUUCACAUAAUCAAUAAAUUGUGCCAAAUUUGAGACCAACUAUGUAAAAUAAAACAUAUGAAAAACUAGUAAAGAAACAAACAAAAAGGAAAGAGAAACUUAUGUAGCUUUCUAUUAUUUAUUAUUAAAAUCUCUAGUACACAUCUAACGCGAUUUCAACUCAAUUGAAUCUAAUUUCAUCCUAAAAUUCUUAGUAUCACUAUUUAAAAUUUAAGAGAUUAUUAUGGUGCAAACUCAAAACAUUUGGGAUUAAAAAUGAAAAAUCAGAACUAUGAAGUGAUGGCAAUUUGAUUUUGACUAUUAGGAAUUGUCGAAUUUCCGUCAAUUAUCUUAAAUCUUCUUAAAAUUAGAGGUUUCAAGGACCAAAUUUGUUUUGAUCAAAAUAUUAGGGACUACUUUGGUACACAUAUCAAAUAUUAGGGACCAAAACUAUUUUUCUCCCUUUCAUAUAUGGCAAAGUUGCCAAAGCCACGUUAAAUGUAACAAGGCUGAUGUCUUCGCAGAGAAAGGAGAGGAAGAAUUAUAUCAUAAUAGGGCGUAAAUUUAUGAAUGUAUGGAUAACUGUUUAUCCUUUCGUGUAAAUUUCUUAUAUAUUUCUCCUUCAUCGAGUUCUAGUGGUUCUUUAAAUUAUUUCUCUUUCUGAAUACAAUUAAUGGAACGGGAAUGUAGAAAGACUCAUAAUAUCCAUAAACACUCUUUGCUUUCUUUCUAUAUGCAAUUUCAUGGAAUGAAAUGUAGAAACAUAUAGGCCCCAUUUGGCAAGUGAGUUUUUUUAGGUGUUUGUCUAAAAUUUUACUGUAACUUACCUUAGAAGUUUUUUAAAAAUUUUUUGAAGUGUGUAAAUUUUUUAAUAUUUUGAAGUGUAUAAUUUAAAAACUUUGAGAAGUUUUUUAAUGUUAUUAUAGGUAAAGUUUUUAAAAACUUAUAGCAAUUAAACUUGGCAAAAAACUCAAGUGCCAAACAGGGCCAUAAUCCUGAUAAAAAUUUAGUGAACUCGAGUCUGUAUAAUUUGCUUAGUUGGUGUUACAAUUAAUUCACCUAUAGGCAGAAUGCAGCAAUUACCUUAUUACUCUUUAUGUAACUCAUCCUCUUUCACUUUAGGAGUACAGUUUGGACUUUCUGUCAUUUAGAGGUAUGUCCCCAUUUUUAGGUAGAGAAAAGGGAAAAUUAGGCAGUCUACUUUACACCCUUUACAUCAUAAAAUAUUUUGUUUGGAUAAGUACUAGAAAACUUGUUUCCAUCAUCUGCAAAACCCGUCUUUAACUGGAUUUUUAAAUUGGUAGUGGCAUUAAUCAGUGUCUGAUUCUACUCUCAAACCUGUAUGAAAAUGGCUAGACUAAUUGGCAAGGUGAACCUGCCAUCAAACCUCAAACUAUGCUAAGAAGCUUGAAUCUCAAUCUUAUGCGAGUGCAAGAUAUAUAAAACACAGAAGUGGGAAUUCCAAGUAGAUUUCUGAGCGUGGUGUAGUCAUCAUUAGGCAGAGGAAAUUAAUGGCUACACUUGUUUUUUAUUGCCAGUUUUAUCUGUUUUGCUGCAAAGUUACAAUUAGGGGUGCAAAAGAUUUGAGUCGAGUUGAAUUUUAGUCUAAUCAAGUCGAAUCUUAACUUAAUUUUAUGAAGCACGAAGUCAAACUUGAAUUCGACGAAUCCAAAAUGUAAAGCUCGAGUUCAAGCUUUAAAAAAAUAAAAAAUAUAUUUUUAAAAAAUAAAUAAAAUAAUAAUUUUUCUUAAUAAAUAAUAAAAUAUUAUUGAUAGAUAUGUAAUUUUACUAUUAAAAUAAAUAAAUAAAUAAAUAUAUAUAUAUAUAUAUAUAUAUAUAUAAGGGGGAAGUACCCGCGCAUCGCGCGGGUGUUUGAUGCCUGUAACUAAAGAGAAUUUUUUAGUGGUUGAAGUGAAUAUUAUUUCCAUAUUGACCAAGUUAUUUUUUAUCAAGAACCUAUCGGUACAUAUCAUCAAUAUUUUUGCCAAGUGAGCAAGUGAUUGAAGAUAAGAGUAAAAUAACAACGCAUAUUAAGUAAUAUUAACAAAAUUGUUGUAGAUAAUAAUGCAUAUUAGCCGAAUCCUACUUAAUAUAAGUAGAAGGAAAUGCAUGGAUAAUGGAGUAGUUUAGAGGGCAUUAGCCUAAUCCUGAAAGCCUAAAAGGGGAAAACGGAAGAAUGUGAAAGAGGAGGCAUCAGAACAACUAUAACCGAUACUUAGACAUUAAAUCAUCAACAUACCUAUGUUUUUUGCUGUUUAAUUGAGAUGUAAAUAGUGAUAUAUUGCUGGUGUGGAAGCUAUUUCAAAGUUAUGGGAUUCAGACAUGAGAACUCAUGCAUUGGUAUUAUUAUGAGUUGUUUCAGACAGUUAAAUGAAUAGCUGCAACAUCUCUUUAUUUUAAUUGCACUAUGACACCAUUUCAAUAAUUACACCAACACAUAUGCUCAUAUAAGUUGUACCCAAUGCACUAACGAUUGCAAAAUAAUCCCUCAUUCCAAAAAUACCUAGAUGUCCUUAUAUUAUAUAAGAAUGAGUUUGGUCAAUUUUGUCAAAUGCUACUAUAUGAUAACAUCUAACAAUCAUUGCAUUUGGUGCAAUAGCUAAUAAAUUAAGUAGGCAAAGAUUUUACAAAUUCUUAGAAAUUGAAGUUAUUAACUUGUAUAAAUUAAGAUCCUUUUUAAACUACUUUGGGAGCUUUGUUUUUGUUAAAAUUGUAAUAAAGUAUUUACAAGGAUCUUCAAAUGAUAAGAAUAUGUUUGUCCAUUUAAUUUUUUAGUAGUACUAAAUUUGCUAUAGUUUCAGUCAAUUGGUGAUAAAACAACUCCAACUUCAAUCGAAUUUUGGAACUAUUUAUGUGGCAUAAUUUGUGGUGCAAUACUGAUGAAGUAUGUAUCUAAAUUUAGGUUGAAUUCUAAUGUUUUGUUAAGGUAGUUAGGAAUGAAAGCUUUAACGAAUUCUAUUCAACCACUAUAGACUACUCGAUUACUAUAAGUUUAGCAGAAUAUAAGAGAAAAUAAACAUAUUAUCAAACAUAAGAUUAAGAUAAGCUAUAAGUUUUAUAGCAGCAGAUCAAACUACCAAAAUCAAUUAUCACAUGAUCGCAUAAAUGAAUCAACUUUAUCACCAUAGCAAAUCAGCAGUACAAAGGUCAAACUACCACCAAAUGGAUCAAAUAUUCCUAGAAAUAGGACAAUCAUAUAUAUAACCAAAUACAUAAAUGAACGAACUUUAUCACCAAACCAAAUCAGUAUCACUAAAUACGCACUAACACCAAAAUCAAUUCCAGAACUAACAACAUGUAUAUCAAAAGAAUUUAAAAGAUUUAGCAGAAAGAAUAAACUUUUGGUUACCUUAUUCCAAAUGUUCCCUGCAAAACUUUUCCUCACACACAUGAGGUUGACAUUGUUAAUGCAUUAGUAUUACCCAAUUAAAUAUAUUAACAUGUGCACAAAAAGCAGUUAUACAUGUAUCAUAGGUUAUUUGCAAAUUAUGACAAAUUUCAAUGUAAAAAAUACAGUUUCAACAUACCUUGGCUUGGAGAUUCUGAUUAGGAGAUGUAACACACUUCCAAUGAAUCCUGUUCCUACCACAAAUACAAGUAAAGCAAAAAAAAAAAUUCAAAAAGCUAAGUCAAUUGAUUGUUAUGAUUUGUUUUCAAAUGGAUGAAAGAUGGUUCCAGACAACAAUACCUUUGUUGAGCAAACCCAAAAACUAAGAAAAGGGGAUGAAUUGAUGGCCAACACUUGAUGCUAUAAGUUUUUUAAUAAUUAGCAUUAAUUUUGUCUUAACCAUCCUGGUUCUAGAAUGGUUGGGAGUGGUAAAGAUAGCUAAAAAGACAAUCUUUUAAAUUAGACCUUAAACCAAAAUACAUGAAGUUGAAGCAGCAGAAUUUGAAUAGUAACACCUAUCUAGCCAACUUCGUGCAAUUAUCCCUAAUAAUUGUGUCUAAUAAAUCAUUUGUAGUAAACCUUUGCAGUGAAUGGAAUUUAGCCAGCUAAGAAGUCUAGAAGUCUAAUCAGUUACAUCAAAUCAAUGUUCUCCAACCUUUAAUUUGCAACUCACUAAAAAGACCAGUACAACAAACUCACAUUCCUAAAAUACCCCUCUCUCAUUAAUUUCUUUCACUAAUUACCUACUAAACCACAUUCUCUCCAAUUUAAUUAGAGACUAAGGACGUUUAAAUAAUUACAACCACACAAAAGCUAUUAUCACUUAUACCCACAACUAAAAAGACAACCAAAAUAAUCAUACAUUUCCAAAAUACCCAUAAAAAGACACAACCCCAUUUCUGGAAAUGUAUGACAAAAGAAUUCACCAUAAGUUGUAGUUUGUGUUGUACCUACCAUAUAAACUUUAAAUGUAUAAAUAUGAGAAUAUCUCUGUAAACAUACCCAAACACAUGCUGCUAUAAGUUGUACCAAAAGCUUUAAAAAAGCUACAUAUUAUUUCAUAUUUCCAAAAUGCCCCUACCCAUACGGUUGAAAUUCAAAGCCCUCUUUGACUAAAACUCAUUCUUAUACAGUAUAAGGAAUUGGUAGCUAAGAGAUAUUCCGGUAAUUACACCAGCACACAAGCAUACAUGGAUUGUACAAAAUGCAAAAACGAUUGCACACUCAUAACACAUUCCAUCAAUACCUAGGUGGCUCAUCAAUGACAACUUUAAAUGUAUUAAAAUUGGGAAUUAUUGGUAGUUAAGGGAUAUUUCAGUAAUUACACCAACACACAAGCAUAUGUAGGUUGUACAACAUACAAAAACGGUUGCACACUCAUAACACAUUCCAUCAAUACCCAGAUGGAUCAUCAAUGAGAACUUUAAAUGUAUUAAAUGGGAUCAUUUCAGUAAACAUAUCCAAAUACAAGCUUCGUUAAGUUGUACAUAAAACUUUUAAGCUAAUGCAUAAUAUUAAGGAUUCCCAAAAUAACCCCACCCUUGCGGUUGAAAUCUUUGCCCUAAACUCAUUCUUAUAUAGUAUAAGGAUAUAUAAUCGAAUCGGCUCGCGAGCUAACGAACUGAAUAUCUUUAAACUCGAGUUCAAGCUCGAUUUCGAUUUGGUCGGUUCAAACUCAACUUGAACUCAAUAUUGAUCGAACUCGAAUUGAGUUCGGACUCGAACUGCUCGCGAGCAACUUGCGAGCACGUUGAUUCGUUUACAAUCCUAGUUACAACAAAAUGGCUUCAUCUUGGAAGGAUGAAUCUACGUACUUAACUGAUUGAUUGAUCACGGAGUUUAGGUCCUAGUACUCCUGGCAAAUGGAGUUAAGUACUAACUAAGGUUGAGUAAUCAUAGAUCUCAAAAAUCAUUUGCUGGUGGAUUCUCGAUGCUAUAUUUUCAGCUGGCAAAGGUUAUCAUAAUUAAGCCAAGAGGACAAGUAAUCAAGCUAAAGAAGAAAGCACUGGAAGGGAAGAUCAAGCUAAAGAAGUAAUCAUAGAAUGUUUUUUCGAGAUGGAAUUGGAGUGAUUAUGAAAACACGAAGGACGAAAUUGGUUUAAAUUGAUCAACACAAAAAGUUUCACCAUUAUAGAUUGCUUUUACCCCUAAAAUAAAAAAUAAAAAUUUUCUGCAAUUACUAAAUAAACAAAUACAUGGAUUGAAAAUUCGAAUGCUUGGAAGUAAUUCUAGAUCAGUUUACAAUUUUGCUUUGCUUUGUCCAAAGUUAUUUUGUACACCUAAAGUCUCAUUUGUACGUUUUCGUUAUUUAAUUGUACAUUGAAGUCACAAUUGUGUAUUUUGUUUUCAUUGUACGAACUAUUCCAACAAUAAUCAUGCUCUUUCGAAUUUUUUACGUUGCAACUUGCGGAGGGUUACUAAACUGAACAUGCAUGUCACUAGUCGAAACUUUUUGAAUGCGUAUACUUUCAUCAUUUUGUCCCCGAGUUUCUAAAAGCCAGACCACAAGUAUAAUUACACUAAAGAAGAAAGCAUUAAAACGUAAGUCUUUCUUUUUAGUAACACUUUCCCAAAGAUGGAACUGUUUUAACUGUGAAAACGUGAUCAAGGUCGAAAUUUGUAUUAGCUGUUCAACACAAGAGUUCAACUAUUAUAGCUUGCCUUCUACCCCGAGUUUCUACCCCACAAGAGUAAUUUUUUUUUCAACAAACGAAAAUAAUAUAUAUAUAUAUAUAUAUAUAUAUAUAUAUAUAUAUAUAUAUAUAUAUAUAUAUUAACACUUAAAAGAACAAUAAUUAAUUACAAAAAGGGGCAAUUACCCUCUCAUCCUUCCUAGCUACUUCUAUUAGCCAAAUUGCGAAAUCAUUUACCCAUUCUACGUCAUUAACUAGUUUUGUUGCAAAAUGUGCUAACAUAUGACUUGCUACAUUAACUGUUCUAGAUACAAAAGAAAUUAUGCAUUGGUCAAAACCUUGUGUUGAUUCACCAAUGUCUUCUAGGCUCCAAAAUGGUUGCUAGAUGUCCAUCCUGCACAUUGUUGUUACUAAUUUGGUCAAUGAGUGUUUUGCAGUUUGAUAGGAUUGCAAUUUUCCUUUAACCUGCUUUUCUUGUCAUUUGGAGUGCCAUUCUAAUGGUUAACAUUUCUUCCAUUAGAGCAUCUCUUUUCUUCCUUUAUACUAAUCCCUUUGCUCUCACGAUCUUUCCUGUCCAAUGCCUUGCAAUUAUUCCUUUCCCUGCUCUGAUCAUCCUUGCAUUUAUAGCUGCAUCCAUAUGGAUUCUGAUGAUUCUCUCUUGUGAUGGUACAUUUCUCUGUUCCAUCUGGUUUGGAGCUGCUCCUCCUUGUUUCUCCAUUGUUUCCUGUCAUGUCGCCUCUUCAAAUUCAAUCCAUUCUUGUUGUGCCUUCAUAACAAUGUCUCUUGCUUCUCCUUUUUGCUAUUCAAACACUAACUUGUUUCUUGCUUUCCAUAUCAACCAUAAGAUGUUUGUUGUCAGGUUGAUUUGUUCCAUGCCUUGUUCCUUCGUUCUUGUCUGAACUACAGCCUCCCACCAUCGCCACAUGUUAGUUUGGAGAUCCCUUAGUCCUUCGCAUCUUACUGGUGCUAUCUUCCAGACCAUUUGGGCAAUUGGACAUUGGAAGAACAUGCGUUCCAUUGUUUCUACUUCCUCUCCUUUUCUUGUCCUGUAACAACAUGAACUACAAUAUAAAUACAGCUGAUAUAAAGGCAUGGUAACAUAAACAACUGAGCAAACACCCACGAGAAAAAAUUCUUGCCAUUAAUUCCAUUUGACUAAGUAAAUCACUUGCAAACUCAGGUACGGGAAAAGAACUUAUUAGUUGUCAAGAAAAACAGUUUAUGUUCCUGACAAACUCAGCCAAAAGGCUAAAAACUCUACCACAUAUUAUUGUUGACAGUGAUGAUGGUGUGGAUAAAACCAGGCUUCGGAUCCUCUAACACAAUAAGGGCAGCCCUCUACCAAGGGUGACUUUUCUGCUCCAAAUUUCUUCAAUGCUGGUCUUUUCAAUCCUCCAAUCUCCUUCUUCGGCUUACCCUUCCACUUCCAUGUUGUCCAGCAGCGUUCCUCCGCCAUGCUUUCCACUACAAAUGGAACUUGUGAUGCCCCGUUGACCUUCAGGAAACACCACAUCAGCUUCUGAAUUCUCACAAGUCAUAACCAUCUCUUUUCCAGUCUCUAAGUUGCUGGACGUGUCCAAAACUCUUGGUUCUUUUUUGUCACCACUGCAGUCGCUGAUUUUGUCAUUGUAAUCACUAUCUUGGCCGGAUAUAUUAGCAUAAUUGCUUCCACUAAAACUAGCAUUUGAUCCAUUUUCAAGGGGACACCUCUUGGUACUCAAGGUCACAAAGAAGAGCCUUACCAAGCCAAUCUAUACGUUUCUCUUGAGAUUUUUCUUUUUCUUUUUUUUUUUUUGGUUUGCUCCCCCAAAAAGUUCAACCCAUAAAACAAUUGAUGAUUUUCAUGGUCUUUUAAUUUUAUUGUAUUUGCUUUUGAAUGUAAGAAUAAACAUUGGUUGAAUAGAGAGGGGUACGAACCCAAGUCCCGAAAUACCAAACCCUUUAGUUCUCUCCUUCUACCCAAAAAAAAAAGGAAAUAAUUUUGAUUGUUAUGUCCGACUGACCAGUUUCUGAAGGCUUUUUGAAUUAGUAAUAGGGAAAGGGAAAUUCCUUUUUUAAGUUUUAGUAAGCAAUACUAAAUAAUUGCAUAAAUGCAUCCAAUAAUCAGUUGAACCGAUUAAUUUUGCUUCCAGAAACUGAGAAAUGCUUGAAUAGAUCCAGUAGUUAAGAGCAUGCCACAAUCUUCUGCAAUUUCUACUCUCUGUAGAGUAAUAUUUCAUCCAGAAAAUAGGAAUUUGUUCGUCAGACAAAUCAUUUGAAUAGGCGAAUUACGAGUCAAAAAGUCACACCUCAUGUGUGUACAAAAUAAAGAGGAAAAAAUUAUAAGAAAUAAAAGAUGCAAAUUAUUGGGAGCCAUUGGAGGUUUUAUUAGGCUUGUACGUGAUUGUAAUCUCUUUUUCUGCUUGGACAAGGUAGUACCAUUUUGUAAUUUGUUGUGAGGGUAAAGGAAAAUAAAUAUUAACACCAUACCAUUCUUUCUCUCUUUAUACAUGUAUAUAUAUAUAUAUAUAUAUAUAUAUCAAAAUAGAGAUGUAUGUUUUAUCUAUGACUAUGGAUUCUUGAUCUUGAAAACAUAGUAUACAAAUUGCUCUUCUACCAUAAGGUCCAUAAUAUACCAUGUAACGAACAAAACCUUACAGAGAAAUGUCUUAGAAUAUAUUUGUAUAGAAUAAGGGAAGAGGGAUUAUAAGUAGGAGAUUUGGAUUCAAAACUUUCUACUUAUAUAUAUAUAUAUGUAGAGAGAGAGAGAGGAAGGGGGGGGGGGGGAAUUGUAAAAUCCACUAGGAAUGCUUUGGAUGGAAAAGGCAAACUUUGCAAGAGAAAUAUUCUUAUAUAAUAUAUAUAUGAAGUGUAACAACUAAUAUAUGAAGUACCUGUUAGCAACAAGAAUUGAUUCCGGCGUACAUGUAAGAAUGAAUAUGUGCCCAAUUUCCUGCGCAACAACUAACAUAUCAAGAGCGUAAAACUUUGAGUGAUACGCAAAUUCCAUGGGCGAAAGCAAGAUCAAAAUAAUCGAUUAACGUUUUCUGUUCGAAAGACAGAUUAACGAUCUUGAAAAGAAAUCAUCUGAAAUUUGGCAUCCGAAAUAGAUGGGCUUGCACUCUAAACAAAUGAAAAUUCCACAUUUCUGCGGCUUUCUCCUGUGCCAAUGAUAUGUUCAUCAUGCUGUGAACAAUACAAGGGUUUGAAAAUCUGUUGUUCCUUCCUUUACCACAGUAUUUGACGAAAGCAGAUAUUCAUAUUUGGUUGGUGACUUGGUGAGGGUAGAACGUAGAAAUUACUUAGUCAGUCGCCUUAAAGUUCAAAGUCGAGUCCAAGUCUAUGCAUAGGACAACAGCGUUGAUCAAAGCUAUUGCUUUUCCCUUACGGAACAGCAGACGACGACCGUCACCAUCACCAUCAACAGCGUCGGAACAGAAGAAAGAUCAGCAAAUCUUUUUGACUUACUCGAUGAAGAUGAACAGAACGUGAGUUUUUAAUACCCGGGAUUUCAGCUCGGUUGGAUUUAUAUUCAACAAUGGCAAAAAGUUUCCAAGAGUAGUACCAGAUCCACGACUUAUCUAAUUAUUCGGUACACUAUGAAAAGUUUAAUGCUAAUUUGCUUUUGAGGGCGCACCAGCUGACCGACAGGUACGUGUCUACUCGGGUGAAUGUUUUGGCACGCGAUCUAUGACCAAAAUUUUCAGUUUAUUUGUCUUGCUUGUGAGGUUCAUGAAUAAUAGUCCGUAUAAAGCAGAUAAUUUAUGAUAGUAAUUUUGUUGAAAAAGCAAAUAGUGAAAAUGAUUAAUUCUCUUUUAUUGAGGCAUUUGGUUUAUGGUAUCGUGAAGUCGUUCGCUCUAUGAUGUAAUUUUUGUUAAAAAGGAAGUACUAAAAGUGAUUGAUUUUAUUCUAUUAAGCCAAUUUAACGUGUGCCGUGUAUUUCAAAUCUCUUAACCUCUUCUUACUUUUUAAAUCUCACUCCUCUUCUUGCUGAAAAAAAAUUAUUUGAAAUUUUUUUUUUUAAAAAAAGAAGUGUCCUGCGUACUAAAUUUCUGAGUCAAAGUGAAAGUGGAUCUUUCAAUAUAUAAGUUAAGGUUAAGGAUGUUCGAAGAGCUUUCAAUAGGUUAAGGCUAAGGAUUUUGUAAGAUCUUAAACCAAAUGUAUUAGUAACUUUUUGAGUGGAAGUGAAAGAGUCUUUCAAUAAGGUUAGGGCUAAGAAUUUUGUAAGAUCGUGCAUGACCAAGCAGCCUGGCAAACUCUAAUGACGUGACGUGAGUUGCAGCAAGGACCGUUAUUAUAAGAGUUAAAGAUGGAAUAUUUGUCACUCCAAUUUGAGAAAUUAUUUAAGAAACAAGCAAUAUAUGACUACUACAUUAACUUCUUCUUUUUUUUUUUUUUACUUUUCUCUUUCUUCUCAAUUAAUAGGACAAAAUGAUAGAAUUUCUUCAUUCUAAUUGAUUAAAAUUUUCGUCCCAGAUAAAUGAGCUGUUCACGAAGACAGUAGAAAGCAUGUCAUGCCUUGAAUAAGGAUGUAUGGUAGAAAAUUGUGCAUGAGCAAGACAAAUAUUUAUAUCAAGUAAGGGCCAUAAAUAGUACUAUGUCCUUUGAAUGUUGAAAGAAACAGCAUUAGACUUUAGAAAGCUAAGAAAAUUCCCUGUCUGUGUGUCCCUACAAUUAUUCAUGACUUUUGUGGUCCGCAUAUUAUUUGUAUUUAGUUCUGUCUAGAGAUCUGCUUAUUCCAAUUGGAGCGCCUCACAUUUGAUAAAAUUAAAAUAUGAAAACUGAAAUUGGAAUUCAAUAAAUUAUUGAACUGUUAAAUAGUAACUUUGAUACAUUUAACUCUAUUUCGCAUUAAGUGAUAAGUGAAUAGUUUAUCGCUUAGUUUUUGAAACAAGUUUUAUCUAAAAAAAUUCAGUGCCACUUAACUAAUUUAGAUGUUCUAUUUUUUGUUAUCAAAUGCAUCUAAAUAUGUUAAAAUCUUAAUCCAUUAAAAUUAAGUAUUGAAUUGGAUUAUCAAAUAGGGUAUAUCUCAAUUUUAAGACAUCCAGUGUAAUUGAAUUAUCCCUCAUGUUUCUUGGAAAAACUGUGUAAAUUAAUGCUGAAGCCAUGUUUGAUAGAAACUAUUAGUUGAAUGUAUAAUUCAAAAACAUGGGUUGUAAGUAGGACUUCUUGAUUCAAAACCUUCCACUUAUAAAAAAUAAUAAUAAUAAUAAUAAUUCAAAAACAUACACAGUUUUUACAUUUUCCUUUUCCUGAAUUUGCAUUGACUGGAAUAAUUAGUCCACAUAUUGUUGUGCUCAAAAGAAAUUAAAAAAAGAAAAAGCCUAUUUUAUGCAUGUCUGAAAGAGUCAAUAGAUAUUUAAAGUGUUCGAUGUUGCUGUUUCCAUGCGACGUACCAUCAUUUCCAAGUUGCCGUCAACUGGGUCCGUCCCUAAUUAAUGGAGGCAUAUAUGCUUGACUCCGUGAUCUAGCUGGAGGACUUAUGAGGGUAGAGCAGGUACGAAUGAUCUUUCUUGAGGACUCUUAGUAGAGGGAGUAGAGAGAGUAUUCUAUAUAUAUAUAUAUAUCAGAGUGCUUGCAACAAGAAUCCUCCAAGGCUCCAACACAGAAGGCAACUAAAAACAUACUACCAGAAAGAAAAUUACAUGGAGAGAAAAUAUUCUUGAACUAGUACUUCAAAAAUACUCAGGACAAAGACUCAAGAGUCAGGAGGGAUCAUGUCGAUGUUGCUGUUUCCAUGCACCUGACGGAUCAUCAUUUCCAGUUGCAGUCAAUUCAGUCCGUCCCUAAUUAGUGAAGGCAUAUGUGCUUGACUCUAUGAUCUAGGUGGAAGACUCAUGAGAGUAUAGAGCAGGUAUGAAUGAUCUUUCUGGCUGACUCUGAGUAGAGAGAGUGUUAUAUAUAUAUCAGAGUGCUUCCAACAAGAAUCCUCCACCAAACAUACUAGAAAGACAGCAAUAUGAGGGUUCUGCAAGGCAUGAGGGAGUUUUACGUGGAGAGAAAUAAGCCUUAUAUUGUAAUGAUCUUCAUACAAUUUGUGUAUGCGGGGAUGUCUCUUUUAUCCAAGGCAGCAGUAAAUAAAGGAAUGAACCCUUAUAUAUUUGUUGUUUAUCGGCAAGCAUUUGCGACGGCUGCCUUAGCUCCUUUUGCUGUAUUCAUUGAGAGGUAAUGUCAAAGGUUCUUUCCUCUUCAGUUCCUCUAUGUAGGCAUUGCAACUGGUGAUUAGACCAUAAAGUUUUUCCCUGAAAAUAAUCCGCGUUCCUCUUCUGAAUCAGAAAAACGAAUUCUGCUUCAUUGACAUAUAUCCUACUGGGCAAGAUAUUUUUGACUUCUUUGUGCGGGUAUGUGGUUCCUUUAAAUAACAGUAGUGUAUUAGGGAACUUUACGGUUGUAUUGCUUUAAUGAAAUCUUAGCUCUUUUCGUUCUUCAAGGGUUGUAAUUUCCUAAUGAUGCUUCUGCAUGCUAAAUUCCAGGAUCACCAUGAGCUUGAAUCUCUACUAUUUUGCCCUGAACUAUGUUUCUGCCACGUUUGCUACAGCCAUCACAAACACAAUUCCUGCCAUUACUUUCAUCCUUGCUGUUUGCUUAAGGUAUGGCCAGUUCCAUUCAAAAAUCAAAUGGUAUUAAUCUCAUCAGCUUACUAACUGAAUUGGUGAUCAUUCAUUCUGAUCAUUUCAGGAUUGAGAAAAUCUCAAUUCAGCAACGUCAUGGGAUAGCCAAGAUCUUGGGGUCUGCAGUAGGCCUUUCCGGGGCUCUAGUGUUUACGUUUUAUAAAGGACCACCUUUGUAUUCAUCUGUUCACAGCAGCAUCUCCCACAACGAUUCUAAGAGUUACUCAAAAGAAGACUGGAUAAAGGGUUCUCUGCUCAUGCUCUUAGCCAACUUUACAUGGUCUGUAUGGCUCAUAAUGCAGGUCUAUCCAAAACAUUUUCUCCAUACCUUUUCUUCGAAGUCAGAAAUGAGGCUAUUGGGAGUUUCUAACAAGUAAUUCAUUUAUUUGCCAGGGUGCAGUUAUCAAGGAAUAUCCAGCUAAACUACGUCUCACAGCUCUCCAAAUUUUUUUCAGUAGCAUACUGUCAGCAGCAUGGGCCGUCGGCCAUGAGAGGAAAGCAGAAGCAUGGAAACUAGGAUGGAACGUUAAUCUCCUCUCUGUACUCUAUUGUGUAUGUUUACUGAAUCCAUUUCGGCUUUGUUCGUCAACUUAACAUUUGAUGCAACUGCAACUUCAACUCUGGAAUCAAAAUCAGGGGGCCAUUUUCUGCUUUGGAGUUAACUGUAAUAAGAAUAGCAAGUUCUAGGAUUUAAUCAGGCAUAGCUGCUUAAUUUUUAAUGCUCUAUUUUUGAGGGAUUAUGUUCAAAUCUUCCCUUCACCCCGUCCAGCAAAUCACCUUACCCCACUCUGCUAUGAUUUCUUGCACACACCCUUCACCAUGAACUAAAACGUGCCAGGAAUUUGUGACUUGUUGAACUUUAAUUAAUUCCAACAUUGCAGGGAAUAGUUGUCACAGCAGUUAGUUACUGGCUGCAAAUCUGGGUAGUUCAGAUCAAAGGCCCUGUAUUUACAGCCAUGUUCAGUCCACUUGCACUUCUAAUAACAGCCAUUUUCUCAGCUCUUAUAUUCAAGGAAACUCUACACUGGGGAAGGUUUGUCGUUCUACCAUUUGAUUACAUAAUAUCACAGCUUCAUUUUUUCUGUUCUUACUUUUAUGUAAAUGUCAUUUCACUGUAGUGCCUGCGGUAUUCUGUUGCUGGUCGUUGGUCUUUACAGCGUUUUAUGGGGAAAACACAAAGAAGCAAGUCUAGAAGCAAGCGAGAAACACGAAGCAGCAGGUCUAGAAACAGGUCAGAAAGAGAAAGAAGAAGAAGAAGAAGACGAAGAAGCGAGAGAGGAAGAAGCGAAAGGGGAGAAGACACUAGAGUCCAUUACAUGUCAGUAACCAUUCGUUUUGGAGCCAGCAUACGCUUAUUAUGCUUUUUGUAUCAAGAAGAACAGCCUCUUCAGUAGAUCGAUAAAGCAUAAUUUAUAUUCCAGAAUUGAUCAGGGAAAAAUGAGAGGACUCAUCCCCUUCUAAGAUAUGCAUCUAGAAACCACUUUAAAUCUCCCUUUGAUGUGGGAAAACGGAAAGCCAGAAAACAUGCAGCUAGGAGUAUCAUUUAAAAGUUAAAAGUUUGACCGUAGCUUGCUUUUUUUUUUUUUUUUUUUUUUUUUUUUUUCUUUUGGUCCUUUCUUUUUUGGAAUUUUCUUGGUGAAAGAUGCUGGUGGUUGUCAGCAGUAGUAAUAGCAAUUAUUCCAGGCACAAACUGCAUCGUCUCAGAUUUCCUGGUUUUAACCCUAUACGUAUAAUACCAUAGAGUUCCUUGGGCACCGGGGCUAUGUAGCUGGUUACUUGUCUUCAGUAUAUUUUGCUACACAAGAACAGAGAGAGAAUAUAUUAACACGUGAGGAAGAACAAGUCAAAGAGAACAUAAAUCUGGAACCCGUUGCAUAAUGCAAGCCAGCAAGAGUUCUUUGAUUUGUUUGGUCUAACUGUAAUCCUGCCUAAGCAAAAUUCAGGCUUCUUCAGAGAAGUGCAACAAAAACUUUCCCGAAAAUGCUAAUAAUGCAGCCAAUAAGUCAACAGCAGCACAUCCUCUGUAUCAACAAAAAUUUUGGAAUUAACAAGAUACUAUAGUUAUAGCUACCAAGGAAGGAAAUCUCGCAACUACGCCUCAAAACGAUGGAAGUUGGAACCAUUUCAACAAAUAUAAAACUAACAAGUGAAGUCUUACAAAGUCUGUCAAGUCAUUUCCAGAGAAGCCAUUUUUAUCUUGUUGGAAAUGCAGUACUUAUCACUUAAAAGUAGAAAAUGCCAAACAACAUGUAAAGAUGUAGAAACUACAUAUAGUAGGAAUUGAAGAUUUCCACAGAUGCUUAUAUGCUUGAGAAGAAUUUUAAAGAGCGUAAUGGUAUCUUUUCCAUCUACUAUAUAUCCUUGUCUCCAGAAGAUGAUGAUUUAAGAUUGCCGCCAAACAGCUUUGCCACCUGUUUUGAAGGACAAAAAGGGGUGGAAAAAAAAGUGCAGUCCAUAUUCCUGGCGGGGCCUAAAUGCUUAAAUGUGACAAAAGGUUGUAGAACUCUCUACCUAGCUAGCCUGGCAAACAAGUUGUAGAGACCAUCACAUAAUGCUGGCAGCCAUCACAUUUGCCAAGGUCAGGCAUACUUUAUAAUGUAUAUCCUAGAUCUCCAGUAGUAGUAAAGGAACAAAAAAUGCAAAAGCAGAUUCAACAGAAAAAGUGAUGUCAUAAAUUGCCAACCAAAAACCAUUCUAAAUUUUCCUGGAACUUACAAGUUGAAGAGAUUACCUGUCCUUAGUCCCAGCAUCAGGAAAUUAUCAGAUCUUGGAAAAUGAGCAGAUCAGGAUGCUUCUAUUGUUAUGUCUGGAGACAUGGAAUACUUGUUCAUUCGUUCUGCAUGGAAAAGGAUACCUGGCAGCGAGAAAUACAUGAGCAAAAGGUACUCUUGUGGAACAAAUCAGGAUGAUGUUACAUACUGAGUGUCUGUAUUCUAUGUGAGAAAAAUGAAUACCUGACAACUAAUGCAAAAGAAAUAUUUGACGACCACAAUUUCCAAUAGAGAGACGAGACAACAGCCAAUAAUAAAAUCAGACUUGCAAAUGAUUCAUAUCGAGUCAGUAAUUGUGUUAUGGUCACGAAUGUAUAUGUUGUGAUUCAGGCACUUGGUAAUUGUUUGUUAUACUCAUCAAUUUAAUUAGGGCAUUCAUCAGCUUCAAGUUUAAUCAGGGCACUACUACUAGACCUCCACAAUAAUUAAAUUAGUUGUUUCAUGAUUUGCAACUCAAAAGUCAAAUCCUAACCCGAAACUAAAAUGGCACAUACAACAUUCUUGAUCUCCAUUCAAUUCCCAAACAAUAAGCCCCAAACAGCAAGAAAGGAAAAAGAACCCAAACAGCAAAAAGUACAUCAAAGUGAAACCCAACUCUCUGCUUAUGGCAGACCUGUACUUGAAUCAAGAUGUGAACAGGUGCCAUUAACACAUACAAAAUUAAAUAAUGAAAAUAAGAAGGAUGAAAUUGUGAGAGAACAGACAAUUUGGAAGCAGUAGCAAAGGGAGGGAGGGAGGGAGUUUACCCUUUUUCAACUUCUUAUCAAUUGUUUGAAGAUUUAGCUCAAAACCCAUUUACCAGCCUUCAGACAAUGCUGAUUUCUUGGUAGUCAGUAUAAGAGAUCUGAUCUAACUGAAGUUCUCACAAAGCCCAUAGUCACCAACCGCAUGCAUAGAAAUAUAUAAUGCUAAAUCUUGGGAAUGAAAGCAAUCCCCAAUCGCAUGAUGCAAUUGAAGAACUCAAGAACUUAUUCCUCUGAACCAAAAGUGAUUAUAUCAGGUCUUAUGAAGAAGCUUUUUUGUGGUAAACCUCCUAUAGAAAAGCAGCUUCUAUUUGCCUCAUCCUGACCAAGCCAAUCAACUUCACACCCCUGGAAAGACUUACCUCAGUUUUCAUUUUGAACAGAUAAAACCAAUCCGUCUUCUGUUUCUAAAUCUAAUUACAGUGACCCAUGUUGGUCUCAAGAUGGAUUAGUCUACCAAUUUUCCAUGAAUCUCACGCAUUAUUAACCCGGAAUUAUCAACGAUCCUUUUACUCUCAUAAACUAAAAAGCUACAUAAUUCAUGCCUUGGUGCAGGCCUAAAUGAUCUUAACUCAAAAAGCGGAUUUGAGAUUGCUGAAUUUGUGUACAAUUCCCUUGCCGGAUGAACGUGCUUCCACCAAAAAUCAGAUAAAGCUAUCUUAAGAGCAUCCCAGUAUUCUGGAUCUCGAUACAUCCGAAAGAGACUACUUCCUUUAACAGUCCAUACAUACAUGUCCAUCCAGUCUCGGUCCAGUAUCUCCAUUAAACCUUGAGCUUGUGGAAUAUAGUGGAGAGGGAUCCGCUGCCAUGGGAAAGCUUUAGUCAUAUCCCCAUCAUAAAAAGGGCAUUUGACCUCCAGAACCCCUCUAGAGGGCAAACCAUAAAUAAGGCUCUCAACUAGCCCAUCUGGAGAAGCUGCAAGCCAGUCAUCUUCUUCAUGGUUGGUUUUCCUAUAAACUUGAAAAUCAGGAAAGCAUACAGUGUUCCCUGUUAUUAGCUUAUAUCUUUCAAGAGCUUCCUCUUCCUUGAUGUUACUCCAACAUGUAGCCAAAUUACCAGAAAAUGGUUCUAUUGCCCCAAUCUUCUCCAACCAUAGCUGGACUCUUCUUUUAGGCCAAAAACCAAUAGCCCCACUAAAAGUACUUGCUGUCAAUUUAUGCUUCCUCAAUUCUUGCCAAUUCUUGAACCAGUGCUGAAGAGCACUGGAUUGAAGAAUAGGAUAUGCUUCAUCAGGAAGUACUUUGGGAGAAAGGACGCCAUUGGCGGUGCUAUACUUUCUUUGGUGGCUGGAAAACUGGGAGACUAUAAUCUUUUUAAUUUCACUGCUGCAACUGUGAUACCUCAAAUUCUGAAAAGAGGAAGUAGCAAAAUAAAAGUCCUUGAUGGCUCUAAUACAUGUCAAAAUUACCAUAUGUAUAAUGCGGCCUGUUUGAGCAAAAGAGAUUUUAUUAAUAAAAGGGCUGAAAUAAUAUACUCUACACGAAUGCAAUUCACAACAGACAUCUUGCUGGUUAAUUUGCGCAACCCUAUCCAGCCUUUCUUAUGCAAUCAAUUUUACAUGAGUGAGAAAUAAAUACCAAAACAUCAUAAUUGCAUAAACAUGGAAUAACUGCACAUAACCUUAAUAUGACAAGACUCAUGCAACAUAUAUCUUUAUAUCUUAUAAGAAGACGUUUGGAGGGUUCCUGUUCAUUGCAAUUUCAUCUGCUCUCUUCAGGGCCAUUUUUGUCCUUACAGCCUUUUGGUUGUUCUUUUUCUUGGAGCUAAGACGUUUGGAGGGUUAGUGUUCAUUACAAUUCGUUUGCUCUCUUCAGGGCUAUUUUUGUCCUCCAAGCCUUUUGGCUGUUCUUUUUCUUGUAGCUAUUAGAACUGGUUGUUGCUUCUUGCAAGGCUUAGCCGAAUGUUAGUGGAACAAUGACUGUUUUGCAGCAUUUACAAGAAGCAUUAAUGAGAUGUGAUGUUUAUAUCUAUCAGCCAGCUCAUUUUCUCUUGUUUAAUUACAUUUUUGUCCCUCAAAAUAUUCAUUGAAUGGACUAUAUAUUUUCAACUCAUGUCUAACAGUGUCAUUUUACAAUAGCUUUUACUUUUGGUGUUGGAAAUUGGAAAAUUGCUUCAUGUAUUCAUGUUCCGUAGCUAUUUGUAUAAGCCCACAACUUUUUGCUUUAUCCUACUACCUUCUGCUUCGUUUAUGCUUCCUUUAUUCAUGCUAUAAACUGUAAACCAUGGCUUCAACUGAUGCACUUGCACAUUCAACGAAUAAGAACAUUGUUCGCAACCGAAGAUUAAGAGAAAAAUAUGCUUCCUUAUCAGUGGAAGAAAAAGAAGCUCGUAGAGCUAAACAAAGAGAAGCUUAUCAAAAGAGGAGAGGAAGGAAAGCUGCUGCAUCCACGUCUUCUAUGAAUCAACAGCAAACUGAUGGUAUCUAAUUCAGUUUUGCCUUUAUAUUGUGUUUUUGUAUGUAGCAGAAAGCAGUAAUGCAUCGUCUGAAAUAAAAGAACAAUAACGUAGUGAAUAAAGGUGCUUCUCAUGCAUGCAAUACUUAAGAAUUUUCUUAUGAGAAACCUGCUCACGAGAAAAACAUAGAUCGAGUAACCGAUAACAAAUUGCUCCCCAACAAAAAAUAUAUUAUAAGAACUAACCAUCAGUAAGACAAACUACAAUCACACUACUAAUCUGGAUUGUAGCAUACAAAAAAUAUAAUACUAACUGAGCAGUACUUGAAAUGUUAAUACAGCUAGCAGAGGUGUUGAAAUUUAAAACUGUUCCUGCUUCACUUUUCUAUAUGAUUUCAUGCUUUAAUUAAUUAAUGGCAUUUAAUGUUGACAUUCUUGUCAAGUUAACAACUAAGCUGAUGUUUUUCCCAAAAAAAAAAAAAACCAAGCUGACGUAAAAUAGUAAACGUGCAUAAUGCAUAUAAAUAUAUAUCAGCAUACGCAUUUGUUUUUCCCACUAAGAUUCCAUAUUAUCCGGCCCGUCAAUGCCAUGCACCUCUUUUUCAAUCACUGACUUAUGCUUCUAAAUUACUUUCUUCAUAAAUAAAGAGGAAAAAAAUCUUCUAUAAGCAAUGUGAAUUAUGAAAAUCUUGUAUAUCAGGUAUAGAACUUCCAGUUGGGUGUGACGUACAGCAAAACAAUGAGCACAAUAACCAACAGAGUAUUGCUGUUAAACAACUUCUGCAACAGAAUAGAAACAAAGAGACUAAUCUGCAACAAUCUAUUGCUGUCAAAAGUAAUUCUCUGUGCAAAACCAAUGGUAAAUCAAAAGGCAAGCUGAAAAAGCAUGAUUCUGUAUUUUCGACAUUUGAACAAGGUUUGCCUACACAAAUUAAUUCUGUCUUCUAUGUUUACACAAGUAAUUCUGUAUUCUAUGUUUACCUUAAUUCUGUAUUUUUUUUUGCUCUUCUAGGUUCUUCAUCAAAAAAUUCGUCCAACUAUAAAUGCGGAAGAAUCAAUAAACUAAAUGUGUCAGGUAUUUCUUGUUAUAAUCAUAUUUAUCACUCUAUGUUUCAUAUAACAAUUUCUUUGUUUUUAUCUGGUAGGUGAUCCUCCUAUAUGCGAUAGCUGCUCUAAUUUCUUGCAUGAAACAGUUGAUAAUCUUGCAGGUUUAACCCCUUAAUACUAUUUUUACAAAUAUUUGCUCAGUGUUGGUUGGUCACUGAAUUUGAUUUAUGUUCUUACACUUUUUUAUUUACCUAAUCAGGUAUAUCAAUGACAGUACAGCCUCAGCCAGUGGAAACCAAUGUCUCUAAUGUCAUAAAAAAUCAUCCAAAAGGUAUGUAUAACUAAAAUGUAUCUGAAAAUGUUGCAAAACUUAUAUGUCCUUAUCAGCAAAAAACAGAGAUUAGUGUUCAUACAUUUCAUCUGCCCUUAUUACUGAUUCUUGUAGUCAUAUGUUCAGAAAAUUCAUUAUAUAUUAACAUUACUCAUUCUUGUAAUUGUAUGUUCAGAAAAUUGAUUACUAAGUCUUUAUCGUUUUUGCAGUGAAAAUGUAUAUAAAGAUGAGAACUUUGAUGAGACUCAGAGGCAACUACCUACAUUGCUGCCCUCAAAGAUUCAAAGAUGCUUUUUGUUGGAAGUUUUUGUUUUAAAGCCCACUUCUACAGACUGCUCAUCUCCUUCAUUAAUAUUUUAGCAUUCAUUUUAUCAGGUUAUAUAAAAUGCAUUUGAAGAAUAGGAAGCAUAAGUUCCUUUUGCUUUCAUAUGUGUUCAUUAUUUAUAACAAAUCUCUAUCUCCCCUCUCAGGUCUUUUGUUAUUUGAAUAAACUAAAUCACUCAUUGUUGUGAUUCCUUGCAGUUGACCUUCUAUUCAAUGUAUCAGAAGAUUCAGAUUAUGUCCGGACUAUUCUAGGUAGCAUGUUAUUGUUGAAUUCUGCCUUCUAAAUUUGUUAAGUAUUUCUAUGUAUUGCAUCUAUAAGAAAAUAAAUCAUGGUUAGAUAAAUACUGAUUUUGCACUAUAAAGUAGCACUGGUAUUACAUAACUUAACUAUGCAUUUCUUUUUAACCAUGCCAUGCACGUCUUACUUUAUUUUCUAUUAUAUACUUUUGUCUCAGCUAAAGCUAUAGACAAACGUCCUGACCUCAAAACUAAGGCUGCUGAGUCAAUAAAGUAGCAAAGAUAGAUGCAAGAUCAAGUCAUUAUUGAAAGGAUGCUUGAUAAGUACGUAAAUUUCUGAAACAUUACAUUAUACUAUACAUUUCAAAUUUUUCUCAUUAUCUCAUUUUUUGACCUCCCUGUAGAAUAAGCAUAAAAUACCAAAGAUUUAAUAAGCUUCAGCAAGCACUUACAAGAAGUGACAACAUUCAAGUAACCAUAUACUAUUGUAAUCAUGUCUCUCACAAUUUUGCCAGCUCUAGAGAAUAUCAACGUGAUGUGAUUAUAUCUACUAUCCAAUUCAUUCUUAUAAACCUUAUUCCUAAUUCUAGAAAAUGCUGGUCCAAGUGUAUCAGAUGUCAAAACUUCAGAAAUUCUAACCUCAACUACUUUAAUGCAUAGGUCAGCUAAUUAUUUAAGCAUAUGUCAGCUUCUCAUGUUUUUGGAUAGACCACAAGACAUUGCUGCUGUAUUUGAGAAACUCUUAAGAGCAAAAAGUAAGAAUGAUGGUUUAUUGGGAUUUCAAAUAGCAUUUGACCUUGUAGAGAAUGAACACCAAGCUUAUCUUUUGAAAAUGAGGGACUAACUUUCCAGUCCCAAGAAAGAUAUUCAGAUAACAGAGGGUAAUCAAAAUUCUGAAGGAAACUAUUUAUGCUACAAAGUUAUCAAAAAUAAAAGGGAUGCUGUCUCGAAGACUUCCAUACAGUUGACAUUGCAAUUCUUAUAUAGUUAUAAUAAGUAAGACAUUUUUCCUAUUUCUUUUCUUUUCUUCCCAAGAUGCUUUCCCAGUUUACUAGAUUUCUUUGAAACAUUUGACUAAUUGUUAGCUUUUUGCAUAUUAGAUUGCAUUUCAUAAUUCUCAACACAAUAAAGCAAUCUGUUAAGAUCAGAAAUAAUAUUUUAGUUAGCACAAGAUAAGAUGUGCAUAAUAGUUUAAAAACAUGGUUAGUUAGUUCAAAAUAAGAUCUGAGUACGAUCACUCAAUCACAUUUAGUAAAUCAAAUUUGAUUACAAUGAAAAACAUAUCAAAGACAAAUAGCAAAUAGCAAGCAUUCUCAAUUUCAAAUUUUGUAUGCUCAGUAACUUUUUCACAUGAACAAAGUUCAGUUUUCAGAAUUAAAUCAGAGGCUGUUUCUCCAAAUCCCACAUUAACUACUUUACAUUCCAUAUUUACGAGGGGAAAAUUUUUUUAUUCAAGGGGAAAUUCCAAAACUUACAAGGAGGAAAAGGAAUUGAGAGUCAAGUUAGUUUUCAAAACAUUUGUAAAAUAUGGUGCUUUGUUUAAAAGUUAAAGUUUGAUAUCAAGUUUUUGAUAUCAUAGCACAAUCAUAGGAACGGAUAUCAAGUUUUUGAUGCUCAUAUAUUUCAUUGUAUGAUAAACAACUAUGACAAUAUGGUGCGUUACUGAGAAUACUGAUUCUAUGAUGGAGAGGACUCAAAACAUCUUGUAGUCAUUGAAAAAUAUUAAGUUGUUUAGUGAUGCAUUUUGUGUCAGUUGAUGUUUCUUAGCAUAUAAAGUUUUUUUUGCAUUCGACAAUGUUGCACAAACAUACACUUUUUAAGUACAAAUUUUAAGUACACACCACAUCCAUCCAUACAUAUAAUUUUAAGUACAAAUUAUACUAUAAUAUGCACUAAAAUAUAUAAUAUAAUACCUACCAUAAUAUGUAUGAUUAGGACUAUCAAUAGGUCUAACUGGCAUGAGUUCGGCCUAUUCAACUUGAGAAAAGUAUGAUUGAAUCAGUAAGACUCGAUUUAAACAUGAGUAGAGCCUGGGUGUCAUUUGGCUUGAUCCAGUUAGAAUCUGAUCCAUUAAAGGUUACAUUAAAAGUGUAUGUUUUGUAUGUAAUAAUGUGUAUAUUGUGUUUAAUAGUGAGUUUGGGCCAAUUGUGAAAUAGGCCUGAAAUGGACCAGUUCAAACAUGCUACUGUGCACCUACUUUCCUCAUUGUUUUAUAUGCUGCAUAAUGAUAAAAGUAGUUAUCUCUAUCUAACAUUUUGUAUUUGUUUAAACUGUCACAACUAGCUCACCAGAGCUACAAAUUGGACUAAGUUUAGCACAACAGCACUACAACUUAUUGACAGCGGCCAUCUACAACAACGAAAAUCACUAAUGGCUCCUUGUCACAGAAUGAGGCUGGUGGUGGUGGCAGCCCAUAUUCAGAAACAUAAACAUUGGUAUUUGUCUUAUUGCAUUAUGUAAAGAAGUACUUAUUUUUAUGUUUCCACUUUUCUACUUUUUUUUUAAAAAUCAUCUCCUACAGGUUAUUCAGCAUAGUACCUACCUUAGUCUUGGUUUACAUUUUGCUGCAUCAGAAUUAAGCAACGAUGUUAGGCAAACAGCAGUUUUGGCAUUUAGUUUGUUUCUCUUACGUUCAGGCUUAGCACGCACUUAUGGUUUAUGUUCUGGACUAUAAAAAUUUGACACCAAACCUUUACUUCUCCAAACAAGUUUUCAUAUUAUGUCUUUGCUCUUAACUUUUUCUAGCCUUCUACAAGAAUCAAUGAAUAUGCACAGAUUCAAUAAUUCAUCUAAUUGAGUUGCUAACCUUAAAAUACACAUGUUAUUGCUGAAGCCUUUAACAUCAGAUGUAAUUGAUUUUAUUCAUGAAGAAGCUUUUAUAACAAUGACCUGAGUGAUUCCACUGUUAAUGCAUUCAGGUAAUUGGAAAAAAUUAUUCUGGUUAAGCAUGAGGAUGCUAUGAACGAGAUGCAUAAAUUGCUUUGAAAGACAAAACAUAACAAAGUAACUGCAGUUGUUGUUCUUACUAUUUUUAGCCAAUCUUGGUACUGGAAUCUGCUCAUAUACUUCCUUAGCUUAUGCUCUAGCACUUCAGCUAUCAUGAGAAACAAAAAGACAAAGCAGAGUUAUAUUCCAUCAUUUUUUAUCUACUUCUGUAAUCAAGAAUGAAAAAAACACACCAUUUUCAUUUGACAUUCAGUCACAAUAGAUCUAUCAUACGUUCAAAGUUUUUCAAUUAUUACAGGCAUUACUCACAGAUUAUUAUGUGAUUGGCAGAUCCACGGUAGUGCCUAAUUUUUAUUUUAAACGUUUUUAUCAUGGCACAAACGUUAUAAAGCUCACCAUUAGUUUGCAAGUAAUGUAUUUUCCCUGUAAUUAACUAUUACCUUUGCUCUUCAGCUCCACUCACCCCAAAAAAAAAACCUAUUAUCUUUGGUUCAAGAUUCCCAGUUGAGAGUUGUAACUCACUGUUGUGAAUUAUUACCCCAUGUUGUCUGUGGAUCUAUCAGCCAUGUUCUUUUUCUCUCACCUUUCUCACACUCCCCUCUUCUCAUUUCUCCCUUGCCCGGUCUCCCCUGCACACACUACACACAGCGGACACCAGACAUAGAUGUGUGCAAAAAACGAACAGACAUGGCUGUCGUGAACCAGAGUGGGAUGGCUCCAAUAUUCACGUUCAUGAGAAGUGACAAUAUGGGUUAAGCGUCAUUUGGGUUCGCCUCAGUUCAGCCAAAAAGAUUAGAAAGAUGGUCUGGUCACGGCUCAAAUAUGGCUUCAUCUAUUUCCAAUCAGAUUUCAAUUUUCCCUAUUUUCAAACCCUAUUCCUUAGAAAUCAUCCAUAAGAUAACAAAAUUGACCCCUCGGCCAAAGUAUCGACCAAGAAAUGAAAGGGAUGAAUUUCCCACCCCUCGGCUACCCGCCGCACAAAAAACACAGAAUUUGAACAGAAAAAAUUAAUCAAAUUAAAUCAUACUGAAAAUAUUACCACUGCCAAGAUGCAAUAAGCUGAGAGGGCGACAAGAAUUCUGGAAACACGAACAGAAGGGUACAGCGAAGCGAGAAGGAAGCCCUGCAGCUGCCGCAGACCUAAAUCAGGACAGCGAAGGUUUAAUCGACGACGCCAUGGAUAAUAUCCUCACCAUUGUCACUCUAUUUCUCUGUUCCCCGCUCGCUCUCUCGUACAUAUGACCGAAUUUCUAUAUAUGCAGAGCAAAGAAGCUCUGAACUCUGAAGUGAAGCGUAGUGAAACCAAGAUAUUAGAUGCGCAAAUUAUUUGCAAACUGAGGACCCACGACUAGGGAUGGCAACGGGGCGGGGUUGGGGCGGGGGACCCCUCCCCCAUCCCCCGCCCCGUUGCCUAUUAGUUCCCCCCGUCCCCCGCCCCGUCCCCCGCCUCCUGCUCCCCCCGCUCCGCCCCCGCCCCACUUCCCCCGCGGGUGCCCCCGCGGGGUUAAUAAAAUUUUAUUAUAUAAUUUUAUUAUAAUUAAAUUUUAAUAAAUAAUCAAGUACUAAAAUAUCAACACAUCACCAAAUUAUUAUUCAUUGUAAUUUUGCAAUUGAAACUCAUAAAAACAAUCAAACAGAAGUUGUUUGAAUACAAUCCAAUAUGAUGAAAUAAAUAUAACUAAAAUAGUCAAGUUUUCACUUUUAGUACAAAUGCAAUCACUAAUUCAUUAUUGUGUUUGUGGUUUUUUUUGAGAAAAAAGUGUUAUUCUAUUAAGUGUAAUUAGAAAUUUAGUAUAAAUAUAUUAGUAAAUUUAGUAUAACUAAUUAAUAAAUUCUAUUAGUAGACAUGUAGAAUUAUUCAUAUAAUUGAUAAUAUCAAUUAUAUUACAUAAACUAAUAUACAUUAUAUAAUACAUCUAACUAAUAAUAUCAUUAUCAUAAGUUUAUAACUAAUUAACUUACAUGUUAUAUAUAAUUAUAUAUAUACUUUUUUUUGUUUUGCGGGGGGCGGGGCGGGGGAUGGGGCGGGGGUAUACUCCCCCGCCCCCCGCCCCGUUUCUAAGCGGGGGGAAAAAAUUCCCCCCCGCCCCCGCCCCACCCCCCGCCCCAUCCCCCGCCCCGAGAGCCCCCCGCGGGGCGGUUGCCCGCGGGCACCCGCCCCCAUUGCCAUCCCUACCCACGACCCUGAGUUGCCCGCUUUUGAGAUUUAUCUGGAAUUAAGAAUUAGUAAUUUAAUUCUGAUUUCUUCUGUUGAAAGAAAAAGAAAGUAUAAAGGAGUUUCUGAGUGUCAUGGGGGUUAGUACACCUUUAGUAGCAGUGACUUUUCUGAUCUUUCCAAAAAAAUCCCACUUCGAUCAUUUGGGAGGGGGGGUUGGAGUUAGAUUAUUAGUUCCUUGGGUGGCUUCAAGAGUUGCGACUUUUGAGGUUUACUUGAAAUUAAGGGUUAGUGAUUUAAUUCUGAUUUCUUCUGUCGAAAGAGGACCUACAACCCAAGACCAAAAAGCAUGUGUUUUGUGAUUAUUUCAACUCCAUACCUUCUGAAUUUACAAUUUACCUUUUCAGAUAAAUAAAAGAAAUAAAAGAAAACAAAAAAAUUACAUCUUCACAAUAUUUCCUAACUCUAAUAUCAUUUUAUAUACUUGUUAAACCUCUCUGCUCCUAUUUGUCUUGUAUCAGUAAAUAAGCAUCUUAUCUAUCAACACUUAACUCCUCUUAUUAACUAAUAUCUAUUGCUUUUGCAUGGCAGAGAGCUUACUAACAGGUCUAAAGCUCCCACGCCUUGCGUGGGAAGCAACCCCUAGUAACUAGAAUGUGUAUAAGCAUUUAGAGAGGAAGCUACAAAAGUAUUCUCUUAUUGAACAUCGAAAAUUUAUCGAAACAGGAAGAAAAUCGAUUCUGUUCUUUAAGCAGAGAGCGUAAAAAUAAAAAGUGAAGACAGAAUAAACACCAUUUAUGAGUGACUAUUCAUAUUUAAGCAGCGCAGUAAUCUAAGCUCAACAAUCAAUUACUGUGUGUAUCAAGAGAAUAAGAAAUGACGUUGUUCCACUAAAUCUUUAACAUAUCUAGUCUAUGCGGGAAUGGAGAGCUUUUCAAUUGAGUUCUGAUUGCUGAUGUGGCGAGCUUCCAUUGGCCGAUUGGUGGUCGUCUGCUUCGUGUGAAUUCGCUCGCGUGAAUUGGUCGUCCAGCCGAUUGUUUCUUUUCUUUGUUUUGCUUGGACGUCUGGCUUGGAAGUCUGCAACUAAAUUCUGGUCCCACAUGGCUUUGGUUGGCUUUGCUUUGUUUCUUUUGGUUUUUUUGGCCCCCAACUCAUUACUCGGGGACUAUUUGGAAAGUAAUGCAAGAGUUGCUGCUGCUUAUGUCAUCUGUUGUCCUGCUGCUUCCAUUAGAAAUCGACAGCUCACCUAUCUACUCUUAUCAAUCGAGUGGCUCGAGGAGUCCUAUGAGGCUAUGACCACUUCCUUUCUUUUUUCUUCUCUGAUCAGAACUGCUCCUCUUCCAUUCUCCACCGAUAAUUCUCUCAAAACUCUUAUCGUUAGAACCAAGAAGAGGUGAAUAAAGUAAAAUGAUGAAGAGAAAGCUCAAUUAUGCACUUCCAUAGAUGCUAUCAUGGUAUUUUUUUCAAAUGUUUAUUUUUCAGUUUAUUAUUGUGGGUUUUUUUCCCCUUGUUCAGCUCUUUAUUUUCUUGUCAUCAUCAGCAAUAAUUUGUCCUUUGUAUAUCUCUUUUCCCGCAAAACCAAUAACCAAACAUUCGGAUUUUACAAUUGUACAAAACUUUGUGCCUAAAAUAUUGACUAUAUUUUUCUUAUACUGUUCUUUGUUAGUUUUCCUUUUCGAGUGUUACACCCUUGGUGUUUUUAUCUAUUUGAUUUAAUUUUGUUCAUUUUUUUGGAUUAUUCUGCCUUGGAUUCCAGAGUUGAGAGUUACAACGAAAUGUAAAGGUAUGGAUUCUUUGGUUCUUUUUCAAAUGUUAAUGUCUAUAUUUCUUUCCGAGUCCUUUUAAGUUUUUAUGUUAAGUUGAUGAUAUUUUUCCCCCCUUAUUCGCAGUUACUAUGGAUCCUUAUUUUGGGUUGCUUCUAACGGUUCUUUGAUUUUUUUUUUUUGGAUGUUUGAUGCAUGAACUUGCUUUGCAGGAGAUUCUAUUAUAUUGGUUGUGUUGUUUCUUCUAAGGUAUCUUCUUAUCCUUUUGGUUUCAAAAUGCUAUACUCCAUGAGGUUACAGUCCUUAUAUUUAGAAUGCUUGCAGUUUUCUGUCUAUCUCUAUUGAUAGAAAUUAUUUUUCACCCGUUGAAAUGUUUAAAUUUGGUGGAUAGAGUAGCUGAGGUUUUGGUUAAUUAUUCGAUUAAUUGCAUUAAUUUCAGUGCUCAGUCUAGAGAAAUUUUUAAUAAAUUGGUGAUAUUGAUAAUAGGUGGAUAUAUUGAGUGGUAGUAGUGCUGAUGUGUUAGUCUAGAGAAAUUUUUAAUAUAAUUGCAUUAUUUUCGGUGCUUAGUCUAGAGAAUUUUUUAAUAAAUUGGUGAUAUUGAUAGUAGGUGGAUAUAAUGAGUGAUAGUAGUACUGAUGUGUUAUGUUUAUUGUGGUAAUUCACUGAUAAGCAUUCAGUUAAUUGAGUUUUUCUUCAAGGAAGGUAGGAGAGAGCGAAGAAUGUUAAUUUGGGAGGGAUGGAAGAAAUUUUUUUUUAAACAAGAGCAAAAUGUCUUAUGCAAUAAAAAAUGUUUAUGUUUAAUUAUUCUUAAAACUAUAUCUAUGUAUCAUUUCUGUUUCUUUCAUAAGGAAAAAAUAGAACAAGUGUUUCAUUCUAUUUAUGUCAAAGAACACCAAUUGAAGAACAUGAACGUUACAUAAUGGUCCUUAAUUUAAAUGGUUUUAGUUUUUCUAGGUAAAAAGACGUUUGCCCAAGAAUAAGACUUCUUAGCUACUAGAUUCUGAGCACAUUUUAGAAUUGGGGAAGUGAAUUGUCAUUUUGUUUAAAAACUUUAAAUAACCUUUUAUAUUUCUGUAUCUGUAUAAGAAAUGGUUUUGUUUUUGUUUUCAAGUUGUGUUUUUGCUCGACUAACCUAUUUAAUAUUAUUCCUUUUUAGGUUAAUUGAAGUGGAUCGUGAUGAAGCUUGAAGCAUUGGUGAUGGUAAUUCUGCUAGAAGCUUUAAGAUUUAUUUACGCCACUCAAAAUGGGUUCGAAUUGAACAGCAAGAGGUAACAUGUUUAGAUUUGAUUGUUUAAUCUAAGAUAUAUAAUUUUGUCAACAUGCACAGUGAAAGCAGAUUUUUCCUUUCUUUCAAAUUUUUUUGAUCUUUCAUAAAUAGCUAAAUGUGAAAAAUCUUCUUCAUGUAGUUCAUUUUUUCUUUUCUUUCACAUUUUCUGAAUUCGUUGUCUCACUAUUUGCCAGUCAAUUUCUUGAUAUUCAAGGCAUACAUGGCAUAGAAGAUUAUUAACCAUGUGGCUGAAAUUGUUGGAGACAAAUAAAAUGCCUAAAUGGCAAUGUGUUUGGAUAGAGUAUGCAAUCAUAGUGGUUUGUUUUAAUAAGUUCUCAUUUGAUGGGAUUAUCAUGGAUGUAGGAUAAUGCUUGACUGCCAUCAGCAAAUUCUGAUAAUAAUUUUGCUUUGAUGAAAAUCUAAAUUCUUUUCCCUUUCCCUUUUUUUCUGGUUUUGUCAGCUGUUUUUUUUAAUGAAUUUUAACUGUUCCUUUUUCCCUUGGGAUUUUUUUUUUCUGGUUCUCCGUAAUUGCUUUCUACAUUUAUUUCAUAUAUGUUUUAACUUUUCAAUUCCCCAGACUAGAAACUUGCACAAUGUUCUCUGGAAGUUCUUUUUCUUCUUGUAUCUGACUUGAUCAGAACUAAGGAUUACAGGCGAAGUUUAGUCUCUUAGUUUCAUUGGAGUAUUGUUGAUUGCAUGUUGAUAUUGGAGUAUUUUGUGGCGAAAACCUUCUGGCAGAAGAAGUUAUUUGAGAAUUUGAGGUGUCCAAAAAGCACUACGAAACAAGAGUAUAGUUAGCUGUUCAAAGUAUAGGUACUAGAGUACUUUUGGAUCAAUGUAACUUUUAUUGUAUAUCUUGUUUUCCUCCAAACAUGAUUGAAAUUUACAUUACUAAUGUACUUUUGGAUCAAUAUAACUUUAGUUCUAUGUCUUAUUUCCUUUGGACAAGAUUGAAAUUUACAUUCACAGAGCCAAUUUCAAUGUGACUUUUCUGUUAAUUAUUUUGUUAUUUAUCUUUCAUUAUACACUACUGGGCAUCAUGGAGCAGACUCUACAAUUAAACACCGCGCAUAGCGCGGUGAUCCUCUCCUAGUACAUAUAUAAAGCGAGAAUCCGCUUGUGAACAGUGAAAAAUGGGCCGGUUAUGCCGUUAUUUUUGUGACUUUGAGGGGUAUUUUGGUCUUUUGCUGAUGGGUGGCGUGGUUUUGUUGGAAAUUCGCUCCUGUUCGCAUGGGCAAAUGGUCUGGUUACUCUGUAAUUUUCAUGAACUCUGGGGGUGUUUGUUGGUUGCAUGAUUUUUGGGUGGCUUGAGGUAACGUGGGUGCAGAUAGCCUCGUUGAAUCGGUGGACGCUUUUUGCUUUACCUUCCGUCUCUCUUCCUUGCUCUCAAUUUCAAUCAUUGCUCUCUUCUCAUUACCACUUUCUCUCCUGCUCCUGUCCGCGUAGGCCUCUUGGAUGGGAACAUUUUGGCGGUCAGCAAUUUACUCUUAUUCUGUUCUUGGGUCUGUUCAAUCUGUUUUUGGCAACAGGAUAAACUUUCUUUUAAAAAAAUGCAAUUUAAGAAAAUGGAUUAUAGUUUUUGAACUUUUACAAUAGGUCCAAUUUUUUUUCUUUUGAGCAUGAAAAAAUGAUUCAAUAAAUACAAAUUAUCAAAACCAAAAUCAUCAAAAUCUCCAAAAAAAAAAAAGAUAUAGACAGCCUAAAAAAGGGAAGAAAGAGAGAAAAAUAAGAAAAUAUGUAUAUUCACCUUGCAAGUUAAACUUGUUCAAUAUUGAGAGUCCCAUGCUCAUUUUCAAUGGAUGAUGUCCUGUUCAAAGAAACCAUUGUUGCUCCCUCCAUUCUUGAACACUUUUAAUCUAUCAAUCAAACAAUCAUCUAAAUUGCAACAAAAAGAAUAGGAUCCAAUAUGAAACCCUGAUUAGGAGACAUGGUAGUAUAUAUAAACCGAGGUCAUGGUGGGAUAGAGUUGAAUAAAAAUUAUGUGUCAUGAAUAUAGACCUAUUAAUGUAAAACAAAAAAGCCACUGAAUAUAUAAAAAAUAUUAAUUCAAUUUUACAUUGGUUUGAAAAUAUUUUUAAAUAUGUUUGAAUGCUCAUUCAAGUCUAACAAACAAAAGAAAAUGACAAACCCAUUUUAUAAUUGUCUUUCUUUAUUUCUUUCUUCCAAAGGAUUGUUAAGUGUGAAGUACUAGCAAAUAGAAAGUGUCAAAAAAAAUGGAAAUUGUCAAAUUGCUUGUCUUAGAGAAGUAACGUGACUAAUAAGCAAGGCUACACAUUACAUGUAUAGCCAUAUGCCUUUUAGUUCUACCUAAUUUUAGGCAUUACUUACUGAUUAAUGCUAUAGUAAGAGUGUAAGAUAACCUGAUUUUAAAGUCAUGUUUAUUUGUGCAAUUAGGAAAAAACAUACACUCACACACAUGACUACUGUAUCUAACAAAGAAAAAAACACACAAACAUAACAGCAAAAUAAUGAGUCUCAGCUACCUGACGCAUGGCGUCAGGGCUAAAAAACUAGUAAAGCGAGAAUCCGCUUGUGAACAGUAAAAAAUGGGCCGGUUAUGCCGUUAUUUGUGUGAGCUUGAGGGGCGUUUUGGUCUUUUGCUGAUGGGUGGCAGUGGCUCUGCUGGUAUUUUGCUUUUGUCCGCUGGCUCUCUUGCAUUGUAACCUUGCUCUGUCCGCGUGGCUCUUCAUUUUGGUAGUCAGCAAUGCUCUGUCCGCGUGGCUCUUCAUUUUGGUAGUCAGCAAUUACUAUUAAGUUAGUGGGCGGUUGGGCGGCAAAAGCUUUCUAGAGUCUUCAUUCUUUGCUUUAUGUAUAUUUCACCUCACACGCAUGUUUGGUUUCCUAAGCUUUUGUGUAAUUGCAGUUGCUUUGCCUCCGAUGGUGAGUAGGCAGUGGACGGUGUCUCCAGUGAUCUCUGGUUUUGCAAAGUUUUCAAUAGUCUUCACUUGUUGCUUUAUGUAUAUUACGCCUCACACGUAUGUUUGGUUUCCUAAUCUCUUGUGUAAUUGUAGUUGCUUUGCCUCCACUGGUGAGUAGGCAGUGGAUGGUGUCCCCAGUGAUCUUUGGUUUUGCAAGGUGAAAUCUUCAUUGUCUCACUUAGCUGAUUUUCUGAGCAAGCUGAUCUUCUAAAGUCUCCACUCUUUGCUUUAUUUGCGCAUUUUGAUGGUUUGCUGUAGAUUAAUGUUUUGACAAUGGGUCGGAAUAGAGUCUUGAGUGGUGUUUUGGUCUUCUGGCAUUGGAUGGUAGUGGUUUUGGUGGAAAUUCACUGCUGUCCGCAUGCUAUUAUUGGAUAGGAGCAAUUUUGGCGGGUGGGCAAUUUCGGCCUUGUUUCCUCUCUUCUUUUCUUGGCUUUCUUUACCAGGUGUCCAAGCAAUUUUGGCUUUCUUCAACAUUCCCCACGUGCUGUUCUCGGACGGCAACAAGUUUAGCAGUGAUUUGAGGUACAAUGGAACCACCACCGCUUGAAAGCUCUGCAAUCUCCAUUGCCCUUUCUCGUUCUUCUCUUGGCCUUCUCUGCCAGUUUUUUUCACUCAUCAUCUUCCUAUUUAAUUUUUCCCUACACCACAUCUUUCUCCAUGAUCUUAUCUAGAAAUCUACAGUAGAUUCCCUCUCAAUUUUUCCUACACGCACAACAAAAAUGUAAUCACCUUUUCCAAUUAAUCCCAUCUCCGUAAUUCCAUUUUUGAAUUGUUUUGCCUCUCUUUCUUCUUAUUUUUUUACUUUUAAGUGUUCUAGGUUUUAUCAUUGCAUGGGAUUUCAAUUUUCAUGUGAAUGGUUGGAUUUUUUCUUGAGUUGGGGUUGACUAAAUAUGUCAUUACAGGAAGUGGAGAAGUGGGCGACGAAGGAGGAGAGCUCCUUCCAUUGGCAUUAGAGGGAGAUUUAUAGUUGCAUAGGACAUUGGAAACCACAAGGCUCCGAUUGGAGUUCAAAGAUAAAUAGGCAUAUUGAGCCAAUCCCAAAAAUCAGAGGGUAAAAGAUAAAAAUAAACUUCUCUACUCUAAUUCUCACUUUUUUUAAUGCAUUUUGCAGAGUUCCCACGAAUCUUCCGUAACUUUCAAAUUUAAUUUUCCUAACCCAGAAAAACUACUCGGGAUGUAAUUUGAGAACUAAUCUUUCUGAAGUGGCGUUGGACGCUGAAGAGUGCUGCUGGAGGGGAAUAAACAACAUGGUCGAGAUUCGAAAGAACCGUAAAGAAGAAAGCUUGCGGAAGAAGCUCCGCGAAGGCCUGCAGAAUGCAUUUGCUGUUCAAUCGGAUACCUCUUCUGUCGAAAAAAAUGUCUAAAUAAAUUAGAAUUUAUAUUUUGUUCCUUUGAAGUUGUUGCUGCAGAUGGCUUUAAGUAGGGUUGUGAUUAAAUUUAAAUUUGCGAUUGUGUUGUUUUUGGGCAGGAUUUUCACAAUUUUUUUUUACAGUUUCCUUGUGUUUGAAUAGAGCUAGGGCUUGCACUUCAGCGCUUUUCUUGAAAGUAUGUCAAAAAAAAAAAACACACAUACACACACAAAAGUAAUAAAAAAUAUACCACAGCAGAAAAAAAAAAAAAAAAAACAGUCCAGGCUAUCUGACGCAUAGCGUCAGGGCAGAAAAAACUAGUUAAAGAUAAUCAUCCUAUAUUUGAACCUUAUUCUCCAAACUUUAGUGAGUUCCAGAUAUUUCUACUUUAUUCUAGGAAUAGAUUAUGGGUCUGUCUGAUAACAUAAAAAAGUGCUGAAUCUGAAUUUUUUCAGACAUUCAGAUGUUUUGAGUAUUUGAUAAAUGAAAAUUCAUUUGUUGAACUUGUUAAGUAGUGCUGGACUUGUGUGUAUAUUUUUUAACACAAGAAUCCUAACUGAAUGCUUAAUUCUGAUAGAAAUCAAUAGAAUUACUUUAAUUACCUUAUCUUAUCUAUCAAAUCUACAUUGUUUGUUAAUUAUGUUUAAAAUUCUUAUCUAAUUAAACAAUCUAAUAUUCUCUAUCUAAUGAUUUUCUAUUUCUUUUUUUCUCCCUUUUGAAUGAUUUUCUAUUUCUUUUUUUCUCCCUUUUGAAUGAUUUUCACAUCUUUUCUAUACUCCUCAUAUAAUAUAUUUCAUCUUUUAUAUUAAUUUGAUUUAAAAAUAAAUAUUGUCAUUUUCAUACCUAACAUUUUUAGCUAAUAAAAUCAUAGGUUCUAUUUCUUUUUUGGAUGAAAAGAUAUAAGGGCAAAUUUAUCAAAUUUAACUUAUUAAGUAUUCAGUUAUAAAUGUUUAUCAAAAAGUAUAAAUAGGUUUAAUAUUAAAAUUCAGAUAUUAAUAUAUUUCUUUUCAGUACUUAAAAUUCAGCAAAUUAAUUGUUUCAGUACUCAGAUUUAAGGAACCGGAUUUUUUUUGCUUGCUCGGGAGUUUCUGAAAAUUUACAGAGAUGUUGAGCACAAUGAACAAGGCCAAUCAAAGUUUGAGUGCUACAAAUAAGCUUUUCAAAGUUGGAAGAAAUUACAGUCAUAUAUCACCAUAAACCUUAGAGAAGCUAAGUUAUUGGUAAUAGAAAUACUUCGAUCAAAUCAAGAAAGCAAACAUCUGCAAUAUUGCUUGAGAGGGAAAGACAAUACUUUAAGACUCAACCAAUGAGAAAAAACUUCAGGGAUGCUUUGUUGUUUUCCACCAUCCUAUUGGGUAUUCAUUAAUUCGCUUGUACUGUAACACAGAACACUGCUAAAAAAAAAGUUACACAGAACAGCAACAACCAAAAUUACCAUCAAGAACAGGAAGAAGGUAAAAAAAGGGAAAACUACGACUCAAAUGGAAAAUAAGGCUUUCUUUUCUCCUUUUCUUUAUGCACAGUAAUUAGAAAACAACAAUUCAGCUCAGUAUGGAUAACAAAGGGCCAAAAUCAACAGACCACCUAAACUCCUAACGUAGAAGAAAUAAAUUAACUAACUAAAAUCAGAAGAUUGCUGAAUUCAGCAGGUAAGCAAAGCAAACAUUCAGCUCAAGCUAUUUCAAAAUCAAACCUCACUCAGCAAACAAAUUAACAUCCAAAUACUCGUAACUGAAGCCACACAAAGUUACAAUCUUUACUUGAUGAGUUUUGCUUUUUCUUAUCCCUUCCCCACCUGAACCUGUAUAUGAUAUACACCUGCAAAUUCAGAAUCUCCUAUAGCCAUAAUAGGAAUUUCAGUAAAGGGACUGUUUGAACAUCAAAGAGUCAAACUUUUUUCCAUUUUGAUUGGGAAAAUUACCCAAUAUCAACCAUGGUUUAAGCAUAAAUACAAGAAAUACAACUCCAAACAAGACAUAAUUGGAAAAGACAAAGAGUGAAGGAAAAAACAGAAAAGAGGAGGAAGGCUAAUUUUAACUUAUUUGUGAGGUAGCCUCCGAUAAUGGUCUGUUCUCUGGAAAAAAACUAGUUGAACAGUCCCAAUUGGUAAGCGGUUCACGAAGAGAACCAGAGAGGAGCAGAGGAUUUGAAGAACAGACCUGACACGAGGGUUUUAACCGACAGGCAACAGGGUUUUGACUUUUGACUCUUGCUGGUUGGGUCUUUCCUUAUUUUUCUCUUUCAAUUUCUUUUUUAUUCAUUUUUUAUUUUUAUUUUUAUUUUUUCAAAUUUCACUUUUUCUUUGGCUUUUUACAUUUUAUUUCCAUCUUUUUAACAAGAAUGAAAGGACGAAACAGAGAAGCACAGAUUGUAUCGCGUGAGAACAAGGAUGAAAGACCCCUAAUCUUACCAUGCUAGCAUUGAGUAUUAUUCCAAAUAAUUAUUUGGAAUAAUUAUUGUAACACUUUUUGUGAUGUGAUAUAUAUGAGAUAAAAAAGUGGUUGGAAAUAUAAAAAGAUAGAUUGAAAAAUGUAUUUAUGAUGCAAGCGAAAAAAUUUUUUGGAAAAAAUUUGCUAUCCAAUUAGUAUUUGAUUAUCUUUUCCAAAGGUUUAUUUGAGGGCAUUUCUCUGUUUCCUUAUUGAAAAAUCUAUUCUUCUACAGUUUGGCUUCUGAAGUAAUCCAUGUAGCCCAUCUAAUCUAAUUAGUCUUCUAUUUUAUGCAUAUCAUAGUGAAAUUACAUACUAACAUCAUGUAUUUAUAAUCUCUUGCUUGAAUAAGAGAAUUGCAUAGAGAAAGUGUAGAUAAAAGAAAAGUCAAAUGGUUUUAGCUUUAACUGGUCUAUAUUUAUUAGUCCACCUCCCACAAGAGAGAAGAAUUUGGCUGCACUGCAAUACUAAUGAGUAAUAUCUACAAGUAACAACUAAGUUGAAAGAGUUUUCCACCCUUCCAAUUUUCCGCGAUGACUCCUAUAUUUGUUUUCAAAGACAAGUGGAAAUGUAGGAAAGUUUUUUUUACAUGUAGAUGCACUAAACUGUAACAGAUUUGGAAAGAACAAGAAACGGAAAAGACAGACAAAAGAAGACUUGAUGGUUUCUCAUAGAAGGCCUACAACUGGUGAAUGUGCAAAUAUUAUCUUGUCUUUGUUCGCAGUGUAUCCCCAAUUCUGACAAACGCUUUUCCUUCUUGGCUUUGCCUCUCCAAGCAUUGUUAUGAUGUCUCUCAUUGAUGGCCUCUCCUUGGGGAGUUUAGCAGUACAAAGAAGUGCAAUCUUGAGGACGAGAAGCAUCUCUUCCUGGACAUGUUUACACUGACCAGCAACAUUAGGAUCUAAUGCUGAUUCUGAAGUUUUGUUGUUAACCUUUCUUCGAACCCAUUCAACAAUAUCAAUGGCUUCCCCAAAGGCAGGGUCUAAAGGCGUUUUCCCGGUUAAGAGCUCCACAAGCACCACUCCAUAGCUGUAGAUGUCACUCUUCUCAUCAACCUUUAAUGUAUAUCCAUAUUCUGCAAUCAGGAUAACGAUUAAGGCUUGAUUAUUCAAACGCUUACAUACAACGGAAUUCAAGUUAUACAAGAAACUUAAAUGCUUAUAAGGUAAAAGCUAACCUGGGGCAAUGUAUCCGUAGGAUCCAGCCACCAUUGAAACUGUCUCAUUCUUGUGCGACAUUGUCCUAGCCAGUCCAAAGUCAGCUAUCCUUGCCUCAAAAUCUGAGUCCAGCAGGAUGUUGUUUGACUUGAUAUCACGGUGGAUGACCGGUGGAUGGCAGUCAUGGUGAAGAUACGCAAGGCCAUGUGCCACUCCAAGUGCUAUGCUAUACCUGGAAACCCAAUCUACCAACAUUUUCCCUGCCUGUUUGCCAUGGAGGGCAGCACCAAGACUCCCAUUUGGCAUGUACUCAUAGACCAUCAUAACAUCAUUCUCAUUGUGCAGAUAACCUAGUAAUCUUACUAUGUUUCUGUGACGUAAUUUCCCUAAGAGAUUCACUUCUACAAAGAGGUCAUCUCCAGUUUCCAAAUCUGAUUCAGUUCGCCACAACUUUUUAACAGCCACAACACUGUGGGGCCUUUGAACUUCUGCCUUGUACACUAUUCCAGUCCCACCUACUCCAAUCACAUUUGAAUCCUUCAAGCUCGCCAGUAUAUCAUUACUGGUAAAGUUUAGCCUCUGGAAUGCUACAAGCCUCCAUGGCCAUUCUGUACUGUCUCUUUUGAACCAAUCCUUGAAGAAACUUCUGUAGAGAUACCAGCGUUUAUAUAGCCGUCUCCCCACAAGUACCAUGACUACAAUGGCUAUUAAUAUGGCAAUUCCAGUGAAAAAUCCAAUGAAGACAUGGUUGAUGUGAAAUUUCCUGAAGUGCAAUAUACUGUUUGAUUUGUGAGAACAAGGUGGAAGUACACCUCCACAAAGACCAGCAUUGCCAAUAAGGUCAUUUGGAUUGAUGGUCACUAAUAUGCCAUUGUUUGGAACAGGACCCUCAAGCUUGUUGUAAGACAAGUUGAGCAUUUCAAGAGCUGGUGAGCUUCCAAAACUUGCUGGGAUUUGUCCAACAAGAGAAUUGUUUGAUAAGUCAAGGACGGAUAAAGUAGGCAUUGAUGCAAUUGGCCUUGGAAUUUCACCAGUAAAUUGGUUGUUCCGAAGAUUCAAGUUCACUAGCUUUUCACAUGAAGCAAUACUUUGAGGAAUUUUCCCUGAGAAAUGGUUACUUGAAAGAUCAAGCACUGAAAGAGAUGGGCAGUCUUGGAAUUGAUCUGGUAUGUUGCCCUCCAGUUUGUUAUUUGAAGCGGCAAAUGUCUGGAGUUGGGGGAUGGAUAGGAUGCUAGAGGGCAGAGACGAUUCAAGUUGGUUCCAGGAGACAUCAACGAAAGAAAGUGAAGUGGACAAUGUAAAAUCCUCAGGAAUUGCACCAGUGAGAUUGUUAUGAGCCAAUUCUAGUCUUUGGAGUUUUAAAAGGUUUCCAAGUCCAGGGGGAAUUGUUCCAGAUAAAUGAUUAUUCUGGAUUCUAACUCUAACCAAGGAAGAACAAUUGGAAAGGCCCACAGGAAUUAAACCUGAGAAGGUAUUAUUGAAGAGAAUGAGUUUAGUGAGAUUACCUGAGUCACACAAUCCUGCUGGAAUCUCACCAGAUAAUGAAUUUGAUGAGACAUCUAACCGAUGCAAGGGAGAGUUCCUUCCAAGAUUCACUGGCAGUCUGCCAGUUAAAGUGUUCUGCCACAGCUCAAGUACCUCAAGUUUUGUCAACUCACCGAACUUGUCGGGAAUAGGACCAGUUAGUUGAUUGCACAUGAGAUUCAGCAGCUGCAAGUUCUUCAAGUCUGCUAUUUUGCCCGGGAUUUCUCCUGAAAUGUUAUUGUCAGAAAGAUCCAGAUACACUAAAGAUGAUAAGUUUCCAAUUUCAGGGGGAAUCUUUCCUUCAAAAUUGUUAUGAUAUAAGUAAACCGUGGUAAGCUUCUUCAACUUGCCAAGUUCAGCAGGAAUUUGACCGCUCAAAGUACCAACAGCCAAGUCUAAGUAUUGAAGGUUAGUGAGGUUACCAAACUCUGCCGGUAUUGUACCCUCAAACAGAUUGUAUCCAAUGAUGAUCGUCUCCAAAGAUGACAACUGACCAAUCUCUGCUGGAAUCUUUCCAGUCAGAUUAUUACCUGAAAGCCCGAGAAACUUUAACUUCUGCAAAUUUUUAUAAGACACUGGAAUUGAACCUUCAAAGAAGCUCCCUCUGAAAUCCAGGAUCUCGAGUGAAGUUGCAUUGCUAAGAUCCUCUGGAAGCAAGCCCACAAAAUUAUUGCUGGAUGCAGUGAUUGCUUUCAAGCCUGAAGCAUUUCCAAAACCAACAGGAAAUUUGCCCACAAAGUUGUUCUGGCUUACGUCGAGAAUCUUCAAUGAUGCAAGGCUGCCUAAUGACUGGGGCAGUGCAGAUGAGAAGUCGUUACAGCUUAUAUUUAGAAAAGAGAGACUACUCAACCCUUGAAUGCCCUCUGAUAUCUGUCCACUUAGGUUCAAGUUGGAUAAGUCAAGACUCUCCACGAAGCCUUUCGAGUUGCACCAGACACCGUUCCAACUACAGUGAAUUGAACUGCCUUCAACCUCAUUGCUUGGCACUUUCCAAUCUUUGAGGUGAUCCAUUGGAUCAGUUAUGUUGGAUUUUACGGAAAGUAAGGAUAAGAGUUCAACAUUUUGGGCUCCCUCGACAAAAACAAGAGAGAGACCAAUGUAACAGUACAACAAGAGAAGACACAUUUGCAUCUUGUAUUUCCUAUUCAGUUUGCUCCUCUAAUCAGUUGUGCAUCAUUCUUGGCUCUAGGGAAUGAAGGUGCAUGAGGGAGAAAAUAUGAACUUAUAUGAUUCUGAAAGGGGAUUAAAGAAACAGAUGAUUGGUUGAUAGUUAGCAAUGCUGAUUAUUGGAAUGGGACCUCUGUCCAUCUGUAACAAAGAAUAUCUUCAAUUAUCUAAAUUAAGAGACUUUUCAAUGAUUAAGCUCAAAUCAAACUAAUGAAUGAGUAAGGAAUCAAUUCGUGAGGUCUUGGGAUCUGAGCCAGCUAUUACAAUGCAUCCAAUGACUCUAGAGUUUGGAACUAUUGAGAAUAAUACCGACAAUAAAACAUGGAUGGAAUGUAUUUUAAGUGGCUGCUUAGAUGCAUUAAACAUAUUAUAAUUGAUCAUAGGUCAACCUAAGUAAAUGACACAACUGAAUUUUAUCCUCUUAUUAUAUUGUAGAGGAGCCAAUUACAAAGGUUCUUGUUUCUUCCUUCAAUUUUACUAGUAGUUGUUUAUGCUUGUCUUUUGCCUCCAUGGUCGUUUAUCUGCAAAUAUUUGUUACUUUAGUGCAAGGCCAGAUACAACUGCUCAAAGGUGUCGCUGUUAUAAAAAAAGUUAAGUCCUCUUCUAGAUUUUGUUUUGCUUUUUAAAGUAUGUGAACUUAUAGAAUUAAAAAAAAAAAGUAUGUGAACUUACUGACUGACAUUCUAGCACCUAAAAGUUCUUGUCAAUCUGUAAAAUGAUAGUACUCAAAAGACGGUCCUAGAUUUUAUCUACAUUCACCAGAGAAGAAGGGUUUUUUUUUUUUUUUAUUCUUGAGCUCUCAUUUUGGUUUAGGUGAUGUUGGCUCAUGAAUUCAGAAUAGUAAGCUUUUGGAGUUACUGUUCCAUUGGGCAUGUUCAAAGUUGAAGCCAUAAUAACUCUUCUUCAGGCAACCACCAAAGCUCAGCCACUUUCAUCUGGAACACCAACAAAAAAAAAAGGGUCUUCAAUACUAUGAUCUAUGAAAGCUGAAAUGAGUUAAGAGUGCUGUUUCUCUGAACAGUUUUAUGGACUAUAAUUCAUACAUUUUUAAGUGAAAAUUUUCAAAAUUAUGGUUUCUUGAUUUUCGUCUUUAGAAAGGCAAGUGGGAGUAGGAGCUCAUACCUGCUCUAUAUGACUUCACCCCUAUAUCUUAUUCCAGGCAUUUCACAGUUAAAAUCUUGUGAUAUCUGAGUGUUUCAAUCCAAAACAGAAGUGCAUCAACAGGCAUGCAUAUUGAAAACCAACAUCUAGAACUUGGAGAAAUUAAGAGCAGUAACAUUCUGGUUUCAAUAUGUAUCCAAGAAAUCCUAGACCAUCUUCCAAGCUACUUCAUUCUAUUAUUAGAUCUCCUUCAUUGGUAUAAUUGUAUGCAAUAUUGAAAGGCUGAUAAAAUCAAUUAAAUGGGAUAUUAGAGAAUCUCCACAUGUUAAGGGAUCGAAUAUUGGUUCCAAAAAAAUAUGACAACUAGGAGCUUUCUCCACAAAACACACAAACACACAAUGCAAUCAAUCAUUAGUCUGUAUUUACCAAACACCACCAUUCCUCCACAUUAACAAAUUCUGCUCUUACUUUGUAAGCCACAUGCAGCCAACAGGGCAAGUUCAAUUAUCUAAUCAAUGAUGAUUGAUAAAUUAUGAGCUUGCAUCUUUCUUUCUUUUUUUCUUUUUUCUUUCAAGAGAAUUGAUAUGUGUGCUAUGAUAAGUUAAUCAUGGAGCCUCAAAAAGCUGGAGGGACCUGGAGCCCCAUGUGAGGGGCCUUAAGGUGCAGCUUCCCUUGGGGAAGAUCCUCUCUAGCCAGCCAUCAGUAACCAGCCAACACCCCAUUAUUGGAAGGGAGACCCCAGAAAAUUGCCAUUCCAACCUGCCUUCAGCAUCUCUAAGUAUCUUAUCCUACGAUGCAACUCUUCCAGAAUCCUAGCGGUGCAUGUUAACGGAUGCCCCACAAUCCACGUGAAUUUGCAUAUAACCACUAUGGAUGUUUCAUCCUUCGAGUCAAUGAGCCAAUGAACAAUAAUUUGAGGAAGAAAAUAUCCUACAAGACUGAAAAAUUUUCGGUUCAGAUGCAAGACUUACUAGUGAAAGAUUUGAAGCUCAAAUUUCAACCCCUAAACCACAUUGGAGCACAUGACAAUCUUAUUUGAAGCAAAUAAGUUAUUCUUCCAAGUGACUUAGCAAAUCAAAGAAUCAAGGUGUUAUUUUUCUUUUUUUCUCUGGGGUCUUUUUAAUACAUUUUUCCACAUUAUUCCGGUCCCCAUCUUUUCACUUUUUGUAUGUUCGAUGGGAUUCUUGAAUGUUGGUUCUUUCCCAGUUGGAAGUGUCCAACUGUCCAUGGCUUGCUUUAGCAAUUAGCAGCCUGAUAUUUGAGGCGUGCAGAGUGCAGACUUUAAUAUUGGUGCAUGGGAGUUGAAUCACAUUAGGUAACCAAACCGACCCAUUACUACCCUCACUGUGGAAAAGUUGGCCAUGAUUUUUUUUUUUUACUUUCUUUUUUCUAGCAGGGGAUUUAAUAAGCGAAAAGGGAGAAGGAAAAUUUGAACCUAAAAUUUUUUAUUUUUGGACCUUCACUUAAUCAUUAGACCAAGGCCUUUUCGACAAAUGGCCAUGAACUUGAUACAUCACUAGAAUAACCUACAUUUGGUGCUUUGUAUACUACCGAUAAUGUCAAUUUUGUAGUGGAUAAUGUACAAAAAAAAAUUAUAUUUUUAACAUGUCAUGGCACUUGAGAAUCUAAGAGUAACGUUAAUGAAAAAGUCGGUAAACUAGUAAUUUGGUUGUUGAUCGUUUGGAGGUAGAUGAAAGCUUAUAUAGCUUCAAGAAAGUUAGCUUAUGAACUUAUUCCCAUAAAUUACUAACGAAUUUGAUAUCUGAGUUGAUAUUUACUUAAGAUGUUAAGGGAAAUUCUUUGUUUUUGGUCAGUUGGAGGCCUAAGCCAAAAUUUACUUUGUUUUGCUAUCGGUGGCACUUGCACCCAUUAGAUAAGUGGGAAAUUGUACACAAGUAGUGGAAACACUUGACUAUUUUUAUUAACCCACAACCACUUUUUACGUGCUCUUGCACAGAUGGCUUGUCCAAUUGAAAAUGGCAUUUGGGCCGAGAAAAUUUUUUUUUUUGAAGUUUGGACUGGAAUACAAUCAUAUUGUGUUUUGAUGUAAUGGGCUAAGAAGUACUGCAUUGAAACGAUGUAUCCGUUUUCCAAUCUGAAAGUGUUUUAAUGUCUUACCUCGAGGGAGGGUUAAAUUGAACGGUAAGAUAGUAGGAAUUGUAACUUGUAAGUAAAAAAUCUUGAGUUUCAAGACCUUCCCUUUUACCCAAAAAAAAAAAAAAAAAAAAAGAGAGAGAGAGAGAGAAGGGUCUUGAAAGAUUUUAAAAGUUUAGAGACAUUUUUUUUCAAAAAAAAAAAAAAGCAAGAUAGAAGAUAGAGGAAUUUAAACUCAAAACUUCUAAUUAUUGAUAUUUUAACUUUAACCAGUAAAUCAAAACUGGUCCACCAAGUUUUAGAAACAUUCACUACAAACAUUUUGUUUGUAGGAGUGAUGCUAAAUCAAAUAGUUCGACUCGAACUCGCGAGCCACUCAGUCAAUAGUUCGAUUCGAUCUCGUUUUGACCGAGUUUAAGUUCGAGUUCAACCUAUUCGUUUGAGCUCACGAGUCGAGUUCGAACUCAAAUACUUUGUACUCAAGGGCUCAAUGAGCCUAAUCGAGCUUUUCGUAGUAUAUAUUUUUUAUUUUUUUAUAUUUAUUAUUGUGAAAUGUUAAUAUUAUCCUUUAUUUAAAAUUAUAUGUGAAAUAUUAAUUUUUAUUACAUGAGCUUGAUUAGACUCAAAUAGGCUCGAUUACACUCGAAUAGACUCGAUUGAAUUUGAUUUGACUCGAUUAGAUUUAAUUAAACUCGAGCUCCUAAAGUCAAGUUCGAGCUCGACUUCUAAAAGCUCGAUGAGCUCAAGUUCAGUUAUUUUACCUCUAGUCAAGUUCGAUUACUGCACUACUCGAAUUUGACUCGAUUCGAAUACACCUUUAUUCGUCUGUCUUGUUCAAAAGAAAAAAGAGAAAAAAAAAAAAAACCAUUCAUCUGUCUUUUAACUUCAACGUACUUGUGCAAAGCAAACUCCUAAAUCCGCCUAUAUGCGCAAAAAUUAGUGUGCAGAGGGCCAACAUCUUCAUCCCUCAAUUUACAAAACUUACAAUAUAUAAUAUCUUCCUUAAAAAGCAUUGUCCUUUUUACGUUAGUUAAUUCACCUGAUAAAGUUUUUAAGGUGGAUGCACUAAUCUCCGUCUUUACAUAAAAUAGUGUACUGGUGUUGAAUGACAAGUAUACAUCCAAGAAUUAGACUGAGAAUCGUCCCUUUCCUGGUAAAAAAAUUCAACAAUAGGAAUAGGAAUAGGAAAUGCACUUACCCCAGGGUAAGCACCAGUACUUUUACAUGUAAGAUCUUGGCAUCCAUAUCCUUUAUCAUUAAGCAAAUAAUUAACUUGAUACCAUGAAUCCUGAUCCACUCCCAACUGCAGCAACAUAAUUGUUUUGACCAACUGUUAAUUAAUAACGAGGUUAAGACAAAAAAGAUGUUUGACUCUUGAGUUUUUGAGGUGACUUUUACAGGAAGGCAUCCACUAAGAAAAGGUUUCUCAUUACUUUUCCAGCUCAAUUCAUGCCCCUUAACUUGUACACUUUUACCUCAAUUUUAGUAUCACGAUUCACAAUUAUGAAAUAUGUAGUCCAUUUUUGUAGUUUAAAUUCUUUUUUUUUUAAUAUAUAUAUAUAUUUUUUUUAAAAAGAAAACUACUACUAUAAUAUCAUCAGAGGCUUUCUUUCUCAUAAUAUCAAAAGUUGGUGCUAUGAGUUUUGUUUCAGUUUGUAUAUAUAUUAUCAUGCAUGCAUGUAAUCAAAAAUAAAACUUGCAGAAUAGUGAAAGGCGGCUUAGGAAACAUGUCAUCCAUCUUAGAACCUUUUUGCAAAGAAAAUUGGCUGACCAAAUUCCACUAGGAUUUAUUUAUCAAUUUGUGUACUGUCGCUUGAACAAACAUGAGUCGUUGAUGACUCACAAACCAAAAUAAAAAAAAACUCAAUUGAUCGACUAAAUUAGGUGGGUGUGCGUGGGUUAUUUAUCGAUUUCGAUAAAAAAAAAAAAAAAAGGAGUGAGAUGGAUUCAUUUUUUCUAUCUAUCUUUCUCUUUCUCUUUUUUUUUUUCUUUUUUGUUAAUUUCAUAAUAUACUGCUUUAUAUUUUGGUUAGUUGUCUCUUUCCACUUUGCAACACGCCGAUCAACUAACUUGCAUAGAUUAAUUAUUGGCCCAGGAAGCAAAAAGGACCCCUAAGGAUUCAUCAUCCUUAUCCCAAACAAUGGCCAAUGACAACUAAAAUUUCACGUAAAGUAGGAAGAAGAAAGCAACAAGAAAAGUUGCAGUACCAACCUCUCUUUCUCAAUUGGCCUUUUUCUACAUGAAAAAUACAGAAGCAUUGGAAAAGAUUCCACAUACUCUGAACAAUGCUAAGGAGCCCUGUUUUGACUUUUGAUUCGGGUUUUUGGACUGAUUCUGAUUCCUCUCCAAAAGAUUAGCCGGAUUGGACAGAAUUCCUAGCAUUAAUGAAAGCAGCUGGACGAUAAUUGUAAAUUAGACAUCAAAAUUAAGAUAAAAUCUAAUUAUUAUGAUAAUUAAGGACCCUCAAGCACUCUUCUUUUUUUUUUUUUUUUUUUUUUGUUAAUUGCAAUAAAUAUUUCCUUGUUCAAACUGCUUGUAAAUUACAAUAUCCUACCAAUAUGUAACAUGGGAUGCGACAAGCACACAUGAAAUAGGGCUCAGUGUAUAAAACUCUUUUGAGUGUUGGAUUCGAGGCAAAGUAACCCUACUUUAUGGUUUAACUUAAGUUAAAUAUUGGCCAAGUGUUUAUCAUUUUAUUAGAUGUAGCUUUCAUGAGUGUCCAGCUUGAUUAUCUUUUCAUUUUCCGGCAAUUUUCUAUGAGAUGAGAUUAAGAAAAAAAAUAAAAUCACAUCAUUUGGUAACCACUUGUCCAUUCGCCAAUCUCUUUCAUGCCUGACUAACAUUUUCUUUAAAAAAAAAAAAGAGGACAGAGUUUAGUUGUCAAUCAAUUAUUUUAAUUUUUAAUCAAUGCUUUUAGGAGUAUUAUAGUUGAUAAUUAGAAUCUGACAGCUAAACACAACAAUUUAUCUAAGUUUUUUUUUUAAAAAAAAAAAAAAAAGCAUUUAACUGGUUGGAACCGGGAUUCUGAAAUUGUUUUGUAAGUAGCUCCUUCUUGCUAGUUUUGACUUUGUCAGCACAAAUGGCUCCUUCUAGAAAUAGUUUAGGGUCACUCACCUCCACGGCUCAGAAAUCAUCCAGCAUAUAACAUUGCCUUGCUCAAAUCCAAGUCUUAGAUCACAAACUCAAUGCAAACAAAUCCCUUCAAAGUUCAGACAGCACUUCCCUGAAUUUGCUAAUAUUUCCCCUGACGUAGCUAGGUUUAUAACUACAUAGAGAUGCCCUAUUUGUAGAUCUCCGCCAGUUCUAGUAUCUAUCUAUCAAUAAAUAGACCAAUAAAAUAUCCAGGGCUAUUUAUGUAUUCCAAUUUACUGAAGUAAUUAUGAAUAAUUGAACGACUAAUACCCUGCAUUGCGUAUUUUACUGCUACUAAUUAAUAUACUCCAUUUUAUUUAUUUUUGUUUUUUUUUUUACUAACGUAGUGGGUAUCCCAGAUUCGACGAAUAGGAGGGAUCAAACUGCGAUCACACGGUGCCAGACCUAAGAGGCACCGUGUAUAUUCCUUUUGUAUGAUUAACUCUUAUGUUUUCCAGUAAUUAGCAGAAUGCCAGGUGUGAAGAUUACCUUCCUGAUUUUGACUUUGUCUGUUUGUCAUUCCACGGUUUAGAUAAAUCCUAUAGAUUUCUUGUUUGGAUUGCUUUUUUCUCAAAAGUUUUUAUAAAAAAAAAAAAUUUACUUUGAUGAUUUGAUUAAUAAAAGUUAAAAUUAUAAUUAAAAUAUUUGUUUAAAAAAACAUAAAAAUUUUCCUACGAAAAAUCACAACCCAAACCAAACAAGGGUUUCACUUUCCAGGUGCCGAAGCAUGAGCAAAAGCCGCAAAAGAAAAGGAUAAUGAUUGCUUGCUGUUAAUCUGUCAUUGGUCGAUUUACCUCAUAUCCAUCCAGAACCAAUUAAAUGCUAAGCAAACCUCGGUUUAAUAGUACAACAGUAACAGCCAAUAAGCUUCAAGUUUUCCAGAUAAAGAUUUUAGAGAAAAUAAUAAUAAUUAUUAUGUUCUGCUGCUUUGCUCCUGACAAUUCGCUAAUUAAUUUUCCUAAAAUCUUGGAAAAGUGCUUCUACAUAUGCACCAUAUUUUUUAAAAUUUUAAUUUUUUUCAACUAGUUAAUGCAUAAGGUUUAUCAUUUAUGUAGUUCCAAUGUAAAUAUCAUUUUCAUCUCAAACAUUUUAAAGCUAAAGUACCAUUUGAGGGGAAAAAAAAGAAGGUCAGAAACAUGGCUGCUAGUAUCUUCAAGCUCUUCACGGAGUUGGAUGUCCAUUUCAAGCCGUGAAUCAGCUUCAGACUCGUAGUCAACAGCAAAUGUAAAUAAAAUUUGCCAAUUUGUCAACAACACGAUUUCUAGUUUCACAAAGAUUCAUGCCUUAAACUGUUACAAAAAAUGAAAAGUUCAUUGAACAUAACAUCUUCUCAGAUGCAGAAAAAGAUGAAAUUAAACCCAUGAUCAUGAGUCCUACAAUGGUGGUUGUCGAUGGAGAACACAACUGGCGGCGGGUGGCCGGAGCAACCUUGAUAUUUCUGGACUUGCCUACUAUGAAAGGUUGAUGAGAUUUGAAGCCAAAACGCAUCUCUGAUUUAUUGCGUUGAUGAUGAACAACUAAAGUUUCCAGGCAAAACACACCCAAAAAAAAGGAAAAAAAAAACAGCAAGCUUGCAGAAAGGAAACCAAUUGGUCAUGAGCCGUACAGUCAGAGAGAAAAUUUGAAAAGCCAAGAAUUAGACUUGCCUAGAACUCGUACUAGUUCCAUUUACCCUGUGGGGGGCGCCCUUGCUUUUUCCACUAGCAUAUUUGAUGUAUUUUGUGGAGAAACUCUCAGCCCUUCUUCAUCUUCAUGCAUAAAUAACUCAUGAUUGCUUUGAAUUCUUGAUCUCAUAUACUCUGCCAUUAGCUGCUGGUUUUGAGGCUGCAUGAUUGAUAUGAGAACAACUAUGAAGUUGGAGAAUACUAUGAGACCAAGAAGAAGAGGAAGAAAGGGGAUGAAAUGUUUAAGAGUUUUGUAGAUGUCGGAUUAUAUAUAUAUAUAUAUAUUACAUAGAGUUUUGCGGGUAGGGAAUGGAUUUUUCUUAGUUGCUUCAUGGUGUGAUGGACGGAAGCUACAAGGGGUAAUUAAAAUAGCAGAAUAUUGAAGAAGACACCUAAGUAAUUAUGGCCUACAUACAAGUCUUUCAUCUCUACUACAAAGAUCAGUAUCUUAUAGUUCUAGAACUAACCACCAGUCAGCCUUGGGCUUGGUAGCCACUAGGGCUGCAAACGAGCCGAGCCGAGUCGAGUUUUGAGCUAAUCGAGUCGAGUCUUGAUUAAAUUUUACCAAGCUCGAGUUCGAAAAAAAAAAUUAUUUAUUUUAUUUUUUAAAAAAUAAAUAAAAUAAUAUUUUUUUCUUAAUAAAUAAUAAAAUAUUAAGGAUAUAUACGUAAUUUUACUAUAAAAAUAAAAAAUAAAAAAAAAUAUAUAUAAUAUACGUAAUUUUAUUAUUAAAUAAAAAUAAAAAAAAAAUAUAUAUAUAUAUAUACCCAAGCUCGCGAGCCGGCACGCGAGCUAACGAGCUUAAUAUUCUGAGCUCGAACUCGACUCGAGCUUGACUCGAACCGCUCGCGAGCGGCUCGAUUCGUUUGCAACCCUAGUGGCCACCAUCAAAGCAUUAAAAUUUGAUGGGGUGGGAGAAAUUCUUGCCUCCCAUCCAUUGUCAUAUUAACUGAUUUUGUUUAAAAAUUUUAGACGAAUGCGUGGUGCACCCGUCUGGUUCAGUGGUAGUUCAAUCUUCUCUGGAUUACCCUUGGAUCUUUUCAGGUCUAUCUCCUCCGUCUAGUGUAGAAUAGAAUAGAUUUAUCGUCUCCGUAAAAAAAAAAUUGUAUAGUUCUAGAACUAACUUUUUAAUUGAAGUUGGAGUCUUAGGAAAGCCAUGCAAUUUUUUUUGCUUUUUUUUUUUUGGCAUGGGGUGUGGGGGCGGGGAAGGGCUUUUGGUGGGAAAGAGCAGGGGGGGGGGGUGGGGGAGGACGGUUUGGUGUCGCUCAUGGAAUGGAACUACUAAAGUGGAAGUCUAUGUCUGAACUGUAAAAUUUUCAGUGGAAAAGUAGGAAACAACUUUGCUUAGCUGCAAUUACAAAUUAAUGAGGUGGCUGAUCCAAAUUUAAAGAUCAAUAGAGACAAACAAACCAAUAGAUACCAUAUGGUGAGACUAAGACAUACACUACUUAGUUUUUUUUGCGACGUGGUAUUUGUUUUUAGUGAGGACAACCAUUGAAAAUAUAUACUCACUAAGCUCUGUUCUUUUGUUCUCAAACUAAUGGCAGUGAGCUGUUAGAGAAAUGACCUAACCAAAUAGCUAAUAGCUACUAAUAGCCCUUUUUCUUGGGGGUGCCCAAGAGCCAACAGCAUAAUAAUUAGCUCUCCAUUUCUAUAUCAUAAUUAGAUAUUUUAUAGCAUGUAGUUAGUCGUGACAAAAUGGUUUGCUGUGUUAAAUGAUUAAUGGUUGGUAAUAUGGGUUUGGUCGCAAUGUACAUGUCAACCAGCAGAUGCAUGCCUUGUGUUUUAUCUUCUUUUUCUUUUUUCAGACGCAAAAUAUUGUCAAUCAUGCCAUUCUGGUUAAUAAAACAUCAGAGCAUUUUAAGGUUGGAUGGAAUGUAUUUCAAUCCGAAGAAUACUCCAACUUUUUAUAGGAGAAAAAAAAGAUAUUUUCCAUUAACAAAUAUGUCUGACUUUCUUUUAAUUAGUACAGGAUUUUCUGGUUUAAGAAGCAUAUGUUGCUAUCCUAAUUUGCCCCUCUUUUUGUUUUUGUCUUUCUUUUUUCAUGGAUCAAACUGGUUUCUCUUGGACAAAUUAUAAUGCCAUCUUUUGCACCCUUUUGCUACUAAUUCUUUGAAAUUCAAUUAGACAAGGGAAGAGCUUUUGUGCAAUGGAUAGAACAAGGUGAUUCAACAAAAUGUACUAAAAACUCAAUUGUUUCUAUCUCAUAUUUCUGAUAAAAAUGAAUUCAUAUAUAUAUAAAAAAAUGUACAUGCACAAGUUCUUGUUCGUCUGCCGUGUAUUUAUUUCCGAAGGUGGUUUGUAAUUGUUAGGAUGGAGCCAGAAAGAUGAUUUUGUCUUUUUAACUUAAAAAACUUCCAUCUAUCUCCUUGUUUGGCAGACAAGUUUUUUAUCCAAUUUAUCUGCUACAAGUUUUUUAAAAACUUUAACUACAGUAACCUCAAAAAACUUCACAAAGUUUUUAAACUAUACACUUCAAAAUAUUAAAAAAACACACAUACUUCAAAUUUUUUUUUUAAAACUUCUACAAUAAGUUAUAGUAAAAUUUUAGACAAAUACCCAAGAAACUUCACUCUUUUUUUUUUUUGGGCUGAUAAGAAACUUCAUAAAUAAGACAGAAGUGGGGAAGAUCAAACAUUUGUAGCAUUAAUAAUUGCUUCAUCGUAAGGAGAUGAUGUAGAAAAGCUGUCUUAGACAGGUUGGCAAGCAAAAAUAUAUAACAAGUCAAAUGAUGUCAACUUGACUAUUUAGGUGAUUAGGGUAGAUUCAGUGCUAAUCCAACAAUGUAUAUACUUUUGAUAAUCAUGAAAUGACAAACGUUCCACCACGUCCCUUUAUCUUCAUGACCCAAAACGAGCAAUUGAGAUGUAAUAAUAUGCAACUCCCCUACCCUUCCACGAAAAAUAGACUUGCCGACAGAAAGAUUGUUGUGUGUAUUACGUUUAGGGUUUGCACUACUUUACGACUUUACGCUGUGUAUAAUAUACUGUACCAGGAAUUUGAUUUCAAGCUUCUUUUGGCCACUAGUUAUAUAAUUGAGGCUGCAAUAGACACAAAAUAUUUUCAUCUGAUUCUGAAAAAGAAAAGGAUGGAAUUGGAGCUUUCAUGACAAAAUUAUGCGCAAUUUCGUAGUUUUCAUCCCAAGCCCUGUAUGAAAAACGAGCCGACGAAAAAUUAGGAAAAUAAAAGUUGUAAUUAGGGGUAAUAUCGAGUCGAAUUGAACUCGAGUAUCCCCAUAUUUGAGCUCGAACUUGAUGCCUAGUAACAAUACUCGAAUUCGAGCUUGAAGUCGAACAAAUUGUUUGAACAAACAUCCAGCUCGACUCGACGUAAUACUAGACAGACUCGAACUCGAUUCAAUAAAGCUUGAGAAGUUGGCGAACUCGAAAAAUGAUUAGGAUCGUAAAUAUUGUAAAUAAUCAACCUAAAAAGGUAAUUUGAUUAUUUAUAAUAUAUUAAUUAAAUAUUACACCGAAUACUCUAUAAAACUCGACAAACUCUCGAAUAUAUGAUAUAUAUGCUCGAGUUUGAUUCGAAUCCUCAAUCGAGUAGCUCGAACUCGGCAUUGAUCGAAUUCUAGUCAAGUAAUUGAUCAAACUACUCGUGAACUCGAGUCAAACUACUCGAUUGAAUUACACUCCUAGUUGUAACCAUUAAAAAUGAAAAAAAUAUCUAAUUUAAGUGAUUGCUUCUUUCCAUUGAUUCCACUGCUGCUUCAGACUUGUUUAACUUCCAAAUGCAGAAAAAGAACCUCAAAGAAACUCAUAGUGCGAUAUCAGUUAUGCAAUAAGAAAACCCCUCUCUGAUACUUAGAAUCGUAAUUCCAUUUUUUUGUCUUACAAUUGCAAAUUAGGCAAAAGUAUACAUAAAUGUGCAUCAACGAUAAUAAUGCUAAACAAUAAAUAUAUCUUAGUCAUAUUUUGCUCUUCAUUCAUUUAGGAAUCUCGCGACUCCCAGCUGAACUAUUUAUCUUACUUCUGUUUUCUGUGCAUGAACACAUUAAUUUGUCUUGUUGCUUAUACUAUUGAUGCAGCGUGAUUUGACGGGAAAAGAACAAAAACUCAUCAAAAGGUGGUGCUAUAGUGCAAGAGUAAGGGCGCUAGCUAUGCAAGUGAAAGUGAAUAUCAGCCCCCACCAAAUCAUCAAGAAUCAAGCCACACCAAGAUAUUUUUCUUACCCACCGGUCUAACGUUAUCCGCCACAUUGGAAGAGGUAUGAACUUGGACGUUAAAAUGACCAUCUAAUUCUAUUACAUGCCUAAGAAGGAAGCUGAAGAUAAACAACAUGUAUGCGCAAAUUAAAUGACCAAUGAUAGCUAAUCUAAUCAAAUUGAUACAACACAAAGGUAGUCAAAUUAGCACUUGUUACGGGGUAGAAGUUUUGUUUACAUGCCAGGAUUAUGGAGAGACCAUCUUACUUUUUCUUUUUUUUUUUUUUUUUUUGUCGACACAGGGGUGUCCGGGUCAAUCCUUACGGGACCCGACUAAUUCCCUGCGACCCGGACCCGGCGCCCCAACCCGGCCCGAACGCGUUAAGUGCGCGGAGGAAUCCAGCGGAGCGGAGACUCGAACUUGUGACCUCAAGGUUCACUGGUGAGAGGCGCUGCCGCUGGACCAUUCACGCGGGGGCAGAGACCAUCUUACUUACAAGUAUGCAAGUUUGUGUGAUAUUUGUGGCCCUUGAUACAGACGAGGGAUUAAGACUUUCAUAAGAUGGCGUAUUGAGUUGGAUUAUCUAAAUUGUUCUCAAUCUUUGUUAAAUAGUAGAAACACAUUUUUAUUCUUUCACGUCAUAAAAUUUUGAUAUUUAGGUUUUGACUGCAAAUUGUCGUCUCAAAUCUUAAACACCCUAAAAACUUCCCUUAAUGAUUUUUUGGACCAAAUUAAAAACCAUUUAUAAAGCAAAUUUAGACCUCUCAUGCACAUGUUUAUCCUUUCUUGACCAUGUAUUUGCUUCAAAAUUCACACACAUGAUAACAAUACACUUUUUAGUGUAUUGCAGGUUGGUAGUCAUAAGUUGUUACUUUGUGACUAUUAAGUACUUGCUUGAGUGUUUUAUCCAUGAGAAAACUAGAUUUAUUCUAGCCUGACUUGCUCAUAAAACUGAUAAAUAAUCCAAAAUCAGGUGAUCAAAAUUGAAUAAGGUUUCGUAGCUAGCCUCCUCUUUCGUUCGGGGGCCUUCAACUUUAUGCGUACGUAGUUUUAGCAUUUCAGGGAUUUUCUUUUUCCACCAUUAAUUGAAUUAAAGAGAAGUUAUAUAUAUUCUUCCAAGGAAACCAUGGUACAUGCAAGAAAACUACGGACCCUAUUGUCAUAAAAUUUCUCUUGUUGAGUUUGAGACAAAAUACUUUUCAUGUCCCCUCCUAUUCUCUUUUGCUUGUGAUCUUAUACACUUUUUAAUUUCGACUUGUUGAAAAAAUCAAUAAUAAUUGGUGAGAGUGUGCUCGGGGGAUGGUCAUUCGUCUCACAUCGAAAAAUUGUGAGAUAGUUAUUCUGGAUUUAAGAUCCUCAGCUGCACUUCCAGUUACCAAUUGAUUGGACGAUGUUCGUUUGUGAGCUUCACCUUAAAUUGUGUUUUACACCAGAAUUUCGAUUACCUCUAAAUGUUUCUAAUCUAACCAUUGUCGCGUAAUUUCGACUUGUUGUACACUUUUUAACGAAGCACACAGGUAGAAAUGGAAUAAAAUUUUUCAAGUUUAUCCUAUGACUACACAAGUACUACUAGGUAUAAAUGUGAAUUUUAAAAUAAAGAAGUACAUAGGGAACCCAGCCAGAAUUUCAGUCCUGUCAUAUCAACAAGUUCACAUCAUAUCUUCAAAGUUGUCUGGAAUGAUUGCCUCUUGUCGUUCAUGCCACCAUUGAAGGUGGAGAAACUACUAGUACUAUUGUUACUAUUGGCUCGUGAAGAACGAAAAUCAUUUGAAUUUUUUUGUCAAGAUAAGCACCGCUGGCAUUAAACCAUACAUCCCUAUACAAUACACAUAUUUAAAAGAGUAAAAUCCACUUGUCCAAUAAAAAUAAGAUGAAUGAAAAAAUAUAAAACGUAAGCAAGCUUGCAUAUAUAUAUAUAUAUAAUCAACAUUAUAUGCAUUAACAGUAUAUAUACUAUAAUAAUUAGAUAUAUACAUAUUCAAAAUUUAAAAUUUACAUUAAUCAUCAUCCAUCUAAACUGAUAAUAUAUAUAUAUUAUCAAUAUAUAAAAAGAUUAAUUCAUACAUAUAUAUAUAUAUACACGUGUAUGCGCCCGUCCAUGUGUAUCUCUAUGCUUUGCAUGAACAACAUACAAACAUGUUCACCUGGUUAAAACUGUAGAAAAAGUAGCAAUUUUUUAAUUUUAAGAAAAACAUCAAAUACCCAUGUUAAUACACUCCUAUACAUAAAUCUGGAGCUAAGUACGGUGCUCAUGUUUUAAGUACUUUUGGAGUCGUUCAUUCCAUUGAAACACGCUGGUAGAUACGGCUGAUACCUGAUUCUCGAAGGCCAUUUUCUCAAGAGUUUUCUGCAGGGCGUAGGUUCUACAUUUACCAACCUAGUUGCGGAUGGCCGCUAAUAAAAAUACACAUCAAACAUUAAGCAAAUUAGGCAAAACUGUUCUGAAAAAGGAUAUUCUUGAAAUACUUUUACCUUUAUGAAUGAUUUGGGAGAACAAAACUUAAUCUGGUUUAGUUUAGAGUACUAGCAUAAUCUGGUUUUAGUUUUUCGUGAUGCCAAAAGUUACCCUACUCUCAAGAUAUCAAAAUAAUCAAACUAUCAAGUUGUAUGAGAAUCAUAACUAAACUAAAAAUGGACCCUUUGUCAAAAUGGCAAGGCUUAAUCAAAAUACGUAUUGAAUUAUUAUAGACAAAUUAUUACUGACCAUUCUGAUUCUCAGACACUUUUUCAAACAAAUUUAUUAGGCCAAUAAUAAUAAUGAUAUCAAGCCAGGUGCACAACUCUAAGUAAAUUAAAGGGAUGAUAGAGCAAGGUAAUACUUAGGAAUGACAGUUUUCCAGAAAUUGACUUGAGAUACAAGGAGAGCAGUGUAGAAUCUCAUUACAGAUACCACAAACAAAUAUCUUUUCCUUUCAUGGAGAAAGCUGCAAAAAAUCAAGCAGUCACGUCUUUCUCCAAAUUGCCAUUCAAUCCAAAAAACUGAACAGCGUAAACCCCAACAGGGUGAAUAUAUUACACUUCAACUAAUAAUUGGUAAAACUGCCUCUUUAUGAUGAUUUGAUCAUGAGCUCUCAGUAU
rnacentral:lncRNA from 1 species